rnacentral:lncRNA from 1 species
AGGUGAGCGGCUUGGACAACGCCAAGCAGAUAUGGGACACCCUCAAAAUCUCUCACGAGGGGAACGACAUCACCAUGCUCACUAAAAUGGAGUUGGUGGAGGGCGAGCUUGGACGAUUCGCAAUGAUAAGGGGAGAAGAGCCAACCCAAACUUACAACAGGCUGAAGACCCUUAUCAACAAAAUAAGGAGCUACGGAAGCACGCGAUGGACGGACCACGACGUCGUCCGCCUAAUGCUAAGGUCAUUUACCGUUCUUGAUCCUCAUUUGGUGAACAAUAUUCGUGAAAAUCCUAGGUACACCAAGAUGUCGCCCGAAGAAGUUCUUGGAAAAUUUGUAAGCGGGCGAAUGAUGAUCAAGGAGGCAAGGUACGUGGACGACACAUUGAAUGGUCCAAUCCAUGAGCCUCAACCCAUUGCUCUCAAGGCAACAAGGAGCAAGGAGGCGCUACCAAGCAAGGUGGCGCAAGUUGAGGCGGCCGGGCUAAAUAAUGAGGAGAUGGCCCUCAUCAUUAAGCGCUUCAAGACGGCGCUUAAAGGUCGCAAGGGACAGCCAAGCAAGACCAAGACAAAGGAGAAGCGCUCAUGCUUCAAAUGCGGUAAGCUUGGUCAUUUUAUUGCUAACUGUCCCGAUAAUGAAAGUGACCAGGAACAAGGGAGCAAGAGGGAGAAGAAGAAGGCAUACAAGAAGGCAAAGGGCGAGGCACAUCUAGGCAAGGAGUGGGAUUCGGAUUGCUCCUCCUCCGACUCCGACAAUGAAGGACUCGCCGCCACUGCCUUCAACAAGUCAUCCCUCUUCCCCAACGAGCAUCACACAUGCCUUAUGGCAAGGGAGAAGAAGGUGAGUACUCAAGACUCCACUUAUGCUUCCUCUAGUGAUAAUGAGUCUAGUGAUGAUGAUGACAUAGAUUAUUCAUGCUUGUUCAAGGGCUUAGAUAGAUCUAAGAUAGAUAAAAUUAAUGAGUUGAUUGAUGCUUUGAAUGAUAAGAAUAGAUUACUAGAAAAACAAGAGGAUCUUUUAUAUGAGGAGCAUGAUAAAUUUGUUAGUGCACAAAAUUCUCUUGCUCUAGAAAUUAAAAGAAAUGAAGUGCUUUCUAGUGAAUUAUCUUCUUGUCAUGAAACCAUUGCUACUUUAAAAGGUGUUAAUAAUGAUUUAAAUGCUAAACUAGAAGUGGCUAGUAAAUCUAACUCUUGUGUAGAACAUGUUAUGGUUUGCACUAGGUGUAAAGAUUUUAAUAUUGAUGCUUGUAGUAAACACCUAGUUUCAAUUUCUAAAUUGAAUGAUGAAGUGGCUAGUCUUAAUGCCCAACUUAAGACUAGCAAAAGCGAUUUUGAUAAACUAAAAUUUGCAAGGGAUGCCUACACAAUUGGUAGACACCCCUCAAUUAAGGAUGGGCUUGGCUUCAAGAGGGAAGUCAAGAACUUGACAAGCCAUAAGACUCCCAUUCCCGCUAAGGAGAAAGGGAAGGCCCCUAUGGCUACUAGUGCUAAAAAGAACCAUGCCUUCUUGUAUCAUGAUAGGAAAAAUUCUAGAAAUGCUUUUAGAAGUUAUGAUGCUUUUAAUUCACAUGCUUAUGAUUCUUAUGCCAUGACUGCUUCUAGUUCUUCCUAUAUGCAUGGUAGAAAUGUGACUAGGAGAAAUGCUAUUCAUCAUGUGCCUAGAAAGAAUAUUAUUUAUGCUCCUAGGAAAGUAGUAAAUGAACCUUCUACAAUUUAUUGUGCUUUAAAUGCUUCCUUUGCUAUUUGUAGAAAGGAUAGGAAGAUAGUUGCUAGAAAAUUAGGGGCAAGAUGCAGGGGAGACAAAACUUGCAUUUGGGUCCCUAAGGAUAUUUGUGCUAACCUUGUAGUACCCAACAUGAGUUGGGUACCUAAGACCCAAGCCUAAAUUUGCCUUGCAGGUUUAUGCAUCCGGGGGUUCAAGCUGGAUUAUCGACAGCGGAUGCACAAACCAUAUGACGGGGGAGAAGAAGAUGUUCACCUCCUACGUCAAGAAUAAGGAUUCCCAAGAUUCAAUAAUUUUUGGUGAUGGGAAUCAAGGCAAGGUAAAAGGGUUAGGUAAAAUUGCAAUUUCUAAUGAGCACUCUAUCUCUAAUGUGUUUUUAGUUGAGUCUCUUGGUUAUAAUUUGCUAUCUGUUAGUCAAUUAUGCAACAUGGGGUAUAACUGUCUAUUUACAAAUAUAGAUGUGUCUGUCUUUAGAAGAAGUGAUGGUUCACUAGCUUUUAAGGGUGUAUUAGACGGCAAACUUUAUUUAGUUGAUUUUGCAAAAGAAGAGGCCGGUCUAGAUGCAUGCUUAAUAGCUAAGACUAGCAUGGGCUGGCUGUGGCAUCGCCGCUUAGCACAUGUGGGGAUGAAGAACCUUCACAAGCUUCUAAAGGGAGAACACGUGAUAGGUUUGACUAACGUGCAAUUCGAAAAAGAUAGACCUUGUGCAGCUUGUCAAGCAGGUAAACAAGUGGGAGGAGCACAUCACAGCAAGAAUGUGAUGACCACUUCAAGACCCCUGGAGCUGCUGCAUAUGGACCUCUUCGGACCCGUCGCCUAUUUGAGUAUAGGAGGAAGUAAGUAUGGUCUAGUUAUUGUUGAUGACUUUUCCCGCUUCACUUGGGUAUUCUUUUUGCAGGAUAAGUCUGAAACCUAAGGGACCCUCAAGCGCUUCCUCAGGAGAGCUCAAAAUGAGUUUGAGCUCAAGGUGAAGAAGAUAAGGAGCGACAACGGGUCCUAGUUCAAGAACCUUCAAGUAGAGGAGUUCCUUGAGGAGGAAGGGAUCAAGCAUGAGUUCUCCGCUCCCUACACACCACAGCAAAAUGGUGUGGUAGAGAGGAAGAACAGGACGCUAAUCGACAUGGCGAGGACUAUGCUUGGAGAGUUCAAGACCCCCGAGCGUUUUUGGUCGGAAGCCGUGAACACGGCUUGCCACGCCAUCAACAGGGUCUACCUUCACCGCCUCCUCAAGAAGACGUCAUAUGAGCUUCUAACCGGUAACAAACCCAAUGUAUCGUACUUUCGUGUAUUUGGGAGCAAGUGCUACAUUCUAGUGAAGAAGGGUAGAAAUUCUAAAUUUGCUCCCAAAGCAGUAGAAGGGUUUUUGUUAGGUUAUGACUCAAAUACAAAGGCGUAUAGAGUCUUCAACAAAUCAUCGGGUUUGGUUGAAGUCUCUAGCGACGUUGUAUUUGAUGAGACUAAUAGCUCUCCAAGAGAGCAAGUUGUUGAUUGUGAUGAUAUAGAUGAAGAAGAUGUUCCGACGGCAGCCAUACGAACCAUGGCGAUUGGGGAAGUACGGCCACAGGAACAAGAUGAACGAGAUCAACCAUCUUCCUCAACUACGGUGCUACCCCCAACUCAAGACGAUGAACAGGUUCAUCAACAGGAGGCGGAUGAUCAAGGGGAAGCACAAGAUGAUCAUGUGACGGAGGAAGAUGCGCAACCGGCACCUCCAACCCAAGUUCGAGCGAUGAUUCAAAGGGAUCAUCCCGUCGACCAAAUUCUGGGUGAUAUUAGCAAGGGAGUAACUACUCGAUCUCGAUUAGUUAAUUUUUGUGAGCAUUACUCCUUUGUCUCUUCUAUUGAGCCUUUCAGGGUAGAGGAGGCCUUGCUAGAUCCGGAUUGGGUAUUGGCCAUGCAGGAGGAGCUCAACAACUUCAAGCGCAAUGAAGUUUGGACACUGGUGCCUCGUCCGAAGCAAAAUGUUGUGGGAACCAAGUGGGUAUUCCGCAACAAACAGGACGAGCAUGGGGUGGUGACGAGGAACAAGGCUCGACUUGUGGCAAAAGGUUAUGCCCAAGUCGCAGGUUUGGACUUUGAGGAGACGUUUGCUCCUGUGGCUAGGCUAGAAUCAAUUCGUAUUUUGCUAGCAUAUGCCGCUCACCAUUCUUUCAGGUUGUACCAAAUGGAUGUGAAGAGCGCUUUCCUCAACGGGCCAAUCAAGGAGGAGGUGUACGUGGAGCAACCCCCUGGCUUCGAGGAUGAACGGUACCCCGACUAUGUGUGUAAGCUCUCUAAGGCGCUCUAUGGACUUAAGCAAGCCCCAAGAGCAUGGUAUGAAUGCCUUAGAGACUUUUUAAUUGCUAAUGCUUUCAAGGUUGGGAAAGCCGAUCCAACUCUUUUUACAAAGACUUGUGACGGUGAUUUGUUUGUGUGCCAAAUUUAUGUCGAUGACAUAAUAUUUGGUUCUACUAACCAAAAGUCUUGUGAAGAGUUUAGCAGGGUGAUGACGCAGAAAUUCGAGAUGUCGAUGAUGGGCGAGUUGAACUACUUCCUUGGGUUCCAAGUGAAGCAACUCAAGGACGACACCUUCAUCUCCCAAACUAAGUACACGCAAGAUCUGCUAAAGCGGUUUGGGAUGAAGGAUGCCAAGCCCGCAAAGACUCCGAUGGGGACCGACGGACACACCGACCUCAACAAAGGAGGUAAGUCCGUUGAUCAAAAAGCAUACCGGUCAAUGAUAGGUUCUUUGCUUUACUUAUGUGCUAGUAGACCGGAUAUUAUGCUUAGCGUAUGCAUGUGUGCUAGAUUUCAAUCCGAUCCUAAGGAGUGUCACUUAGUGGCGGUAAAGCGAAUUCUUAGAUAUUUGGUUGCUACGCCUUGCUUCGGGCUCUGGUAUCCAAAGGGGUCUACCUUUGACUUAGUUGGAUACUCAGACUCCGACUAUGCUGGAUGUAAGGUCGAUAGGAAGAGUACAUCGGGGACGUGCCAAUUCUUAGGAAGGUCCCUGGUGUCAUGGAACUCUAAGAAACAAACCUCCGUUGCACUAUCCACCGUUGAGGCCGAGUACGUUGCCGCAGGUCAGUGUUGCACGCAACUACUUUGGAUGAGGCAAACCCUCCGGGACUUUGGCUACAAUCUGAGCAAAGUCCCACUCCUAUGUGACAAUGAGAGUGCUAUCCGCAUGGCGGAGAAUCCUGUUGAGCACAGCCGCACAAAGCACAUAGACAUCCGGCAUCACUUUUUGAGAGACCACCAGCAAAAGGGAGAUAUCGAAGUGUUUCAUGUUAGCACCGAGAACCAGCUAGCCGAUAUCUUUACCAAGCCUCUAGAUGAGAAGACCUUUUGCAGGCUGCGUAGUGAGCUAAAUGUCUUAGAUUCGCGGAACUUGGAUUGAAUUAUAGCAUACAUGUGUUUAUGCCUUUAAUCAGGUUCAUUCUGCAUUUUGUUGCUUAUUGUGGUGCUCAAGUUGUACAAACACUCCCUGGACCUCACAAGUCCGUUGCAAAGUGAUGCACAUGUUUAGGGGGAGAUGUGUUACAACUUGACCCUUUGAGACUAACCAUUUGCUUGAGUUUGCUUGAUUUAGUCUCGAAGGUGAAUUGAAAGGGAAAGGUGAACUUGGACCAUGCAAGACUUCCACUGCACUCCGAUGAGAGGGUAACUUAUUCCAAGUUCAUCUCUAUGAUCUUAUUGCCUUUGUACUCUUAAUUGAAGAUUUUGGUGAGGCAAUGGGGUUAAAGGGCCAAGAUUGAUCCCGUUUUGGUGCUUGAUGCCAAAGGGGGAGAAAAUAAAGGCCAAAGAAAUAAAUGGAUCAGCUGCCACUUGAGAGAUUUUGAAAAUAGUAGAAUAGAGCUUUUUGUUUUAGCAAAAUUCUUUUAUUGUGUCUCUUGUCAAAAGUUGGCUUCUUGUGGGGAGAAGUGGUGAUUAUGGGAAAUAGGGGGAGUUUUUGAAAUCUUUGAUCAAUCUCUUUUGGAAUAACUCUCUAUAUGCUUUAACAUGUGUGUUUGACUUAGAGAUAGAGAUUUGAGUUUGAUUUCAAAAACAAACCAAGUGGUGGCAAAGGAUGAUCCAUAUAUGCCAAACAUGAAUCAAAAUAAAUUUAAGUGUUAUUUGAAGUGGUUUUGCACUUGUUCUAGUUGCUUUAUGUUGUGUUGGCAUAAAUCACCAAAAAGGGGGAGAUUGAAAGGGAAAUGUGCCCUUGGGCCAUUUCUAAGUAUUUUGGUGAUUGAGUGCCAACUCAAGUGCUUAAAAUGUGAAUUUAUGCAAUGGAUGAACAAAGUGCAAAUCAAGAGCAAAGGUAUGUUUCUAAGUCUUAGUACAUUGGUUUUGUGUACUAAUAUACUUGUCUAAGUAUUGGAAACAGGAAGAAAAAGAAAAGGAAAAAGGUGGCUGUGUACAGCCAAGGGGCUGUUUCGGUCUGGGGCACCGGACUGUCCGGUGGUGCACCGGACAGUGUCCGGUGCGCCAGGCUGCCUCGGCCGAACAGGCCGCUCUCGGGAAUUCGCCGACGGCGUACGGCUAAAAUUCACCGGACUGUCCGGUGUGCACCGGACUGUCCGGUGAGCCAACGGUCGGCUAGGGCCAACGGUCGGCCGCGGAUUCUGCGCGCGACACGUGGCCAAGCCAACGGUCGGAAGGGGGCACCGGACUGUCCGGUGUGCACCGGACUGUCCGGUGUGCACCGGACAUGUCCGGUGCGCCAACGGCUCCCAGAUCAGUAACGGUCGACUGCGCUGUUUAAGGAAGGAAAUCGGGCACCGGACAGUGUCCGGUGUGCACCGGACUGUCCGGUGCGCCCGACGACAGAAGGCAAGAUCAGACUUCCAGAUUUGCUCUCAACGGCUCCUAGCUGCCUUGGGGCUAUAAAAGGGACCCCUAGGCGCAUGGAGGAGAAUACCAAGCAACCUUAGAGCAUUCUUGAUCAUCCACACUCAGUCUUUGCGCAUUCAUUUGUCAUUCUAAGUGAUUCGAACUCCGUUCUAGUGAGAACUUUGAGAUAGUCUUUUUGAGCUCGAUUCUUGGCCGUGUGUGUGCGCAUUUUGCUGUGGAUUUGUGUGUGUUGCUUCCCUCCCUUACUCCGUAUUUCUUGUUGAAUCUCAAGUGUAAGGGCGAGAGACUCCAAGUUGUGGAGAUUCCUCGCAAACGGGAAAUUGAAAGGAAAAGCAUAACACUGUGGUAUUCAAGUUGAUCAUUGGAUCACUUGAGAGGAGUUGAGUGCAACUCUCGUCCGUUGGGACGCCACAACGUGGAGUAGGCAAGUUUUGUACUUGGCCGAACCACGGGAUAAAUCACUGUGUCUUCUCUGUGUUGAACUCCGUGUGAUUAUCCUAUUGUGCAAGAUCUUCUCUCUAGCCACUUGGCAUUAACUGUGCUAACACUUAAUCAAAGUUUUGUGGCUUAAGUUUUGAAGUUUACAGGAUCACCUAUUCACCCCCCCUCUAGGUGCUCUCAGUCCUCAGUGAAGUCCGUGCCCUCGGGUGGAGCGAAGCCUGGGGGAGGUUGCGGCUGUCCUUCAGGGCCGCAGGUGCGGAGAGCGUCGUCUUCGCAGGUGCGGAGAACGUCGUCUUCAGUGGCCUCUUGGUGGGUGGAGUGGGUGAGGGCGAGGGCCUUGCCCUUUUUUGCGGCCAACAGUGCUGCCUUCGCAGCCUCGUCAGCCUUCGAGCUAGCUUUCUUGGGUGCCAUCGCGGGUGGUUUUUUCGUAGCACAAACGGUGGGCGCCAAAUGUUGGAACUUGCUCUCCGGUGCAAGUUGAUCCAACGGGGGAGUGUAGCAACGCAAACAGGGUUUUUGCACGAGAUGGCAAUAGCUCUGUUAAUCUAGCCUCUCAAGGGCACUGUGCGGGGGUAUUUAUAGGUAUCUGAGUGCCCAGCGUCCAGUGUUAAGGACGCAUGUGCCCUCAGGCGCCUAGGUUAUCCCCGGAAUAAUCCCAUAAAGCAGGGUUACAUACCGUAAUUACAGGGAGGCUUUUACAUAAUAGGCCCGUAACGCGCAGCGGCCACGCAGGACCUGUUACAAUGGACCAGAUCACACGUGGGCCUCCAUGCUGGACGAGGUCGCGAGAUGGGAUGACCUCGUCAUAGGUCUUCGUCCGGCACCGUGUCGGGCGAAGGGUAAGUAUGUCCGUCGUCUUGUCUCCGUCGAUCCAGCGAGGUCGGCGAAGGCAUCGAGCGAAGGGUGGCGUCUUCGCCUUCGCCCCAACACUAGCCCCAUGCCGAUGAUUCACCGGUACAUCAAGAUGGUGCCGUUGCGGUGCGGGAUGCGAUCCGCCCGGUCGGUCUUCGCCCGGAUCACUAGUCCGGCCUUGGUGACGGGUCUAGGGGGAAGUAGGGUGCAUGGGGGAUCUAUUCACGGAGUCACCAUGGGAGAUCCUGGCAGAUGCACUGAUGAAUUUCUCGUCGUCAUCGUGGGUCCGCCGUGUGUCACGAUUGGGGCUCGACACCGCUCAAUCAUGGUAGGAAGCUCUUCAUUAUGUUCCUCAUAUCCUCCCUUUCUCAUAAUGAUGUUGUAUCGAAGUUUGGGGCUUGGGGUCACUAGAUCGUCGAUCUCCGGCAAAGCUCCGCCGUUGGGAGGGUUUGCGCCACCGUGGGUGGCCAGUGGAUUGGGGAAGAGGGCGCAUAGCUGUUGGAUGGUUGGUGGAGGGCCCAGAUGAGAUAGAGGUAAUGGAUCGACCUGGGGUUGGGUUACCCGUCUGAUCUGGAUCGGAGGGGUGCGAAUGGGUUGAUUUUCAUUAAAAUCAGGCUGUUGGUCUUAAAUCUGGUGACCGAUGUUGCAUAUCGAUUCACACCCUGGGUGAUCUAAUCGGGACUGUUCAUAAUCGAUCGUGCAAUUGUGGUAUACGCGUACCUCUUCUUCACGGCCGUUUUACAGACGAGCCCUCAACGUUUUGCUGAAUCAACUCGCCGUCCAAUUUAGUAGAAAGAAGAUUCAAUUUUGGUCCUGCAUUUUUAUGUAGUUGACCCUGGAGUUCUAGAUUAUGGUAAUCGUCGUCCAGGAGAACCAUAUUUAAUUAAAAUAACUUAUGGAAUAUGAUUUUCAGUAUAGAAAUAAAUCCAAUAACCUUAGAAAAUUCAUAACUAAGUCGUUUUAACUCUGAUUUAAUCCGUUCAAGUUGCAAUAGCUUCGUAAUAAAGAUACCUACGUAUUACACAACUUUGUGUUAUCAUAUCACAUGUUUUAAAAAGAAGAUGAAUACCUCUAGAUUAAAGCUUGCUAAUCAAAGUUAAUCUAACUCGAAUAUAGUCUAUAAUCAAGUCAUAACUUGGAUUAAAGUUGAAUUAGUUAUUUCUUCAAUAUCUGUUCUCAUAUAAUUUAUAUUAAUCAACAUAGAAUAUAGUUUUAUCAUGAAAUUCUUUAGAAAACUAUAUCUUAUUAUCCCUAACUCUGAUUUUAGUGAUUCUCGAACACACGCUCUCGUAGUGGCACAUAGAAUAUUCUUAAGCUGUUUGUUCUCAUGUUUGGUGUACUGUUAUUUUUUAUGUACUUGUCUAUUUGUAUGUAUUGCUACAAGUAGCAGUGAGGGCACGAGAAACUUGAAGACUAAUUUGGUGAAGUACCUAGGAUCUCAAGGCUAAGGCAAGUUGUGCCCUUGAUCACUUUUGUUUACCUAAUAAUGUUCCUGUUAAUCAUUGUGACAUGCUCAGGUUAAUUUGAUGGGACCCAAUAGGUUUCCCUAGCAUUGUUUAUCCCAGACUUACAAACAAAAGAACUAUUGGGUAGAACUGCUAUUGCUCUACCUGGUUUUGGGAAAUUAAUGAUAUAUUAUGAUCAUGUUCCAAUUUGUUGUUGUUUUAAUUAUUGUUCAUGAUAAUAUCAUUAUGUCAAUUAGAACAUGGAGAACCACCCGAGAAAACAGUGCUACCACAAGGGUGGAAUGGGACACCCUUGGCCAAGUAAUUAGGAAAGCUAGGGAGAGAUUACAUUACCCGAAAGGGGCAAGUGGGGAGGCGUCGCUGCAAAGUAUAGGGAGGUCCUCGGGUCAAACUGUCUAUAAAGCUUUUUGGGCAAGGGAUUCCUAUGCUUCCUUCUUCCAGAAUCCAUAGCGUGUUUUCUCGAACUAGUGGAACUAUGGAAAUGCCUCGUAGUGCUACCCUACCUCAUCUCCUGAUAGAGAUGAAUGGGAAGUCGCGAUCCCUUAGCAAAUGGGUAACACGACAUGUGGGUAAAGAUGCGCAACCUCUGCAAGUGUAAAACUGGUAUAUCAGCCAUGCUCAUGGUCAUGAGUGGCUCAGACACUCAAAAGAAUUAAAUUAUGGGAUUAAACUUAAUCUAUCAUAUGCAUUGCAUCGAGUGUGUUAUUAUUAAUUGUGAUCUCUUAUUUAUUUGGGUUGGUAUCUACUUAUACUUAAUAACUGCUAAUAAAAUUUUGACCAACUUUAAAAGCAAUGCUCAGCUUUAACCAUCCUCUUUGGUAAGCCUUACACUUCACAUGAGCCUCACUGUAAUUGAGCGCAUGCACAUUAUUCCCCACAACUUGUUGAGCGAUGAACGUAUGUGAGCUCACCCUUGCUGUACUCAAAUUCCCCCAGGUCAAGAACAGGUACCACAGGAUGAGGCGCAUGGAGGGUGCUGUGAUGAGUUCGUGAGUGGUCUACGCCGUCGUCUCCCAGUCAAUUUUGGGUUGCUGGAUCGUUGUCUUUGUAUGAUAUAAUUAUUUAACUAUUUUGUAUAGAACUCCGUUAUAUAUUAAAGAUGUGACAUUCGUUUCUGUACCAUGAGUCAUCAUAUGUGUGAGACUUGAUCCUAGCACAUAUGUGAGUCAUGCCCGGGUUUGGAACCCUAAAUCUGAGUGUGACAGAUCUGGCUAGGGAUGAAAACGGUUUCGGAAUUUUUCGGUAUUUUGAAAACCGAUUUCGAAUUUUUUCGAUCAGAUUAACCAGUAACGGUAUUUUUCGAAAACAGAAUUGGUUUUUGGAAUUUUCUAUCGGAAUCGACGUGGUGUUUUACCGACCAUUUCCUUCGGUUACCGGUUUUAUUAGAAAUUACCGGAUUUGUGUCUCGGAAUUUUCUGGAAUUCUGUCUCAGAAUUUUUCAGAAUUGUGUCUUAGAUUUUUCAAAAUUUUCUAGCAUGUGAUUUUUCGCAUCGUCUGUACGUCUCUAGAUAAGGAUUACUUAUUUUUGUAUUUUUUGGAUGCCUUAAGAUUUUUUUGGGAUAGAUGGUGUUGGAAGGCAGUUGGGAUGAACGAUUUGGUCUCUUGAACGAAUCCACCCUUUUCUAUGUACAUGUUAUGUAUUAGUAAUAUAUAAUGAUAGAGAGCCGACAGUCUGUCUUUUUGACACACUAGGUUUUAGGGUUUUCCUAUGAGGUUGUGAAAAAACUCUUUAUAUGAGGGAGAAAUAUUUCAUAAGUAAGCAUGCCAUAUCAGCUAGAUCGAGUGGAUAUUGUGAAUUGUGAACUUUGAGUCUGUGAACUUGUGAUCUUUAUGAACUUGUUAUACUAUGAACUUGUUAUAUUGUGAACUUGUGAUCUUUGUAAACUUUUUAUAUUAUAAAUUUGUGAUCCUUGUGAACUUGAUAUAUUGUGAACUUAUUAUAUCAUGAAUUGUGAACUUGUGGUCUUUGUGAUCUUUUGUCAAUUUUGUUGUAUUGUGAAGUUUGAUAUGUUUACCGAUCGUAUUUUAGAUUUCGACUGUUACCGAUGUAUUUUCCGCACCAAACUUUUGUUUCCGAUGUUUCCGAAAUACCGAUAUCAUUUCCGUUUCCGGAGUUACCAUUUUCGAUUUUGUUUCCGAUAAAAAAUAUGAAAACGGUAAUGGUUUUAGUGUUUACCGACCGUUUUCAUCUCUAGAUCUGGUGCACACCUUCGCUCUGUUCAAUUGUGGCCGUGUGAUGGUGAUCUAGCGGCCGCAAUCACGUACCGCUUCAGUAAAUCCAAGGCCUAAUCGGCACCCUUGUUUUUAAAUCCAACGAUGUGAAUUUCGCAUACGCCUUCCCCGCAACAAUUUGCUAAAGUGUCCUUGAAAAUCUUCCUAAUAAACCCGACGUCCACAGAUGGUUCAAACUAAUUAUAAGAAGGGCCCUAUUACUUGCAAAAUAACCCUGGUCUUUGUAAAAAUAGUAACUGACGUCCAUUAAGUCCAGAUUUAAUAUAAAAUUAAAUCUAAAAUGAAUUUUUAGUAUAAAAAUAAUUCUAGAAUCUUAGAGAAUCCACAACUAAUUCAUUUUAAAAUUGUUUUAGUCUAUUCAGUUGCGUUGGAUUUGUAAUAAAAAUAAUCUAUGCAGUAGCUAACAUUAUUUUGUUGUCACUGUAACGCUCUGAAUUCGGGGUAUAAAAUUUCUUCUCCAAUAUUCACCAAAUUCGGGUGUUACUCUCUUUUUCUCUUCCUGUUUUGCUCAUUCCUCGUAUUUUCAAAGCAAUAUAGAGACUAGUGUCUGUGCUACGUGUAAUCAAAACCCUAAGUUGAUAUUGUUGUUGCAUCAUGCCGGAGCAUAUUUAUUUCUGUCUGAUGUCGUGCCUAGGCGUGCAUUCAUUAUUUUAGGAUUUCUAUUCGAGGAAUGGAUUUGAUUAGAAAGCAAGCGAGAUUGAUUAGAGGAGAAGCAGCACCGACCCACCCUGGCCCCCGACGCGCGCCCAACCGCCCCCUCCCCCCAUGCGCGCUCAAACCCCCCACCUUCCCUUUCUCUCGCACUCAUGAUCUCGGAAGAGAGAAACCACCCUCUUCCUCCUCUCUCCCACUCUCUCCCUGCCCUCGCUUGGAUCCCUGGAAAGCAGUUGCUGCUGUCUAUCGUGCUCAUGGUAAGCCUCCUCCCUCCCCUCCCUCUUCCCCUCCCUCUCCUUCCCCCGCGUGCAGCCCCCCUCGAUGGUGCCCUGCGUGCCCCCCGGUGCGCGCCCUGUGUGGCUCCCGGCGCUGCGCCCCGCGCGGCCCCGGUCCUAGCCCGUGGCGCACCCGCCCGACGCACCCCUCCCUGGCCUUGACCCCGGCCUAGGCCCCUGGCGCGGCCUCCCUCGCCCCGGCGAGCCCCUCCCCCGGCGCGGCCUUCCCUGGCGCGGCCUCCCCCGCCGGCACACGCCCUCCCCAGCGGCGGCCCUCCCCGGCCCUGGUAUGGCCCCCGACGUGGCCCAGCGUGGUGCCCCUGCGCGGCCCCUGACGCGCCCCUGCCCGCGCGCAUCCCCGUCCCCGUGCGCGCAUCCCCUUCUCGGCCCAGCCUCUGCGCGCAGCCUCAUCGCUGCUGUGGCGCGGCCUCAGCGCACAGCCCCAGCGCGCGUCAUAAUGUUUUAAAUUUUGUUUGAGUCAUGCGUCGUGUCGCGCGCUUCGCCGCCCGACAACCUCUUUUAAUUCACCGAGAAUCACGUAUAAUAAUUAAAGUGCGUAGUGUAACGAUGAUUAAUCGAGUUUCGAACUAAUUAGGAUCUAGCACUAAUUUUAUUUGUGCACCGCAUGAAUAUCAAUUAAUAUAAUUAGGUUGAGAUAAAUAUUCUAGUCCAUAACUGAUUAACGUAAUCGUUAUGUCUCUCGGCCGUAGCUUCGAUCGUCGUAGUUUCUUUUCUCGCAUAGUCGUAAAUGAGAGCCCUAUGCCACAUGUCUGUUUAAUUGUUCUGUUUCAUUGUGUGGUGUAUGGUUCCUUUCUAUGUUAAGAAUGUGGAAUGUAUGUUUUCACUAGUAUAGAUAACGGUCCGUUGGCGGAGUCCGAAGGAGUUGCAGGAGAAGAACCUGAGCAGCAGUAGGUUGGUGAAGCCAAGUGUCCUCUGACCUAUUUAUGUCCUGCUCAUUUUAUAAUUCAUCUCCCCGCAUUUACAUAAUUUAUACCUAAGGAUUUACUAGUAUUUGUUUAUCAUGUCCUUGUUCACCUAUUUGGGUUGGAUUAUUUCUGGAUUAGCUCUAUGCUAACGCUUUACUAUAAUUAAUGAACAUGAUGAGACUAUUUAUGAUAUGAUGUUUACUUUUGGAUAUGGUGAUGACAUCAUGAUAUUUAAGGGGGCUCGAGCGGUUUCUUGAGUGCCUCUCCGUAAGGACUGAUUCAUUGGAUGACCACCUAGGAAAAUAGUACAACCAUGAGGGUGGAAUGGGACACCCUUAGCUAAUUAAUUAGAGGAACUAAGGUGUAGUUUGCUUCGCCAUCGUGUCGUCAAUGGGGCUCGGUGUAUAUGGCUUGCUCUGCCGAGGGUGGUUUGCCCCUUGGAGAGGAGUGCGGUACAUUUAGGAAACCUAACGGGCGGCUACAUCUUCAGGGAAUCUUUGUAAAGGCUUCGUAGUGAAUCCCUGGCCAUUCACCUCGGUAGUGAAGAUCGGGUCUGUACAACCUAGGCUAGAGAGGGAAUCACGACUCGUGGGAAAAGUGUGCAACCUCUACAAAGUGUUAUGAAACUGAUAUAUCAGCCAUGCUCACGGUUAUGAGCGGCCUUGGGAGCUCCUGUGAUUAGAGAUACUAUGACUACAGAUGGUGAUGAGGAUAAUAAUGGUUUAGUGGUGAUGACUAUGGUAAUGGAUUUCAGUGUUCUUUCCGUUUGGAAGGAGCACCUUUGGGUUAAUAACUUAGGUUUAUUGCUAAAACUUGGCUCUCUAUUAGUAAUAAUUACCUAAUCAACUAAAAGCAACUGCUCUGAGCUUCACCCCACAUACAACUAGUCCAGUUUAGCCAAACGGGACAGUUGAUGAGUACGCUGAUGUGUACUCACCCUUGCUUAAAACACAAAAACACCAGGUUGUCCAUAGUGCAACCCCUACUCAGGAGAAGAUGAAGUCGUGGCGGAGGAUUUCUAGGUGUUUCAAGACUAUGAUGAGUUCUACGCGUGGGUUAGCGACAAACCCCAAGUUGGAUGCCUAUGAAUGCCGUGUUUAUUACAUUUCAUUUUUCGCACUUCGAUCUAUGUUUAAGACUAUGUGGAUGUCUCAGACAUCAUGAUCAAAUUAAUACCUCUAGACAACCAUAUCUUCUCCACUGUAACUCCGAUUUUAGUCAUUCUCAAACCUACGAUCUCGUAGCAAUGCGUAGAAUAUUCCUACACAGUUUGUUAUCAUGUUUGGUGUAAUGUUAUUUUUAUAUACUCCUUGUCUAUUUGUAUGGCUACGAAUAGCAGCAAGGUCAUGAGAAACCCGAAGACCAACUUGGUGAAGCACCUAGAAUCUCAAGUCAUAUGCAAGUUGUGCCCUUGAUCACUCUUCUUUACCUAAUAAUGUUUCUGAUAAUCACUAUGACAUGCUCAGGUCAAUUUGAUGGGACCUAAUAGGUUACCCUAGUUUGUUUACCCUACACCUUGCAAACAAAUGAACUAUUGGGUAGGCUUGCUAUUGCUCUACCUGGUUUUGGGAUCAAUAUUAUAUCUGAACUAUGAUCAUGUUCCAUUAUAACUGUUGGUUUAACUAUUGUUCGUGAUAAGAUCAUUGUGUUAAUUAGAACAUGGAGAACCACCUGGGAAAAAUAGUGCUACCACAAGGGUGGUAUGGGACGCCCUAGGCUGACUAAUUAGGAAAGCUAGUGGCGAACUACCUUACCCGAAAGGGGCAAGUGCGGUAGAGGAGCUGCUAGUAUAUGGAGGUUCUUGGGUCGAUCAUGAUGCGAUGGCUUUUCAGGCGAGGGAUUCCUAUAUUGCCCUUCUUAGAAACCGUAGAGGGUUUUCUGAAGCUAGUGGAACUUUGUAAAGGCCUCAUAGUGCUACCCUGCCUCGUCUCCUCGGUAGAGAUGUAUGGGAUUCAUGACCCUGUGGCAAAUGGGUAACAUGACUUGUGGGUAAAGAUGUGCAACCUUUGCAGAGUGUAAAAAUGGUAUAUCGGUCGUGCUCACGGUCAAGAGCGGCUCGGACACUCACAUGAUUAACUCAUGGAAUUAAAACUUAAUCUGUAAUUUGCAUUGCAUUGUUGGUUUUAUUGUAAUUGUGAUCUCUUAUUUAAUUGGGUUGGUAUCUACUUAUACUUAGUAACUACUAAUAAAAUUUUGACCAACUUGUUAAAAGCAAAGCUCAGCCUUAACCAUUCUCUUUGGUAAGCCUUACAAUUGACAUGAGCCCCCACCGUAAGUGAGCUCAUGCACAUUAUUCUCCACAACUUGUUGAGCGAUGAACGUAUGUGAGCUCACUCUUGCUGUACUCACAACCCCCUCCCCAGAUUAAGAAUAGGUACUGCAAGAUGAGGAGCAUGAAGGAGGUUGUGAUGAGUUCGUGAGAUGUAUAGGCCGUCAUCUCCUAGUCAACUAUGGUUGUAGGGAUCAUUGUCUUUGUUGGGGGCCUUCGUCCUCCGAAGGUCCUCAAAAACAUAAUUUAACAAUGUCUUCCAAGUAUGGUUUAUGGACAUGUAUCUUCGGAUUCAUGUUAAAAGCAUGCACGAUGAGGAGCUUGAUCGUGACGAAGGUUGCCGUCGCUCCGAAGCUAUACGAAAGGGAGCUUCGGCUAAAUCGCAGAAAAGGGAACCGACUUAAAAGGGAAAAGGUUGUUCAGUCCUCAUAGAUUUUUCUAUAAGUCAAUAGUAAAUGUAAAGUGCAUAAUUGUAAUUUCUCAUAGGCUGUGUCCUGUGCCUAUAAAUAGAUGAACAGUACCCCCGUACUGUUCACGCUGACUGGUACUGGCUUUUGCAUCACGCUUGUGCUUUUUGCCUUCUGUUAAGCCGAAGGUACUUUCGUAAUUCCAUAUUGUUUGUCUUUCCAUGACAACAUAAUUACAAUGAAUUAAUAAUGUUAUAUGAUAGUUUAUGUUGUCCCUUAUAUUUCGUAUGCUUCUUCUUUUAUUAACCUAUACUGCAAUGAUGAAGGUACGUCCUUCAUGACCUUCGUCUGAAGAUCAUUAUAUCCUGAGGGGAAUAAUGCUUCGAAGGACGAAGGGCAUUAACAUUUAAUAUCUUGUGUUGCCUUGUUCUUAAUUCAUAGUAUUUGAGAACAAGUCCCCAACAGUCUUCAUAUGAUGUAAUUAUUUAGUUAUUUUGUAUAGAACUCCUAUUAUAUACUGAAGAUGUGACAUUCGUUUCUGUACCAUGAGUCAUCAUAUGUGUGAGACUUCAUCCUAGCACACAUUUGAUUCGCGCCCGAGUUUGCCCUUAAAUUCGGGUGUGACAUAUAAGGAAGACCAUGGCACUCAAGUAGAUCAUAUGAUCACUUAAGGAUGAGUUGAGUCUAACCCUUGUCCAUUGGGACGCCAUAACUUGGAGUAGGCAAACAUUUCAAGCUUGGCCAACCCAUGGGAAAAGUCACCAUGUCACUUGUGCUCGAUUCUUUGUGAUUGUUCUUCCUCCCUCUAAGUUCUCUAACUUCACUUGUAAUAUUGCUCUAAGUCUAUUUCAUAUCUUGAAAGAGAAAUCAAGUGAAGAGGACUUAUCUCUUCUCACUCUGACUUGGCUUAGUUUUGACUAACUAUUUAUUUAGAGCAAGUUUGUGUUUAAAGUUGUGUUUUGCAGGCAUCACCUAUUGACCAUCUCUAGGUGAUUAUCAAAUAGUUUUGGGACCUCGAAAACACCUCAAACUAGUGACUUAUAGCUCAAAAAAUGUUGAAAAUGUGAAAGUCGGUCUGAGAACACAGUACAUCAAAAUUCUACACAAAAAUGGUCCUAAGAAAAACAUGUGGCUAACUGCAUAGAUCGCCAUGUUUGCCAAGUCAGAACAAACAAAAAAAUAUGAAUCACAAACCUAAAAGACGCAAAAACUCAUGACCUGAGAUAUUUGAGCUCCUCACGGAUGUAGUGAAUAAAAAACUUAUUGUUUAUGACCAAAAACUUGCUAGAAAAAUAUUAUCUCGACAUAGGUACAACAUAGUGGUAUAAGAUUAUCAAGAAUUUGACAGUUCUAGGACCCUACAAAAACCUAAAACUAGUAAGCUAUAGUUCAUGAAAAAUGACAAAAACAUGAAAAUUGGUCUAAGAAAAUGGGAUGUCAAAAAUCUAUACAAGAAAAUGGAUCCAAGAAAACAAUGUUGUCUCGACCUCAUGAUUCGGGGUAUUUGGGCAACUCACGGGUGUAGUGAAUUCAAAGAACUCAUUGUUUGUGAGAAGAAACUAACUAAAAAAUGUUGUCUCGACCUCAAUACAUUUUAAUGGCCUUGAUAGUGGUCUAAAAAUAUCUAUGACUCAAUAGUUCCGAGAUCGCCGAAACAUCUAAAAUUGAUGAGCUAUAGCUCACGUAAAAUAGUGAAAACAUGGAGAUUGGUGUAGUGUGGCAGAACCUCCCAAGUUAUUGAGCCCACAUGCAUCUGUCCUUGUCUCAAAGACCUAAGACGACUAUGCAUGUGCACCAGAUAACUUAAUAGGAUCCGUCCGAUUGCCCCAAGGACAUCGGAUAAACCACUUAUAACCAGGACCGCAAGAUUGAGUAAUACAAAUCACACACACCAACAUUUUUGCAGCGGAAAUCUUAUUACCAAAUUUUACAAGUUACAAAAUUUUUACAUUAUUUUAUCAGAGUGAUUACAAAAGUAUAAGUUUGAAAUAUAUAUGCUAGCUCAAGUGACCAUCCUCAAUAAGAAGUAUAAGGGAGUUACUUAGACUUAUAAGAAGGCCGAGCCCACCGGCACUUAACACCAUCAACAACAGCACAAAGUUAAAACCUGAAAAACAACAGGGAAAAAAACCCUGAGUAUGGAAUUACUCAGCAAGACUUACCCGACUAAAGAAAAGACUCUCAAGGGUAUGUUGGCUAUAGGGAUUCAAGGUAUGGCUUAUCAAGAAUCAAAGACUCUGUUUUGCAGAAAAACUUACUAUGGGUGGAUCCUUAAAAUCCAUUUUUAUUUGUCAGGUUAAGUAAAGUUACCUGCAUAUAGAGUUCUUUCUACCCUAGUUCAAGCACUUGACCUAUACUAGCCAAUUUCUUAUCAACCCUUCUUAUUCACUUGAAUGCUACAUGUAGGGCAGUGACCAAGUCUUCAUGUCCGCGAAGUUACGGCGAUCCGAAUCGAUUAUACUCAACUGAGGAUCUCCAAUCACACGACAUAUGUGUCGGCGUUUCGAGACCGGGGGGUCCUUGAGCCGACGAGUGAAUGUCGCCGCGUGCCCCAGCCCAGAUGGGUCGAGCGCGAAGGGGGGAGAGCGAGGCGGCCGGAGACCGGCGUGAGAGAGGUGGGAAUCCCGCGGCCUUCGUGUUCGUCCCGCGCCCAAGUCGGGUGCGCUUGCAGUAGGGGGUUACAAGCGUCCACGUGGGAGAGGGAGCGAGCGGCCCCAAGCGAGCGCCUGUCUCGUCCUCGUCCCCGCGCGGCCAACCCUCUCUAAGAGGGCCCUAGUCCUUCCUUUUAUAGGCGUAAGGAGAGGAUCCAGAUGUAUAAUGGGGGGUAUAGCAGAGUGCUACGUGUCUAGCGGAGGAGAGCUAGCGCCCUAAGUACAUGCCAUCGUGGCAGCCGGAGAGAUCUUGGCACCCAGCUGGUGUGAUGUCGUGGCCGUCGGAGGAGCGAUGGAGCCUGGCGGAGGGACAGCUGUCGGAGCGGUUGAGUCCUUGCUGACGUAAGGGGGCUGAGAGCCGCCGCCGUCACAGGGUACACGGGGCAUCAUCAUUGCCUUUCUGGCGGAGCGAGUCAGAUGGGACACCGGUCUUGUCCUCCGUGGCCCGAGUCAGCUCGGGGUAGGGUGAUGAUGGCGCCUCCUGUUGACGUGGCUGGUCUGCGCCAUAGGUUGGGUGAUGUGGAAGCUCCUCCGAGGCCGAGGUCGAGUCUGUCUUCCGUGGUCGAGGUCGAGUCCGAGCCCCUUGUUCAGGCGAGGCGGAGACCGUCGGCUGAGGCCAGGGCAGAGUCCGAGCCCUGGGGUCGGGCGGAGCGGAGUUCGUCGUCUUCUGGGGCUGAGCCCAAGUCCGAGCCCUGGGUCGGGCGGAGCGGAGUUCGCCGUCUUCUGGGGUUUAGCCCGAGUCCGAGCCCUGGGUCGGGCGGAGCGGAGUUCGCCGUCUUCCGGGGCUUAGCCCGAGUCCGAGCCCUGGGUCGGGCGGAGCGGAGUUCGCCGUCUUCCGGGGCUUAGCCCGAGUCCGAGCCCUGGGUCGGGCGGAGCGGAGUUCGUCGUCUUCUGGGGCUGAGCCCAAGUCCGAGCCCUGGGUCGGGCGAAGCGGAGUUCGCCGUCUUCCGGGGUUUAGCCCGAGUCCGAGCCCUGGGUCGGGCGGAGCGGAGUUCACCGUCUUCCGGGGCUUAGCCCGAGUCCGAGCCCUAGGUCGGGCGGAGCGGAGUUCGCCGUCUUCCGGGGUUUAGCCCGAGUCCGAGCCCUGGGUCGGGCGGAGCGGAGUUCGCCGUCUUCCGGGGCUUAGCCCGAGUCCGAGCCCUGGGUCGGGCGGAGCAGAGUUCGCCGUCUUCCGGGGCUUAGCCCGAGUCCGAGCCCUGGGUCGGGCGGAGCGGAGUUCGCCGUCUUCCGGGGCUUAGCCCGAGUCCGAGCCCUGGGUCGGACGGAGCUUCCUAUGGUGCCUUCGGCCGGGCCUGACUGCCUGUCAGUCUCACUCUGUCAAGUGGCACCGCAGUCGGAGUGGCGCAGGCGGCGCUGUCCUUCUGUCAGGCCGGUCAGUGGAGCGGCGAAGUGACGGCGGUCACUUCGGCUCUGCCGGCUGGGGGGCGCGUGUCAGGAUAAAGGUGUCAGGCUACCUUUGCAUUAAAUGCUCCUGCGAUUUGGUCGGUCGGUGCGGCGAUUUGGUCAGGGUUGCUUCUUGGCGAAGACAGGGCCUCGGGCGAGCCGGAAAUAUAUUCGCCGCUGGAGGGGGGCCUUGGGCGAGACGAAAAUCCUCCGGGGUCGGCUGCCCUUGUCCGAGGCUAGGCUCGGGCGAUGCGUGAUCGAGUCCCUCGAAUGGGCUGAUCCCUGACUUAAUCGCACCCAUCAGGCCUUUGUAGCUUUAUGCUGAUGGGGGUUACCAGCUGAGAAUUAGGAGCCUUGAGGGUACCCCUAAUUAUGGUCCCCGACAGUAGCCCCCGAGCCUCGAAGGGAGUGUUAGCACUCGCUUGGAGGCUUUCGUUGCACUUUUUUGCAAGGGGACCAGCCUUUCUCGGUUGCGUUUUGUUCCGGUGGGUGCGCGCGAGCGCACCCGCCGGGUGUAGCCCCCGAGGCCUCGGAGGAGUGGUUUCACUCCUUCGAGGUCUUAAUGCCUCGCGUAAUGCUUCGGCUGGUCUGGUCGUUCCCUCAUGCGAGCUGGCCGUAGCCCGGGUGUACGGUCGGGUCUCAAGUUCUCGGGUUGGUAUGUUGACGCUGUCAACGGUUCGGCCGGAGCCGGGUUUGCGAGAGCAGCCCCCGAGCCUCUGCACAGGGCGAGAGGGCGAUCAGGGACAGACUCGGCUUUUUUAUAUACGCCCCUGCGUCGCCUUUCCGCAAGGAGGAGGGGGGGAAGCGCCAUGUUGCCCUCGAUGGGCGCCGAACAUGGUGUCUCCGGUGAGCUGCAGGCGGGUAAUCCGAGUGGACGUCGGUGCCCCAUUCGUUAGGGGUCGGCUAGGGGCCCAGAGGCACGCCCAAAAGUACCUGCGGGUGAUCUGCCGGACCUGGUCCCCUGGCAACGGGGUCCGAGGGCUCGAUGCCUCCCUCUGAUGGGAUUCUGUUACAAGAUCGUUCCCGCUGGUCUCGGAAAUGUCCUAGGGUACCUCGGGAGCGCAGCCCGAGCCUUGGUUAUGUAUCGAACGUACCCAUGGUCAUCCCUCGCUCUGUGUCUGAGGCGGCUGUGAACCCUUCGGGGGCCAGCCUUCGAACCCCUGAUCAGUAGUGGGCGCGGAGCCCGAGUAGCCUGAGGCGGUCGUUGAACCCUUCCGAGGGGCCGGCCUUUGAACCUCUGGCCAGUAGUGGGUGUAGGGCCCACGUGAUCUGAGGCGGCUGUCGAACCCUUCCGAGGGGCCAGCCUUUGAACCUCUGAUCAGUAGGGAGGCUCGGAGCCUGGUUCCUUCACGGGGAAGGAUCCUUUUCGGGGUUUCCCCCUUUCCCGAUCCCUGUUGCAAGAGAGAGAAAGAGGAAAAAAGGAAAAGGAUACAAAAUCGAACGACGCGGCGUACCUUUACUGACGCGGUCAUGAAGGCGAAGCGUCGCCCGCUUCUCCUGCCAGAGGCGCCGCCUGUCCCGCCGCGGAGUUAAUGCGACGGGGCGAGUGGUUUGCGGGGCGGCCGUUGCGCGUGCGCGAGCCGUUCGGGGAACGGCUGUUUCGCUUUGCGUUUUUGAAUCCCACGUCCGGUCCGGGCGGAACGUUUGAACCGGUCUCGCCUUGGUCUUUAUAUACUCGGGAGAGGGUCUGGUGAUGGUUCUUUGCUCCGCUUCCUGCCUCCCUCUUAGGUUUUCGCAACCCGAGAGACUUAGCCAGAGAAGAGGAAAUCGCCCUCCCUGUCCCUUGCGCCGCCACCCCUUCCGCUCGGUGAUGGCUGACCGGGUGACCAUCAUCUCGCCGCGCGACCCAUGGCCUUUUUCCACGGUGACGAUGAGUGAUCUGAAGUAUCUGGUUGGCGAGGGUUUACUUCGCCCUCUCACCGAUGAGCAGCGACCGGAAUGGAUUCCCCCCGUGGGCGGAGCCGCUCCGUCCCCACCGCUGGGGUACAUUGUGAGCUUCGUCUCCUUCCACGAGCGGGGAUUUGGUGUGCCGGCGAGCCGCUUCAUGCGGGCGAUCCUGCACCACUACAGGGUGGAGUUGCACAACCUCAGCCCCAACUCCAUCUCGCAGGCCGCCAUCUUCGUAGCGGUGUGCGAGGGGUAUUUGGGGAUCGCCCCCCAUUGGGAUUUGUGGACCCAUCUCUUUUUCGUGGAGCUUUUCGCCUCGCCGACGGGGGAGAGGAAGGUCCGCGCAACAGUGCGGCCCGGCGGCUGCACCCUCUUGCUGAGGCAGUCGCGGGCGUCGCUGUAUAUUCCCGCCAUCCUUGCGUCCUCGAACAAGGGGUGGCAGCGCCGGUGGUUCUACCUCCGGAAUGACGGCGAGUUGCUCCCGCCGUUCUCCCAGCGAGUAGUCACCACCGCCGCCGAUGCUUGGCGCCACGGGACCCCGCACGAGAGACAGAAGAACCUCGAACCCCUUCUCAAGGCCUUGGAGGCGUUGCGGAAGGGGGGACUCACCGCUGCGGGGGUGAUUGCCGCCAUCCACCGCCGGAGGGUGCUUCCCUUGGCGGAGCGACGGCUGCCGCUUUGGGAGAUGACACCGGGGGCUGACUUGGAGGGCUCGUGGAUGUCCUCGGACCCUCUUCCCUUCGACGUCCUCCAUGGGCGGGUGGCCGUCGCGUUGGGGAAACCGGACCCCAGCGCCUUCUCCCAGCUUUUGAUGCGCCCAGACCAAGGGUGCGUGACUCUGGUGAGUGUCCGCUCCUUCCUUUCUCUUGCAUCGGGUUGCUCCUGGUUCUUACAAUUGGGAUUUUCCCCCUUCUUCAGGAGGUGGGGUGGCACAAGCCUUCCCUGCCACGGGUCCCGCAGGAUGCGGUGGACCGAGCAGCGCGGCGGGUUGCUGCGGAGGAGAAGAAGAAAAAGAAGGACGCGGAGAAGGCCCGGGCCCGCGAGCGGAGGCGGGCUCGAGACGCCUUGGAAAAGCUUCAUCGCCAGUAGGAGAGGGAGGGGCUCCCGAGGGAACCGUCGCCGGAAACGGCCGACGACGACGACGAUGAUGAAGAUGAUGACGAGGAAGACGACAUGGCUGCCUGCCUUGGCCUCAGCCCUGGCUUGGGGUUAGGCCAGGAGCCGUCAAGCCAGCCCCCGAGCGGGCUGAUGCCGUCAGUCCCCGGAGUCGGGACGCCGGGGUCCCGGCCCGAGGAGCGGGGGCAAUCCGAGAGGGUACUUGACCCCUCGGUUGGAGGAGUUGGGGCGACCCCGGGGAGCCAGGCCGAGGUGUCUGCUCCCCGAGAGGCGCCGCCCACGCCGGCAGCGCAGGGGAGCGACCCUCAGGUCGCCGUGGCAGUGCCUGGGCAGUCCGCCCCCCGGGCGUCCAGGGCGCCCAAAGCAAGGGUGGUGCCGAAGCUGCCGGCGAAGCGGACCUCGGCGGCGGCUCCGGGGGUCGAGAUCCGAGAGACCUCCCCCAGGCACGGUUGAUCAUGGCCCGGAGCGGGUAAGUAUCUUGGAAUGUCUUCGUCCUGGCUUUUCAUUCGUAUGUCCCGGCCAUGAUUUUUGUUUUUCCCUCAGCAAGCGAAGCCAUGGCCUGACUGACCUGGCACCCCGGAAGGCCCUUAAGACGGCGCCGGCUUGCGCGGCCAGCGCCGCUCCGGGCCUUGCCGUUCAGCCGACCUUCUCGCAAGGUGCUCCACAGCAAGGGGCUCUGGCGGCACCAGUCGCCGUGGAGCGGGUUCCCGAUGCUGGCUCUUCUGCUGAGGCGGCCAUUGUGAUAGGGGAGGCGGCUGACGCGGACGUGGCCCCAGGCCCACCGGACGUGCUGGCGAUGCCGACACCUGUCGCCACUGAAGUCGCCGCCGUCCCAGUCGGGGAGCGACCGGUCGCUGCCGACGUUGAGACGGCCGAGGCGUCGGCGCUCGGUGCCUCGGAAGAGGGGGCGUGGAGACGCGAUCCGUCCCGCCGGGCGGCAGCCUCGUCGCUGUGCGGCGGAGCUCCGAGGGCCGGCGCCAGUUGCUCCGGUUCCGGACCCGUGAGGCCUCGGAUCUCGUCUUCGUUCUCGGCGACGAAUAGGAGGACCAGUCCUGGGACGAGCUCCGCGAGUGCGCCGAAGCAACGGUGGGGUCGCUCCGGUCGUCGCUGGAGGUUUUCUGCAGGGAUGUCCCCAAAAUCCUCCAGGUAACGGUUUCAGGCAUACCUUUUCUCUUUUGUGACCAAGGCGUGUUUCGUGAUGCCCCGCUUCCUUCCCUCAGGAUCUGACGGAUCUGAGCGCCGCCAAGUCGUCAUUCAUCCGCCGCGAGGUCGACGUCUGGGGUUCGCUGCGAUCCCUGAGGACCUCGCUCGCCGGGGCUACUGCGCGCCUCUCUCAGCAGGGUGCCGAGGUGGCGGACCUUCGGUUGCUCUGCACCGAUCUGAGAGCCGAGGCGGCAGCGGCGCGCGCGGAGGCGGCCGCGGCGCGCGCAGAAGCGCAACGACAGCAGUUGGAGUUCAACCGGGUCGUCGAGGAGCGGGACCAAUCUCGGGGCCGGGCUGCCGAGGCUGAAAGCCGGGCUGAAACCCUUGCAGCCGACCUAGCCAUAGCCCAGGUCGCAGCCUCGGAGCAGCGUGCCCGAGCCGGAGGUACGCCUUGGCCAUCUUCGGUUUUCGUUCCUGCUUGUUUCCUUUGCUUGUGUUUGAGAUCUUUCUUCUGGCUGUUCGCAGAGCUCGAGUCCGCCCUUGAUGAGUCCACCAAGGCGCUUGCCGAGGCACUUGCCGGGGCGGCCGAGCAGAGGGAGGCCGACCACGCGGCCAUGUCCAAGGCCGUCUCGGACUUUUGCCGGGUCCUUGGCUCCAGCGACGUCUCCUCAGGAAGCUCCCCUCAAAGUCGUCUUCAAGUCUUGGGCGAUCAUGUGCGCGGCAGACUCCGCGAGGCGCUACACCACGGCGUCAGGUGGGCCUUCGCCGUGCUCGCUUCCCACUACGUUGUGGACCUGGAGCGGGUCAGCGAGGGGUAUUGCCUUCCCGACGAAGAUGAAGCCGCCCUGGCAGAAGUCCAGAGGCUCGAUGCGGCCGUCGCGGGUCCGAGCGCAGUGCUGGCGACCACCUUUGAGGCAGAGAUCCUCCCACCUGCGCCGUCGUCAGAAGCCGGGAUGGACUUUGCCGAAGGUGGGGACGAAGCCGAAGGCGCGGCUCCUUCCCGAGGCGACGCUUAACUCUGUUGGAACAGUUCCUGUUGGAUGCACGUGUGUCUUUCUGCGACAGCUGAGGCCUGAACACUUUGUUACCGUUGCAUGAAGUCGUACUUCUUUCCCUUUCAUUUUGCGCGUCCGGCUUCGCCUGUUAGUAACAGGGUGGCUUCCCCAUGUAGGGGUCACUUUUCGUGGCGGUGACGAGUGAGGUGUCCGUAACCCGGAGGCAUAGGAGUCCCUCGGCUCAGUCGGCCUCGCCACUUACAUGCACCCGCGUUCGCUCCUUGGGGUCCUGCCUCCGACAUAGCCGGGGGAACGCAAAAGCCUUUUUGAUUGAAAAUUUUGGACGCAGAGGGGUUCCCCAAUCUUGACGAAGAGGGGUUCCCCACUUUUUAGCCCCCGAGGGAGGGUCGGGCUCUGCCGAGGCAAGGCUGACCCUUCCUUGACGACUAAAACUUGCGUGGGAGCGAGGUAUACGAGCAACUUGAAAACAUCUUAAGGGUAGAAGUGACGUAGCUGUUGGAUGUUCCAAGCGUUGCCGUAGACCUCGUCUUGACUGUUGGCCAGCUUGUACGUUCCGGGCUUCAGGACUUUGACGAUGACAAGCGGCCCUCCCUAGGGGUGCGUGUAGCCCCCGGGUGUCUCCUCUUUGAUGAACCCUGCCGCCAUUAGCUUGUGGAUCUCCUCGCCUAUGGCUCUGCGCUUCUCCUCGUCGAAUCGGCGCAGAGGCUGCUUGAUGGGUCGGGCUCCGGCUCAGAUGUCCAGCGAGUGCUCGGCGACAUCCCUCGGUCUGCCGGGCAUGUCCGAGGGACUCCACACGAAGACGUUGGCGUUCGCACGGAGAAAGUCGAUGAGCACUGCUUCCUAUUUGGGUUCGAGCCCGGAGCCGAUCCGGAUCUGCUUGGAGGCGUCGCCGCUGAGGUCGAGGGGGACGGACUUAACCGUCUCCGCUGGAUCAAAGUUGCCGGCAUGUCGCUUCACGUCUGGCACCUCCUUAGAGAGGCUCUCUAGGUCGGCGAUGAGGGCCUCGGACUCGACGAGGGCCUCGGCGUACUCCACGCACUCCACGUCGCAUUCGAACGCGUGUUUGUACGUGGGGCCGACGGUGAUGACCCCGUUGGGGCCCGGCAUUUUGAGCUUCAGGUAGGUGUAGUUGGGGACGGCCAUGAACUUCGCGUAGCAUGGUCUUCCCAGUACCGCGUGGUAGGUUCCUCGGAACCCGACCACCUCGAACGUCAGGGUCUCCCUUCGGAAGUUGGAGGGUGUUCCGAAGCAGACGGGAAGGUCGAGUUGCCCGAGGGGCUGGACGUGCUUCCCGGGAAUGAUCCCAUGGAAGGGCGCAGCGCCCGCCCGGACGGAGGACAGAUCGACACGCAGGAGUCCGAGGGUCUCGGCGUAGAUGAUGUUGAGGCUGCUGCCUCCGUCCAUGAGGACUUUGGUGAGCCUGACGUCGCCGAUGACGGGGUCGACGACGAGCGGGUAUUUUCCCGGGCUCGGCACAUGGUCGGGGUGGUCGGCUCGGUCGAAAGUGAUGGGCUUGUCGGACCAGUCUAGAUAGACUGGCGCCGCCACCUUCACCGAGCAGACCUCCCGGCGCUCUUGCUUGUGGUGCCGAGUCGAGGCAUUCGCCGCUUGCCCCACUAUAGAUCAUGAAGCAGUCGCGGACCUCGGGGAACUCUCCUGCUUGGUGAUCUUCCUUCUUAUCGGCGUCGUGGGCCCUGCCACCCUCCGCGGGUGGCCCGGCCCUGUGGAAGUGGCGCCGAAGCAUGACGCACUCCUCAAGGGUGUGCUUGACGGGCCCCUGAUGAUAGGGGCACGGCUCCUUGAGCAUUUUGUCGAAGAGGUUGGCACCUCCGGGGGUUUCCGAGGGUUUUUGUACUCGGCGGCGGCGACAAGGUCCGCGUCGGCGGCGUCGCGUUUCGCUUGCGACUUCUUCUUGCCCUUCUUCUUGGCGCCGCGCUGAGUUGACGCCUCGGGGGCAUCUUCCGAUGGGCGGCCCUGGGGCUGCUUGUCCUUUCGGAAGAUAGCCUCGACCGCUUCCUGGCCGGAGGCGAACUUGGUGGCGAUGUCCAUCAGCUCGCUCGCCUUGGUGGGGGUCUUGCGACCCAGCUUGCUCACCAGGUCGCGGCAGGUGGUGCCAGCGAGGAACGCGCCGAUGACAUCCGAGUCGGUGAUGUUGGGCAGCUCGGUGCGCUGCUUCGAGAAUCGUCGGAUGUAGUCCUGGAGAGACUCCCCCGGCUGCUGUCGGCAGCUUCGGAGGUCCCAGGGAUUCCCGGGGCGCACGUACGUGCCCUGGAAAUUGCCGGCAAAAGCUUGGACCAGGUCGUCCCAGUUGGAGAUCUGCCCCGGAGGCAGGUGCUCCAACCAGGCGCGAGCGGUGUCAGAGAGGAACAGGGGGAGGUUGCGGAUGAUGAGGUUGUCAUCGUCCGUUCCACCCAGUUGGCAGGCCAGACGGUAGUCCGCGAGCCAUAGUUCCGGUCUCGUCUCCCCCGAGUACUUUGUGAUAGUAGUCGGGGGUCGGAACCGGGUCGGGAACGGCGCCCGUCGGAUGGCCCGGCUGAAGGCCUGUGGACCGGGUGGUUCGGGCGAGGGACUCCGAUCCUCCCCGCUGUCGUAGCGUCCCCCACGCCUAGGUGGUAGCCUCGGCGCACCCUCUCGUCGAGGUGGGCCCGUCGGUCGCGGUGAUGGUGCUCGUUGCCGAGGUGACCCGGGGCCGCAGGCGCGGUGUUGCGCGUGCGCCCGGUGUAGGCCGAGGCUUCCCGCAUGACUCGGGAAGUCGCGGCAUGAGGUUCCGAGGGGUACCCCUGCCUUCGGGAGGCAGAGCUCUCGGUCCGUCGGACCGCGGCGCCUUCCAGGAGAUUCUUGAGCUCUCCCUGGAUUCGCCGUCCCUCGGUGGUUGAUGGCUCCGGCAUCGCGCGGAGGAGCAUUGCUGCUGCAGCCAGGUUCUGGCCGACCCCACUGGAUGCGGGUGGUGGCCUGACCCUGACGUCGUCGGCGAUGCGGUGCUGGAAGCCCGGGGGUAGAUGACGUAUUUCUCCGGCCGGAGGCUGGCCCGCCCAUGCCUGCCCGACGUCCCGACGGAUCGGCUCAAGCGCUCCUGCUCCCUCGUCGAGCCUGGCCUACACCCCGCGGAUUUGCUCGAGCUGUGGGUCAUGGCCCCCCGCCUGAACGGGGACCACAGCUAGCUCCCGUGGGAUGUCAACGCGAGGCACCGGCCUAGGGAGAUCACCGUCCUCCGGCAUGCCGAGAUGGUUGCCUUCGGAGGGACCCCCCAGAUCGACGUGGAAGCAUUCGCGACUUGGGCCACAGUCCUCGUCGCCGAGGCUACGGCUACCGUCGGAACAGUCGGAGAGGCAGUAGUCACAUGCGGUCAUGAAGUCCCGCACGACACUGGGGUUGCCAAGUCCAGAGAAAUCCCAACAGAAGCUGGGCUCGUCGUCUUCCUCGGACCCGGAGGGCCCGUAGGUCGAGACGUCCGUCAGCCGGUCCCAAGGUGACCGCAUACGAAACCCCAGAGGGUUUGGACUCGCCUCUACGGGAACGCCCGCCAAAGCAAAGUCGCUAGGCGGGUUGAGGCUGAAUCCAAAUGGCGUGGGAUGAGAAUUGGUCGGUACCUCUUGGUCGCCGGGCGGUGAUGAAAUCACGUCGGGACUGAAUGCACCGUCGUCUCAGGUACGAGGGUGACGUCCAGCAAGCUUUUCGCGAGCGUGCUGGCGUCGUCCGCUUGCUCAGGAUUGGCGUGUCGCGAAGAUGCGGCGCUCGUCUUCGUCUCAAGCGCGAGGUCGAUACCCGGUGCGCCCCCCGUUGGGGUGCCAGCGCUGUCGACUCGCUCGACAGCCGACGAGGCACUGCCUCCUGCUUGGCCUUGGUUGCCCCGCCUUCCCCGCCGCCGGCGGGGAAGAGGGCGGGAUGAGCUCGAAGGUUGUUCUUCCACCACGCGGGGAAGACGUCGUCGAUUCCGCCGCCGGUGGGCGGGCUGUCGGCCGCCGUUGCCGCUGCCGCCCGGCGGUGGAAUGAGUUUCAUGUCGUAGCUGCCGUCGAGGGACAUGAACUCGAGACUCCCGAAACGGAGCACCGUCCCGGGUUGGAGAGGUCGCUGGAGACUGCCCAUCUGGAGCUUGACGGGAAGCUGUUCGUCAACACGCAGCAGGUCCCUACCUGGCGCGCCAACUGUCGGCGUUUCGAGACCGGGGGGUCCCUGAGCCGACGAGUGAAUGUCGCCGCGUGCUCCAGCCCAGAUGGGUCGAGCGCGAGGGCGAGCGCGAAGGGGGGAGAGCGAGGCGGCCGGAGACCGGCGUGAGAGAGGUGGGAAUCCCGCGGCCUUCGUGUUCGUCCCGCGCCCAGGUCGGGUGCGCUUGCAGUAGGGGGUUACAAGCGUCCACGCGGGAGAGGGAGCGAGCGGCCCCAAGCGAGCGCCUGUCUCGUCCUCGUCCCCGCGCGGCCAACCCUCUCUAAGAGGGCCCUGGUCCUUCCUUUUAUAGGCGUAAGGAGAGGAUCCAGAUGUACAAUGGGGGGUAUAGCAGAGUGCUACGUGUCUAGCGGAGGAGAGCUAGCGCCCUAAGUACAUGCCGUCGUGGCAGCCGGAGAGAUCUUGGCACCCAGCUGGUGUGAUGUCGUGGCCGUCGGAGGAGCAAUGGAGCCUGGCGGAGGGACAGCUGUCGGAGCGGUUGAGUGCUUGCUGACGUCCUCUUGCUUCUGUAAGGGGGCUGAGAGCCGCCGCCGUCACAGGGUACGCGGGGCGUCAUCAUUGCCUUUCUGGCGGAGCGAGCCAGAUGGGACACCAGUCUUGUCCCCCGUGGCCCGAGUCAGCUCGGGGUAGGGUGAUGAUGGCGCCUCCUGUUGACGUGGCUGGUCUGUGCCCUAGGUUGGGUGAUGUGGAAGCUCCUCCGAGGCCGAGGUCGAGUCUGUCUUCCGUGGUCGAGGUCGAGUCCGAGCCCCUGGUUCAGGCGAGGCAGAGACCGUCGGCUGAGGCCAGGGCGGAGUCCGAGCCCUGGGGUCGGGUGGAGCGGAGUUCGUCGUCUUUUGGGGCUGAGCCCAAGUCCGAGCCCUGGGUCGGGCGGAGCGGAGUUCACCGUCUUCUGGGGUUUAGCCCGAGUCCGAGCCCUGGGUCGGGCGGAGCGGAGUUCGCCGUCUUCCGGGGCUUAGCCCGAGUCCGAGCCCUGGGUCGGGCGGAGCGGAGUUCGCCGUCUUCCGGGGCUUAGCCCGAGUCCGAGCCCUGGGUUGGGCGGAGCGGAGUUCGUCGUCUUCUGGGGUUGAGCCCAAGUCCGAGCCCUGGGUCGGGCGGAGCGGAGUUCGCUGUCUUCCGAGGUUUAGCCCGAGUCCGAGCCCUGGGCCGGGCGGAGCGGAGUUCGCCGUCUUCCGGGGCUUAGCCCGAGUCCGAGCCCUGGGUCGGGCGGAGCGGAGUUCGCCGUCUUCCGGGGCUUAGCCCGAGUCCGAGCCCUGGGUCGGGCGGAGCGGAGUUCGUCGUCUUCCGGGGUUUAGCCCGAGUCCGAGCCCUGGGUCGGGCGGAGCGGAGUUCGCCGUCUUCCGGGGCUUAGCCCGAGUCCGAGCCCUGGGUCGGGCAGAGCAGAGUUCGCCGUCUUCCGGGGCUUAGCCCGAGUCCGAGCCCUAGGUCGGGCGGAGCGGAGUUCGCCGUCUUCCGGGGCUUAGCCCGAGUCCGAGCCCUGGGUCGGGCGGAGCUUCCUAUGGUGCCUUCGGCCGGGCCUGACUGCCUGUCAGUCUCACUCUGUCAAGUGGCAUCGCAGUCGGAGUGGCGCAGGCGGCGCUGUCCUUCUGUCAGGCCGGUCAGUGGAGCGGCGAAGUGACGGCGGUCACUUCGGCUCUGCCGGCUAGGGGCGCGCGUCAGGAUAAAGGUGUCAGGCUACCUUUGCAUUAAAUGCUCCUGCGAUUUGGUCGGUCGGUGCGGCGAUUUGGUCAGGGUUGCUUCUUGGCGAAGACAGGGCCUCGAGCGAGCCGGAAAUAUAUUCGCCGCUGGAGGGGGGGCCUCGGGCGAGACGGAAAUCCCCCGGGGUCGGCUGCCCUUGUCCGAGGCUAGGCUCGGGCGAGGCGUCAUCGAGUCCCUCGAAUGGGCUGAUCCCUGACUUAAUCGCACCCAUCAGGCCUUUGCAGCUUUAUGCUGAUGGGGGUUACCAGCUGAGAAUUAGGAGCCUUGAGGGUACACCUAAUUAUGGUCCCCGACAAAUGUAGCACUUAACUCUUGCAUAUGUCAACUCGCCACCGGGGUUCUUAAGACCAGAUCUGGUUCACGCCAACCGAGAGCACAGAUACACCACCGUCCAGCCUCUUGCCACGGAGGGUACACGCUACUCUCGCCAUCUCUCCACUCCCAUUGCGUGUUAUCUUAUUCUGGUAUUAGUCUGCCCGAGGCAAAGUUUACCCAUGAUGAGGCAUGUGACCUGUUAAAGGGUCCUCGAUCAGCAAGCCUACAUCGACACGGUCCUUAAUCGACUCAGACUGAGACACUACACCGAGAUUCCUUUCUCGUGCAAGUCAACCGCCCGGUAUCAGCUUUAUUAUUUUCAACCCAAAUUUUGGUACCUGGCAGAGGUAUAUCUUUUCCGAUGUUGAACCCAUCAAGGCCUUGAUGGAUCCACCAUCACAAGUUUUUCUUUUUGAAAACAUUCCCACCCACUGAAGCAUCACUUUUGUUUUAAAAACAAACAUUUUGUUUUUCUAGAGCAAGGCUAAGCAUCAAAAAUCCUUUUUUGUAAAAGGGUAUCAAGGAAGGGUAUUCAAUUUUCCAAGGAAGGAAAUGCAUCAACGGUUUAGCACACAACUCCUAUCACCUAAUGCAUCAAAUAAGGUGAUAAAGAUUUUAAAACACAAGCAGGUGGCAAAUGCAUCGGGGCUUGCCUGAAUAACACUAGGUUAGUGUUUGUUAAGUGGCGACCACUUGGCGAGCAUCCUUGGGCUUGGCACUCGUUCCGAUUAUCCAUCUUCCAGUUUGUCCAUCAGCAUCACCAUGCGGAGUAGCCCACACUUGGGGUCGACUUGGCUCGUCUUCCGCAUCACGCGAUUAUUUAUCGUACCUCAUAAGAUGCACGAUGCACAUGUAUGAGCACAAGUAUAACAAAUAUAAUAUAGAUAAUCCACACUAAAAAGGAUGAAACCUUAAAACCAAGCAUUAAGCACCAUGGAUAUCACAACAGGGCAUCAACUACAUCCAUUAACCAAAUUGACAUAAUAACACUAGAACAUCUAUUUUACUCCUAGCUUUUUAUUAACUCUUUAAACUGUGUAUCUUAUAUAUUAAUAAAACUUCCCAUUUUUAACACCUACAGUCCCGCAAACACUGAGACCUAUUGAGACCUCUUUCAUCCUACGACAUCGACCAAAUUACCAAAGCAACUCCGGCAAUCUAAUAAAUAUUUUACCUAGUCAAACCAUCCAUCAAUCUGCUAAUACGAAUAACAAAUUUGCUUACCCUGACUAAUUCGACGAGAUAAUCGGAAGCACGACGACGGUUUUCAGUUGAUGUCUUCGAUCACACACGUCUGGCGAACAAUGCACACAACUUCUAUUCUUGACCAGAUACUCAUGGAAUUCCUUUUUGUCGAGCUGGUGACGCGCGGCCAGCACAAGAGCGUCUUCACGGCUUGGGACUUGGCAUAGACGAGGAUGACGAUCGACGAUAUCGACGUGCCAGCACGACGAUUUCUAGUUGACGACGAUGAUGGCAGUACGACUCGUUCGAGUUGAGGCGAGCGCGAUCCAGGUACCACAACAGUACGUCGAAAAAGCCACGAUGACACACGAGGUGAACGCGGCAACACACGGCUCAACGGAUAAAGAGGGCGCGACGACUGGCGAGCUGGACUAGAUCGGAUAGGAACAGCCGACGAAAUAACCAUGGCGAAUAGGAAAUCGACAACUGGUGAAACCGAUGGCCGAACAAGAUCUGCACAGAUUGACGACGCGAGACUCGAUCUGACGAGCGCGACGCAAGGGAUCAGAGAGAGAGACGCGCUGACGAGUAAGGGCUAGUUUGGGAGCCAAAGGGUAAUUAACCCAGAGAAAAGUACCAAAGGGGGAGAUUUCCUUGUCACUUUACUUCCCUGUCAGAAAAUACCUCCAUGAGAGAAUUACCCGGGUUAGUUUGGUCACCGGACAUUCCCUGGGAUAAUUAACCGAGAACCUGGCAACAGCGCCUCACACUGCUACCAGCAUACAAAGAAAUAUAUUGCACAAGGGACAUGCAGGGAGCUGUCUGCUCCAUUACAGCAUGGAAUCAAAAAUGUUUGUCACCAAAUCAUUCAUAUUAACUAGAGAAAAACAAGGAAAAUUCAAAAAAAAGUAUGAUCAUAAUCAAGAAAAAACUCCAUCUCCAUUUAUGUAUCCAGAUAGAUAAUUUUUCAUGUUCCAACUAAUACCGAUCAAGCUAAUUUAGUACUCCAAAUCACAAAAAAAUCAUCUUCAUACAUGCAUCAAGAUAGAUAACUUAAAGCGCCAUAAUUUAAUUCUCCAAAUCAUAAAAAAUCAUCUCCAUUCAUGCAUCUAAAUUACAAAAAAAUCAUCAUAUUCAUUCUGGUGCAACCCAAGGUCUUGGUCUUGCCUUCCCCUUCCUCUAGACUUGCAUGUUCCAUGUGACGCAACAAAAAAAAAUUCAUCAACAUUAUGAAAGCACUAUACUUUAGAUUAUAUAAGACCUCAAUGACAGAAAAAUAUUCCUUCUUUGCUCAUUUUCCCCAUCAAACUCUGGAAGACCGGCCACAGACACAGAAAGCUAGCAAACAUGAUUACUCUUCCGUAGCAUCACCGAUGGUAACAUCAGUUUUCGGUCUCAAUGGAGUGAUCUUCGUUGACAAUACCUCUGCAAACAAUAGCACUCCCAACCUUGUAUAUCUUUGCACUUAGACGCUACUGCUGGAUACAAUUGGUACAUGUUAAUGGCUCUAUAAGGGAAUUGUGUCCAUUCAUGAUUAACGACUAGAAUAUCAGGAACCCUGUUGCACGCUUCGGGAACUAUGUCCAUUCAUAAUCAACUGCAACUAUGCAGUAAGGGUACCAAAACGGGUUCCAGCCAAAAAACAAUAGAAACCACUCCAACUAAUCCACAUUUCACAUCUUCUUCUAAACUGAGUAACUCUAGUCUUCAGGAAGAACAACAAAAAUUUCAGCAUCCAGCCAAAAGAAUAUUUCUCAGCUGCUACAGCUAACAGAAAAAUUUGCCACUGUGCGGAGUCUUUGGUUUUUAUUUUUUGUACUUUAUUCGUCAUGACCAUCCUCUUUUUAAUAGGACAUGCAACUCUCCUACAGUUCAGUUUUUUAGAAAGAAUCUAAUAAACAACAUCAUCCUUUUAUCUAGUGGAGCAUAUCAGAGUGGACUGAAAUGGUAUGGAGGUAGAGCUCCAUCGGACCAACAUCUAUUGGGUGAGGUUCAUCGAUGGUAGGAAAGUAAAAAAGAAGUUCCACACAGAAGAAACAAUAGUGGGAGAGAAAUGAUUGUUUUUUGUAGUCAACACUUCUCAAAUUAGUAGGAAAGUAAAAAGAAGUAAAAACUUCGUAUGCAUUAACUUCCAUCGAACAACAAAAACAUAAGCAUAUGUUGGCAACAGCUGACCUGAACAGGCAAGAAACUAGCCUUUGAAUAAUUAAGCACGGCCAUUUGCUUUCCCCUCACUUUGAAUUUUUCUACUAGUCUUGGAUAAACAUCAGAAAGUCAAUUUGACAGAAACAUAGGAACCAAAUUAGGCUAACUGAGGAAAGGGGACAAGAGAAAGAAACAGGAUCUGCCCAUACGCACACCAGCCUUGCCGAGAUCUGUCUGCCCGCUUGCUGCCUACUUCUCAUCCAUGCAUGGUGCUGCCGGCAUUGCCCAACGCCCAUACAAUCCUCCUCCUCUUCGCCUCCAUGGCGUGGUCCCAGGAGGAGGCGUCUAGCCGCAUAGCCGAGCCCCACGCAUCCUCGUACAUGACGGCUCGAACGAGUGUGGGUUUGGUGAGGACGAGCAACCCAUACAUGACGACGAUGAACACCAUGGAUAGUCCAAGCGUGACGCCGAACUUCUUGUUCGCCGCCUCUUUCCCCACUCAAAUCGGACUCUAGUCUCUUGCCCAAAUCGCAAGAAGAAACCCUAGCAAGAAGGUGCGGGAAGAGUCGAACUUACCCAGCAAGGUGUGAGAAGAAGUGAGGUUACCCCAGGAAGGAGGUGAACUAUCACUGGUUGAGGCAUGGCGACGACGGAGAUCGCACACGGUGGCAGCGCCGGCGACCGCACGAGAGAGGACAUGAGUCGGGGAUAGGUGCCCGACGUUCGGAGGCCGGGCGCGUUUCCACGCGGAAGCUACGCUAAGACCGGGCCGAUCCCCCCACGGAGCUAACUCCCAAACAUGCCGGAGCCAUACCCCGUGGUAGAUUCUCGCGUGGGCCGCUGGCACAGGGAAAAAGGUAAAUUCCCUACGUGGAAAUGGACUGCCAAACUAGCCCUAAGCAGGAAGUCGCGACGAGGAAGCUCGGCGCGCAGACUGGGCGAGCUGGACGCGCGGCCGACUGGAGCAGCGCGCGAGCAGAGGACAGGGAGGGCGCGCGGCAAACAGAGGAGCCAGGGCCGCGCCAUUCUAGCGAGCAGGAGGAUAGGAGAGCUGAGCACAGAGGCGAGCUCGGACUGAGGGAGCGCUGAGCGCGCGUGGGAUGGGAGCUCGAAGCCAAGCUCGAUGUUGGGGGCGAGCAGGGAGAUCCGGGCUGGGGCUGACAGCUCGACGGCGCUCGCGGCCAAGGAAGACGGACGCGCUGCAGGGGAGUUCCAUGGCGGGGUCACAGCAGGGGAUGAGCGCGACGCAGGGGGUUGGUCUUCUAGCACCAACGACGAAGAGAGCGGCCAAUGACAGACCUAGAUGUUCCUGUGCCCACCACCGUGUGACCAUGGCUAAACAAGGACGACCGGUGUGAAGGGGAUGAGGAACUUUGGCCCAGCAGCAGGGAAUCGGAUGCCGACCAAGGAGAAGCGUUCUGCCAUGGACGACCUGCAGGCCGCGGCAGGGCGGCACGAGACCGCGCGCCAGUCAAGGAGCAGGCACGGCUGCCAUGGGCGAGCACAGGGAGCUGCGUGGCGGCGCGAGCAGGGAAGGAGCAGAGGCCGAGCAGAGGAACUCACGACGGCGCAGAGGAGCUGGAGCGGGAGGAGGGAGCUCCGGCCAGGCGCCGGAGAGAAGACCGAGCUGGGGCGCCAUGAGCCCAUGAGGGAGCAGGAGUGUUGGGAGCCGAGCGUGCGUGAGGUAAGGCCACGGUUUACAAAACCGUUUCAGAUGUAAAAACUGCCCCCCACCGAUAACGGUUUACCGUCGGUAAACCGGUGGAAACCGGUAAAAACCGACCGGUUUGGCCAAACCAAAUCAUUUUGAAUUCAAACCGGUUUACCAGCGGAAAACCGGUGAAAAACCGGCGAAAAACCAGUAGAAACCGCCGGUUAACCGCGAAACAAACUGGUUUUAUUGUUUUUUGCAGAAAAAUUGAAAAUUUUGUCAGAAUUUAUUUGUAGUUUGCUCAAUUCACAUUGUACAGUAAAUAUUAAUUGAUCUACACAACAUGCAUUCACCAAAAAACAUAUAAUAUAUAUAUAUAUAUAUAUGCAACCACAAACUCCAGUUCUCAUGUAAUAAACAACCAGCGAACUUCGCAUACUCAAAUACAAGUUCUUUUACACCUCUCCAACGAGGCAACGACACAUAGGUCGACUUAUUUCACAAUACUCACAUGUUCACCUCGAGUCAUAGUGAUAGUACUUAAGCAUGUUGGAAGGGUCGUGAUAUUGUUUCAAUCCAUCAUAGUGAUAGUGAUAGGUCUAUACAAAAGAUACGAGAUACAUUAGCGAGAAAAUAAGAACGACAAAUAAAUACUUAUCCACAAAGCAAAACAACAUACCGGUAUGUAUGUUUGGUGUUUGUGUAUUGCACGUGCACCUCACCAAGUGUUGAACUUUUCUCCUGAUCAGCAAAUCUUAGGAACACAUACAGAAGAACUGGAGCUAAGAGUUCUAGCUAGAUUGAGUAUUGUCUAGACGGAUACUUAUUAGAAGAACUGAAGCUACUUGAUCCACAGAUUCCAUCUUGGACAGGAAAUGUAACCGAAAUUGACCACUAAAUGUCUAAACUUGACUUGAGCUACCGGUUUCAUCUUCAAGCAAAUCUUAGGAACACAUACAGAAGAAUUGGAGCUAAGAGUUCUAGCUAGAUUGAGUAUUGUCCAGACGGAUACUUAUUAGAAGAACUGAAGCUACUUGAUCCACGGAUUCCAUCUUGGACAGGAAAUGUAACCGAAAUUGACCACUAAAUGUCUAAACUUGACUUGAGCUACUGGUUUCAUCUUCAAGCAAAUCUUAGGAACACAUACAGAAGAAUUGGAGCUAAGAGUUCUAGCUAGAUUGAGUAUUGUCCAGACGGAUACUUAUUAGAAGAACUGAAGCUACUUGAUCCACGGAUUUCAUCUUGGACAGGAAAUGUAACCGAAAUUGACCACUAAAUUUCUAAACUUGACUUGAGCUACGGGUUUCAUCUUCAAGCAAAUCUUAGGAACACAUAUAGAAGAACUGGAGCUAGGAGUUCUAGCUAGAUUGAGUAUUGUCCAGACGGAUACUUAUUAGAAGAACUGAAGCUACUUGAUCCACGGAUUCCAUCUUGGAUAGGAAAUGUAACCGAAAUUGACCACUAAAUGUCUAAACUUGACUUGAGCUACGGGUUUCAUCUUCACAUAUAGCAUAUAACAUCUCCACAUAUAACAUAUAACAUUAAACAAGACUAGUAUACCUAAAUUGACCACUAAAUACUCAAUCGUGGCAUUAAAUUCGGGUUUCCGGCAAAAAUUGGCGGUUUACCGAUCUAAAAUAACGGUUUACCGGUCCCAAAAAACGGUUUACCGGCGGUUUCCGGUUUUUAUGAAUUUUUUCAAAUUUUUCAAAUUUGGAACGAAUUUUGAAAAAAACCGGUGGUUAACCGAAACCGCACCCCAGCGGUUUCGGUAAACCGACCGGUUUACCGCCGGUUUUUACCGGUUUUGUAAACCGUGGGUAAGGCCGACGGCCAACACACGGUGAAAAAAAAUCAGGGGAAGGGAAGCGGUGGUAGGAUAGGAAUGGCUGACAUAUUCUUUUUUUUCAUUUCUUCUUUUUUUACGGAAAAUCGCAGAUAUUUUGGGAAUUAAAAUUUUUGAAUCGAGAUUUUUAGAGAGGAACAAAGAGUCAAUGCGCGAUACGGUAAACGGCUAUACACAUUAUUUUCUCGGAUCACGAAACGAAAAGUCUGAGAUUUACGAUUCUGACAACAUUUCGUUUGGAUAGUUUUUGUGACUGUUUCGGGCAACACGCAAACGGACUGGAUAUCGGAUACAUUAUUUGAGACAACACUGGUUUAGUCAAACCCGGAUAAAAAUUUAUCCGUUGUCUAAACACAGUUGAUUUUAUUACUUUACAAAGUAUGCUGAAGAAUAAAUUGGAUCAUCUCCUCGCGCACGAUUUUUCUUAGAUAGUGCGCGAUUUAGAUUGGUUUGCUCUGAACAUUUCUGUCGUCGAGUUCAAAUUCAUUUGUCUGGGACAAAAAUCAUCCAGUGGGUCGAGCUUCCAAAUCUCGUAUUCGCGCGAGCGAUGAAUUUUAAAUAAUCACCGGACGCACCGAUUUUCGGGACAACUAUGUUCCGAACAACACGAAAAUUUCGGAAGAGCCCAGAUAGAUAAAAAAAUGGUGUCGAACUCGCGAUAGCCGAACAGAUGCGAUAUUAAAAUCACGCUAGACGAAGAUGUUUAAAAUUUAACAUCCGUUUUAUCCACUGAUUACGUGUUUAAAUCUGUACUCGUUGUCGAGCGGAAUAUAAACACCUGGGGUGUUACAUGUAGCACUCUGAAUUUUGAGAUAUAAAAUUUCUUUGCUCUGUACUCAAAAUUCAGGUGUUACUCUUUCCUUUUCUUCACUUUUCUAUUCCCUUUAUUAAAACAGUAGAGAGUUAUUUUGUUCUAUGUUGGCGUGAGCCCUAGAAGUGUCAUGAUUGUUGCAUUCAUGCUAUUGCAUAGUGUUUCUAAGUGCAAGAAGUGUUUGAAACAUGCUAAUUUGUCUUGUAGAAGUUUCCCGUAAAUUUUCAUAUUUUUCUAAAUAUUUUUCUAUUUUCUGAAAUUCAAAAUAUGUUUAUUUGAGGUAUUUAAAAACUUUUUCAAAAGUUCUAAAUAUGUUUUUGAGUUCAUUGGCUGCCAAAUCAGCCUAGGAAUUUUCCUAGAACUUUUGGUGCCUUCGAGAUGUUCUUCGUUUAUUAAAAACAAUUUCAGACUUUUUCUAAAAUUACGAAAAAUAAAAUAUCUUCAAACCCUAGCAAUAUAUAUGGAAAUUACGAAAAAUAAAAUAUCUUCAAACCCUAGCAAUAUAUAUGGCUGGAAUACUCUCGUCGAGCCCUUUCCGAAAUUUGAAAACCCAUCCCCAGUCGAGAUCCGAAACUCCCGGAAUUACUCGCCGAAGUUCAUGACUGUUCCAACUCCGGCGAGAAAUUAUUUUCGAUCCGUGCUUCGUUGGUGGAAUGCGAGGGUACCGUUGCGUUCGUCUCGCCGAGAGCUUCGCCCCGGUGCCUUUGAUUUCAUCGAUUCGAUCGAUGGUUCGUCCUCAAUCGGCGAAUUUGUGCUCGGCUCUCGCGAUGUCGUCUUCUCCGGUGAGCUAUCCACCAUUGUUGCACCUAGGGUUUCUUUCUUUCUCCGUUUCCCAUUCGCACAGGGCCUCCCUCACCCUUCCCUCACCCUCCUCGGCGGUGACGACUUGUCCCCUAUCUUACCCCCUACACGUAGCCCACCUCCCUGUUGGGGCGAAGGCGAAGACGCUACCCAUCGCUCGAUGCCUUCGCCAAUCUUGCUGCACCAACGGAGGCGAAACGACUGGCAGUCUCCACCCUUCGUCCAACACGCUGUAGGACGAAGGCCUACGACGAGGUCGCCCCAUCUCGCGCCCUCGUCCAACAUGAAGGCCCACGUGGAAUUCGACCCAUUGUAACAGGCCUCGCGUGGCUGCUGCGUAUUACGGGCCUAAUUUGUAAAGGCUUCUCUGUAAUUACAGUCUUUAACCAUGCUUUAUAAGAAUAUUCCGGGGAUAACCUGGGCGCUUGAGGGCACAUGCGUCCUUAAUCCAAGACGCUGGGCACUCAGGCACCUAUAAAUACCCCCGCACAGUGCCCUUGAGAGGCUAGAUUAACAGAGCAAUUUUCUUCCUGAGCUAAAACCUUGUUUGCAUUACUUUCAUUCCCCCGUUGGAUCAUCCUGCUCGGGAGAGCAAGUUCCAACAUUUGGCGCCCACCGUUCGUGCUACGAGAAAACCACCCGCGAUGGCACCCAAGAGAGCUAGCUCGAAGGCAGCCCCAUCCGUUGAUGAAGCAGCGAAGGCAGCGCUGUUGGCUGAGAAAAAGGGCAAUGCCCUUGUCGACACCACCCACCAAGAAGCCUGCGAAGACGACGCACUCAGCAAGAGGCAGCGCAAUGAACAACCCACACCCGAAGGCAGGCUCUGCACCUGCAGCUCCGGAGGACAACCGCAACCUCCCCCAGGCUUCGCUCCACCGGAGGGCGCGGACGCCACUGAGGAUGGCGAAGUCAUCGGCGUUUCAGUAGAAGAACAACUACAGCUGCGGGCCUUGCGCAUCAAGAACCGCAACCUCCAGAAGGAGAAGGAGAUCCUCGAGGCCAAGCGCCAACGUGUCUCUGCUCAGACCAAGGUGCACCAGAUGAUACGCGACGAGGAGCAGAAGGCUCAGGAGCUUGAGCAAGAGAUUGCGCUCAUGCAGAGCGAAGGCCAACUUGGUCUGCAACAAGGCCCACCCCUCCAACAGCGCGCGCCAUUCGAGGACCUGUUCAUUCCUCAGCGUGGACCCGUCAUCCCGCACGCCGCAGCAUUCCAAGGUGUCAACUACCUUGACGAGCGAAGUCCCCUGGCGCCGCACCUGCAUGUGUCACCAUGGCCCGCCAACUUCAGGCUAGGGACCUACCCCAAGUACAACGGCAGCACUGACCCAGCACAGUAUAUCAUGAGUUACCAAGUCGUCGUUGCAUCAUCCGGAGGGGACGGCGCCACGAUAGCCAAAUCAUUCAUCAUCGCCCUCGAAGGCCCGGCUCUCACUUGGUACACCAUGUUGCCCCCAUUGUCCAUCGAUUCCUAGAGAAGUCUGCGGGACAAAUUUUUGCUCAACUUCCAAGGGUACCGCCCAGACACCGACGCCUUGGCUGAACUGUCACUCUGCAAGCAGCUGGAAAGAGAGACUCUGCGGGAGUACUACCACAAGUUUCUGACUCUCAAGUCGCAACUGCCUUCGGUUGAUGACCAAAUAGCCAUUCACUACGCCAUCAAUGGCCUUCGGGUUGGCGUUCUUUAUAGCCACUGCAUCACAGAUCCGCCCAAGAACCUCCAGGAGCUAUAUCAGUUGUUCGAAAAAUAUGCCAGAUCCGAAGAGCUCCACUAGCGCAAGGUCGAGUCCUAGAGGAAACCCAAAGACCCUCCGCAGUCCAGCCGAACGUGGACAAGACCUUCGCCGUCAGACUCCGGUCGGGACGGCCGCAAUCAGCAGCAGGUACACAACAUCGCCAACCAGCACCCCGCUAGUGAGGCCCCUCGCCGCCAAGAGUAUCCCCCCAGGGCCGCGGCAACGAAACUCGAGGUUGGGACCGAGAAUGGGCGCAGCAGCCACGCAGAUUUUACUGCUUGUUCCACGGCGAAGACUGCGCGCACCCAACAAGGGACUGCCCGGAAACGAAGGCCACCAGAGACAGGAUGUCUCGGGCGCAACCAGCCGACAACCCAAGAGUUGUCGCGCACACAUAUCAACAACUCCCACAGCCAUACAACCACGGCCUCGCUCAGCAUCCACCUAACCACUCAUACCAACACCACCAGGAGGUACAAAUCAUACCUCUCCCACUCCCACCUCCACACCCGCAACAGCAAAACAUCCACCACCCCAACCACCCCCAAGCCCCAAAGCAAGAAGACUUCACCAAUCAGCCGUAUCGUGGAGUCAUUCACAUGAUCACUGGGGGGGCCAGCGUCAACUUCGACACGAAGCGACAGAAGAGGGACCACUACCGCAGCAUCAACCACAUCGCCGUCACCGGUCCAGUCGUGCAGACAAAGUGGUCCCAUGUGCCAUUGACCUUCGACGCCUGAGACGUCGACCUGUGCAGCGCACCCCACAUCGACACCAUGGUUAUCAACUGCAGCGUGGCAGGCUGGGACCUACACAAAGUCUUAGUCGACAAUGACAGCCAGGCGGAUAUCAUUUUCCUCCAUGCCUUCGACCGCAUGGGCAUUAGCCACAACUUGCUUAAGCCUUCGGACAACCCACUGUAUGGCUUCGGCAGCAAGGGCACCUUUCCUGUCGUCAAAAUAGAGCUACCCCUCUCCUUCGGUGUAGCACCCAAUGCACGAAGUGAGCAAGUCACGUUCGACAUCGUCGACAUGGUAUACCCGUACAACGCCAUAAUGGGUCGGGGCUCCAUCAACAAGUUUGAGGCAGCCAUUCACGGACUUUACCUGUGCAUGAAGAUCCCGGGUCCGCAAGGCGCGAUCACAGUCUACGGCAACCAGCAGGCCGCGUGCAACAUAGAAAGAGACUUCGUUCCUGGGCAAAGGAACGUACACUGCCUCACGACCCAACGCAAGGUCCACGAGUCUGCCAGCCCAACCACCAAAGAGCAUGAAAAGGCACACCUGCAGAGCAACGAUGGGACCAAGACUGUUCCCCUCGACCAAGCAACGCCCAAGCAAACGGUCAUCAUCAGCGAAGACCUCACUUCGCAUGACGAGGAGAGACUCCUCUGUUGUCUGUCCAAAAAUAAAGACAUCUUCGCCUGGUUCGCCCUUGACCUGGUCGGAGUCAGUCGCUCUAUCAUCGAGCACAGCUUGGGAAUCAACCCUUCGGUGAGGCCGAAGAAACAGCGGCUGCGCAAGAUGUCUGAUGAGAAGACAAAAGCCGCCAAGGCCGGGGUACACCACCUGCUUGAGGCCAAAUUUAUCAAGCCAGUCGCCUACCCUACGUGGCUCGCCAACGUAGUGAUGGUGCAGAAGAAGAGGGGCAAGUGGCGGAUGUGCAUUGAUUUCACCAGCCUCAACAAGGCCUGCCCCAAGGACAACUUCCCGCUGCCUCGGAUCGACAAGAUCAUCGAUAGUGCGGUCGGGUGCGAAGUCAUGUCACUCCUUGAUUGCUUCUCCGGCUACCAUCAAAUAUAUAUGAAGGAGGAAGACAAGGCAAGCACCAGUUUCAUAACACCCUUCGGCACGUAUUGCUUCAUCAGAAUGCCGGAGGGACUUAAGAACGCUGGGUCCACAUUCUCUCGGCUCACCAAAACGGUGCUCGAGAGCCAAGUCGGCAGAAACAUAUUUACGUAUGUGGACGACAUCGUCGUCGCCAGCAGAAGCAAGGAAGACCAUCUGGCUGACCUCGCAGAAACGUUCGCGAACAUGCGGGACACACGACUUCGCCUAAACCCUGAAAAGUGCGUCUUCGGCGUUCGCCAGGGGAAAAUACUGGGCUACCUGGUGUCGCACCACGGGAUCGAAGCCAAUCCGACCAAAAUCCAGGCCAUCAUCAACAUGACGCCCCCGCAGUCAGCCAGAGACGUCCAACGACUGACAGGCAGAUUGGUCGCCCUCAACAGAUUCAUCUCCAAGUCCGCAGAGCGAAGCCUCCCUUUCCUCAAAACACUUCGCGGCGCAAAAGACUUUGCAUGGGGACCAAAGCAAGCGGCGACCUUCGCUUCAUUAAAGCAGUACCUGUCAGAGUUGGCGAUUCUUACAAGCCCCAACCCCUCGCUACCCCUGUUGCUCUACAUCGCAGCUUCGCCGCAUGCGGUCAGCGCAGCACUGGUUCAAGAGCAAGACAGAGAGGGCACGAUCAGGCAAUGUCCAGUUUAUUAUGUCUCUGAAGUACUCAUGACAUCAAAAUGCAACAUGACGGAACUGGAAAAAAUCGCCUACACAGUUGUUAUGGCUUCGCGCAAAUUGCGCCAUUAUUUUGAAGCGUUCAAGGUACGGGUCACCUCAGACAGGGGACUCGGCGAAUUGUUUAGAAAUCCGGAGGCAUCUGUCCGGAUUGCCAAAUGGGCAGCCGAGCUUUCCGGCUACCAUAUCACCUUCGAGCCCAGGACAACCAUCAAGUCACAAGUCCUGGCAGACUUCAUCGUCGAUUGGACCGGGCCAAUAACGCAGCCGGACACGUUCGCAGAGAAGGUGUGGACCAUCCAUUGCGAUGGCGCAUGGUGCCAUGCGGGGGCAGGUGCAGCUGCAGUCAUUACUUCACCCACAGGGAUCAAGCACAGAUAUGCAGCACGCCUUAGCUUUGCUUUGGAGUCUGACAGAUGCACCAACAAUAUAGCAGAAUACGAAGCUGUCAUCCUCGGCCUUCGCAAGCUAAGGGCACUUGGUGUCACUACCUGCAUCAUCAGAACACACUCCAAGGUAGUCGCCGGCCAAGUCGAGAAAGAUUACACAGCGAAGGACCCCGCACUUAUGCAGUAUCUCGCGGCUAUCCGCAGUCUCGAGAGGCAAUUCAAAGGUUUCACCCUGCAGCACGUGGACCGAGCCAAGAAUGAGGAGGCCAACGCAUUGGCCAAGGCAGCCGCCAGAGGCGAGGCCCUGCCCUCCAACGUAUUCUACCAUGUCAUCGGCACGCCAGCCGUCCGCAGCCCAGAGGGCCUCCAAAUAACCAAUGACAACGAGGGCCACCACAUAGUUAACCUCAUCAUGACCGAAGACUGGCGAGCACCAAUAACCCUGUUCCUGCAGGGGUACUACCAUCCAACCGAUAUCAACGAGGCUAAGCGCCUCAAACACCAAAGCCGGGACUUCGCACUCGUCGAAGGCCAACUUUACAAAAAGGGGGUCAGCCAACCCAUGCUUAAAUUUGUCACCGAGACCGAAGGCGUCCAAAUCCUGUGCGAAGUCCACAGCGGGACUUGCGGCUCUCACGCAGGGCCUAGGGCCCUCGCUGCAAAGGUGAUCCGUCAAGGCUUCUAUUGGCCCGCCAUGAUCUACGCCGCAAAUCAGGUCACAAGGUCAUGCGAAGCCUGCCAGAAGUUUUCUCCAUGCUCGGGAAGCCCUUCGCAAUUCACAAAGCUAAUCGCCCACACGUGGCCCCUUCAGCGCUGGGGCAUGGACAUUGUCGGGCCACUACCCACGGCCCAAGGGAACCUCAAGUUCACCUUCGUCGCCGUCGAGUAUUUUACCAAAUGGAUCGAGGCGAGGGCAGUAUCCACAAUAACAUCGAAGACUGCCCAGAAAUUCUUCUGGCAAAACAUUGUUUGCCGGUUCGGAGUCCCGUCCAAGCUCACAGUUGACAAUGGCAAGCAAUUUGAUAGCCAAGACUUCAGGGAUUUCUGCUUCUCCAUUGGCACGAAGCUUGCCUUCGCCUCAGUGUACCACCCACAAUCCAACGGCGUCGUGGAGCGCGCCAACGGCAAGAUUUUCACGACGAUCUAGAAAAUGCUCCUCGACGACAAGAAGGGCAAAUGGGCCGACCUGCUACUUGAAGCAGUCUGGGCACUGAACACGACCGAGUGUCGGGCGACCGGAUUCACUCCCUUUCGCCUGCUAUACGGAUCGGAGGCCAUGACCCCGCAGGAAAUCAAACAUGGGUCCCCGCGGACAAGCGCUUCAACAGUACCCGACGUCGACGAGCCAACUUCCAAAGACCUCAUUGACGGAGACCGUGUAUUCGCCCUGCAGGCCCUCGACAAAUAUCAAGCCCAAACGAAGGCCUGGCGCGACCACGCGGUCGUCCCAAGAGAAUUCAACAAAGGGGACCUCGUACUUGUCCGCACAACCCGGACAGAGUCACGGGGUAAGCUGGAACUGAAGUGGGAAGGACCAUUUAUCGUCAAGACGAAGUCGUCUCCCAGCGUGUACAGAUUAACAACACAAUCUGGCGAAGACCUGGAACAUUCCUGGAAUAUAGACAAUCUUCGCAAAUUUUUUGUUUGAGUCCUCAGGGCCAUCACGCCCUUGUAAUUCACUUAACAUUAUUAUUCUGGCCCGCACUCUUUUCCUCCCAGGGGGGGUGAGGUUUUUAAUGAGGCGAUGCCAUGUAAUAUACAAGCAAAAAUCCCCCACAAAAAACUAAGCCAAUGUCGAAAAAGACCGCAUCGACGGUCUUCGGCAUUCGACCACACCAAAGUCACCGCGAGGGGCAGCGCUGACUACCCUCACGUGCGACACUCCGCGCAAAAGUCGCCUACGGGUGCAGCCGGACUCUCCGUGCAAAAGUCGCCUACGGGUGCAGCCGGAAUAGCACAAUAAGUGCGCAAAAUCGAAGUCUUCUCCAAAAGACUCUCCGUGCAAAAAGUCGCCUACGGGUGCAGCCGGAAUAGCACAAUAAGUGCGCAAAAUCGAAGUCUUCUCCAAAAGACUCUCUGUGCAAAAGUUGCCUAUGGGUGCAGCCGGAAUAGCACAAUAAGUGCGCAAAAUUGAAGUCUUCUCCAAUAGACUCCCCGUGUAAAAGUCACCUACGGGUGCAGCCAGACUAGCGCAAUAAGUGCGCAAAAUCGAAGUCUUCUCCAAAAGACUCCCCGAGCAAAAGUCGCCUACGGGUGCAGCCGGGCUAGCAUAACAAGCGCGCAAAAUCGAAGUAUUUUCCAAAAGGUUCGGAUCAACGAAGGCUCGCAGUUUCAUAUAAGUUACGGUUACAUACAUACAGCGAGGGCAUCACACUUUACAUUGGCUCAACCUUCGGGAUGAUACCCAUCUCCCUGUAGUUGAACAACAUUAUCCUCAACUCCUAACCCUCAAAAAGAUUUCGCAACUCCCCCUCACCUACACUCGCCCCAACCGGUGAGGACAACAAUUCCCGCUUGCUAGCCCCGUCCACACAAAGACGACCACCCUCCACCUCACUCACUCUCCGCUUCGCCACCGCCCUUCGCCGCCUACGCCCAGCACUCGGACCAGGAAGAACUUCAGCAUCCAUCACACGCGGAGAAGCCUCCGCCGCAGCCACAUCCAAGGCUGCAAAAUAAUCCAAGUCCUCAUCCGAAGACUCUUCCGUCCACACAACCGAACUCUCAGAAUCAUCAGACUCAAAAAACUUAGACACGGAAUCAUCCGAAUCAUUUUCAGCAACCACGGUCGAAGCCGCCACAAAAUUAGCAUUGUUAGUAGCGGUUGCGUGCGCAGGCCCAAAACCCUGAACCUGCGCAGCAACCGAGGUUCAGUAACACGUACACAAAAUUUACAAACUCCCCUGCACCUAUUUAACUACUUAGCCACCUGCGAAGGCACGACCACGGCAGUGGGGUCUUCGACUGCCGGCUCCGCCACCACCUCCGGGGCACCUUCGACCGUCGGCUCAGGGGCCGACGCAGGGUCUUUGCCAGCCAUAGCAUGCACGGGCACGACCGAGGGGCCUUCACCGGCAUCCGAGGGCAACACCGGAUUGCCCUCCGCAGCCUCGGGUGGUGCGCCGACCAGACCUCCAAGGUCCUCGAUUUCCUCGGCACGCUCCAUCUGCAGCAAAAGCACAUUCACUCAGCAAAAACUACACAUAUCCACACGCAACCAACCACACAAAAAUAAUAACCUUCACCUGCUCUCUCGCCCGGUCGGAUCGCUCCCUGACAGCCUCCCGACCAUGCGCCCCCACAUCCUAUCAAAAAGUGUCCCCACUGACUGCUUCACAACAAGGUCUUCGGCCUUGAAGAUCUCGCGUUCAAAGCUCUCGUCUGAUUGGUCGAAGACCUUGUAGUGUCUGCAGCCCUCACGGGACAACGCAUUCAUGGCCCCCUCACAGGUGACGAGGGAGGGAAAGGACAUAAAACCCUCGAUGAUGGUCGGGAGUACCAGCAACUCCUCCUAUAACCUCUCGAGGAAGCGAAGGCCCGCUUCCCGGUCGGGCACCUUGAAGUCAGCAGUACGCGCACCCAGCUCGCGGUACGAGUCCACGAACUGUGCGAGCGUCCGCUCAACCUCCGAGCGCGUAGAGGCUUCGACCUUGUCCACGCAGCCGCGCAGGGCGUUGAACCUCGCCUCCCACUCCUCGGCACGCUGGCUGGCGAGACUUCCCUCCGCCCGCGCCACUUUGGCCUCCGCCUGCGCAGCCUGCGCCUCAGCGAUGGCCUGGUUCGCCUCUUUCCUUUCCUCCACCAGCUGGCGCCGGAGGUCCGUCUUCUCGGCCUCCAAGGCGGCCACUUUCUCCACCAGCCUACGGUUUUUGCUCUCCGCAGCUGACUUCUCUCGGACGGCGUCCGCGUGCUGCGCUCGAAGUCUCUCGACUUCGGCAGCCACGUCCGUAGUGAGGACGCCAGACGCAACACGGUCGGCGAAGUCGUCCGCCUGACAACAACACAUGAGACCCACUCCUCAUGAAAAACAACAAACACCGAAGUCCAGCUCAACUUACUUGACUCAGCUGCUGCGAUAGCCGCUGCGAUGCAUCCCUCAGCCGCUGGGACAUGGUGCCCUCCACGUCCUUAGCGGCAGCGGUUGUCAGAAUCUCGCCGCUUGCGCAGAAGGCGGCCCACGGGUCCUGCGCAGUUCCCUUCGCCCUUACCACCGCCGAUGGCAAAGUGGUCGCCACCAAAGGCGGGACAACAACCAUUUGUCCCUCGCCCGGCCCUGCAAUAUAUCACCGGUCAGAAGACCUCCAAAAAAACUUACCAACAAAAUAGUCCUCCGCGCUGAUAUUCGUGCCGAAGUUGGCAACACGUUUUCCCGGCGAGGACAGCUCCCGUACUUUCGCAGCCUCGACCGGGGGAGGCUUGGUCCCGCCAGCGCCGACUGUCUUCGCGCUCGCCGACGACUUGCCGGAUCCGGGCACGACCGGUUUCGCAGCCGACAUCGGUUGGCUGCUGCCGGGGGCCACAGCCUUCGCGCUCCCCCACGCCCUCUUCGCCUCACGCCUAGGAUCUACGAUCCUGAUGACCGCCCGACGCUUCUGCGCAGCGUCCUGACGGUCCUUGUUCAUCACUACCGACACAGCAGCAGCAAUAUUCCGUCCGUAAGGGAAAAUCCUCAAGCCACGAGUUAUACGAGACGUAGACAUGUCUUCGCCCUCCACCCAGGGGAUUGGAAGAUUCUUUGGCCAUCGACCCCCGGUAACCUCCAGCAUUCGCGCCGAAGACUCUCGGAGCUCGAGCGAAGACAUCCUUCCCCCGGGGGCCGCGCAUGUCCCCAUCAACUCCACAGCAAAAUUAUCAGACACCCCCAUUCCCCCCAACGUAGUACCUAAUUUCCUCCUCUUAGUGGCUGGGGCAGCAUCCUGCGAAGGCCCUUCCUCGGUCCCGCCCAUCGGUUUCUUCCCGCGGCGGUCGGUGGCGUCUUCCCCGGGAUAACCACCGUACAACAACCAGUUCAAUUCAAAGACCCGAUUCAACCUGUCAUUGGACCCACGGAUAUCCCAGCUCCGCAGACCCUCUGUCUUCGACACGUAACGCCCCACAAUUCGCACGACCCCAUCCUCCGCUUCGCGCACGAUCGCGGCAGGAUCCCGGCCUUGCACAUCCAAAGCAAAAAGUGGACUUCGCACUUUCCGCCCACCCAGGGAGGGCAUCUCGCGAGGGCAUACUUCGCCCAACGCCCAUCCAUGCGCCAAGGGCCACACCCCAUACCCGAUGAAUUCCUCAACUAGAUCGCGCCCACUACUCGUACGGGCAGCGAUCCGAAGGGCCCCUUCAUUCUCAUCAUCCUCCGCUACAUCAAAUGGCGGGUACGCCACAUAAUAAUGAGAGCACAUAAUGGCCAUGUGGAGCCCUGGGUGGUCUUCGACUUCGGCCUCUAAAACAUAGAACCAGUAAUCCCACCAGUUGCCCCACUUAUUACGGGCACAGGGGACCAGCUCCACGACUUUCAUCGAAGUCUUCCCGGACUUCGGCAUGAAAGUGCACGAUCCAAAUUGUGCAAUCUUAUGUCCAAAUUUUCUCUUCUGCCAGUGCAGACAAUAUUGCUUGGCAAAGACUUCCACUGAAGGCUGACCGCCAUACGAAGUCGUUGCCCAGACGUACUUCGCUAGAGCCACCACUGCGUUAGGUGUCAGCUGGUGAACCUGGACUUCGAAUUUCUGCAGAACCUCCGACACAAAAUGAUGAGCAGGCAGACGAAGUCCAGCGGUGAAAAAUGCCUCAAAAACAACCAAUUCGCCCUCGGGCUCAGGAACCUCCUCUGCCCCCGGGACACGCCCAACCCAGAUGCCAAAAUAUCCCAACUGUUGCAUAUCUUGCACGCGGACUGACGACAUCCGCGAAACACCGAACUCCAUCGUAUCACCCGGUCGUAACUCUGUCGCCGCCACAACGCUCGAGGUAUCUUCGGACGACGCCUUGGCCGUCGGCGUGGUCGUAGCAGACGAGGAGGAAGACGGCAUAGCUACGUACCGUUGGCGGCGGCGUGCGGUCUGCUUCACGCGGGCCAGAUCUCCGACGAACAGGAGCAAGGAGGGCAUGCGAGCAAGCGAGCAGUUUGAAAAGGAGGCUAGGGUUUUCGCGGCGCGUGGAAAGGUAAAACUCAACCUGCGCCACCCCCACCCCCUUUUAUACACAGGACACGACGCUUCUGGAAACCUGCAAUCCAACAGUGCGGCGUCAAUCAACGGUCAUAUCAAAAACCCCUGCGGAACCACUUCGAGCGAGGGCAGCGUCUCCACCAUCUAGCGACGCCUUCGGCACCAGAUGACUUAGUCGAACUGGUCCCUCGGAGGGCAAAUGUUGGGGCGAAGGCGAAGACGCUACCCUUCGCUCGAUGCCUUCGCCAAUCUCGCUGCACCAACGGAGGCGAAACGACUGGCAGUCUCCACCCUUCGUCCAACACGCUGCAGGAGGAAGGCCUACGACGAGGUCGCUCCAUCCCGCGCCCUCGUCCAACACGAAGGCACACGUGGAAUUCGGCCCAUUGUAACAGGCCCCGUGUGGCUGCUGCGCAUUAUGGGCCUAAUUUGUAAAGGCUUCUUUGUAAUUACAGUCUGUAACCCUGCUUUAUAAGAAUAUUCCGGGGAUAACCUGGGCGCUUGAGGGCACAUGCGUCCUUAAUCCAAGACGCUAGGCACUCAGGCACCUAUAAAUACCCCCGCACAGUGCCCUUGAGAGGCUAGAUUAACAGAGAAAUUGCCUUCCUGAGCUAAAACCUUGUUUGCAUUACUUUCAUUCCCCUGUUGGAUCAUCCUGCUCGGGAGAGCAAGUUCCAACACUUCCCCUCCCCGGCGGCGGCGACUAGCGCGGCCCACGCGCCAGCCCGCGUGCCCCGCACCCACGGCCGACCGGCCUCCCCUUCCCUCUCCCCGUUUCUCUUCCAUGGUUGAGAGGAUGGAGAAGGAGGAGGAAGAAUAAGGCUAUUUUGCGAAUACACCCCUGGACGAUUUCAAAACUGUGCACAUAAAUUUGUUUCAAUUUAAAACCGCGAUAACUUUUGUGUUUUAAAUCUGUUUCAAUCCGUUCAAAUUGCGUUUGAUUCGUGUUAAAAUUUCCUACAUAUUAGAAUUAUUAUUCUCUCAUGUCACACAUUUUAUUUAAUUUAUUUAAAUGUUUGUUUGACCGAUGGUUACUAGAAUGACGUUUCAAUUUAAAUCUAAUUUAGGAUUUCGAUUUGCGCAUUAAACACCAACAUGGCUAACAUUAACUGAAAUGUUCUUUAUUAAUAAUUGGUUAGUUUAAUCACGCUAUCUAUUUAUUAGUUUUCGCGUGUCGUGUCGACCCGCGCGCCGUACGCGUGCUGUGCGCGUACUGUGCACAUGCUACCGUGUCGCGCCGUUAAUUCGUCUCGCUUAGAGUCGCUAAUGUUAUUUAAAUUACUCAUCUAACUGAAAGCUGUUAGCGUAAUAGAUUAAUUAAAACUAGGCGAUAUCUCUAGUUGCAUUUAAUAAAUGUCGAAUAAUGCGAGUAUGUCGAAUUAGAUGUUCUAUUCCAUAUUUAUACAACGUAGACACAAUAACUUCUCAAUUGUAGCUUCGAUCUCGGCGUUUCUUUUCCUCGUGUGACCGUAGCAACGAGCGCUAUUUUGUAUUGCACAUGUUUAUAAUGUUUUCUCUUAUAUGGUGUAUUGGUCAUUUCUGUUUCAAAAAUGUUGAAUGUAUUUUUGCAAUCGCUUAGAUAACGUUCCGUCCGCGGAGGUCGAGAAAGUUGUAGAAGAAGCCCUUGAGCAGCAACAGUUUGGUGAAGGCAAGUGCCCUCUGAUCUAUUAUGUCCUAUUUACUUUAUAAUUCACUGUCCCGCAUACUAUGAUCAAUCUAAGUAUUGACUAGCUUUCUAUUUAUCCUAUCCUUGAUUAUCUUUUUGGGUUGGGUUAUUAUAAUCAGCUACGUGCUAGUGCUUUACUCUAAUCAACGAACAUGAUGAGAAUUACUUUUAUGAUAUGAUGAGUCAUUAUGAUUAUGAUUAUGAACUUAUGGCAUUUUAGGGGGCUUGGGCGGUUUCCUGAGUACCUCUCCAUAAGGACAUGUUCGUUGGGAGACCAUCCGAGACAAUAGACAACCAUAAGUGUGGAAUGGGAUUCCCUUAGCUGAUUAAUUGGAGGAACUUGGGGGUGUAGUUUGAUUCAUAGUUGUGCUAUCAAUGGGGGCUAGGGCAUAGUGCUUGCUCUGCUAAUGGUGGGUGCUGAGGUUCAUUCGAUUUGGUUUUUGUUAGUCACCCACCUUAGGGAGGAGUAUUGUGUUUAUACAACUGGCAAAACCUAAUGGGCAGCUACACACCAGGAGAAUCUGUAAAGGCUACAUAGUGAUGCCCUGCUAGACCACAUGGGAAGUGAUCAAUGGGGUGUAGCGCUCCUUGGGCAGAAAAGGAAAUAACGGCUCGUGGGUAAAGUGUGCGACCUCAACAGAGUGUUAGAAACUGGUAUAUCAGAUGUGCUCACGGUUAAGAGCAUCCUUGGGAUCCUCUUUGAUUAGAGAUACUCUGGAUUCAUUUAUGUUGAUGGUUUAAUGAUGAUGGCUAUACUUAUGAUAUUUGGUACUUUCCACUUGGAGGAAAUGCUUUCUUUUAGGAAUAUCAACUUGGGUUUUAUGAUAAAACUUGACUUCUAUUAAUGAUAAAUACCCGACCAACUAAAAGCAACUGCUUUGAGGUUAACCCCCACAUACAGCUAGUCCAUCUCCACCAAAUGGUACAUUUGUUGAGUACGUUGAUGUGUACUCAACCUUGCUUAAACACCAAACAACAGGUUGUCCCUAUUGCAACCAUUGCUUAGGAGAAGAUAAAGGAAAUGCGGAGGAUUUCCAGGAAUUUCAAGACUUUGAGGAAUUUUAAACUAGACUAUAGGCAAACCCCUAGUCGGCUGCCUGUGAAGGCCUUAUCUUACUACGUUUCGUUCAACACUUUGAUUUAUGUUUAAGUUAAUGACUAUGUGGAUGUUUUGGGCAUCAUGAUGUAAUAAAGUUAUACUUAUUUCCUCUAUUAUUUGAGUAUUGUGUGAUGAUGUCCAAUUCUGUAAUCGUUGUGUACGUAAAUUUCUGAUCGUGGCACGUACAUGGUUCGCAUUCGGUUUACCUUUCAAAACUGGGUGUCACAAUUGGUAUGUGGUCGUGGAACGUAAAAAAUCUACACAAAAAUAGUGCAAAAUAUAACAUGUACGUGAGUGCCUAGAUCGCCAUGUUUGACAUGCCAAAACAAAAAAGUAAAGGAAUCAUGUACCCAAAAAGCGAAAAAACUCAUGACCCUAGGUAUUUAAGCUCAUCAUAUGUAAAGUAAAUCCAAGGAACUCAUUGUGAGUAGAAACUAGCUAGAAAUAUAUUGUCUUAGCCUAGGUACAUCAUAGUGUCAUAAGAAUGUCUAGGAGUCGAUAGUUCCCAAACUGCAACAACACAUGAAAUUAGUGAGGUAUAUCUUACAAAAAUAAUUAAAAAAUGAGAAUCGAUUUGAGAACAUGAAAUGUCAAAAAUGUACAUAAAAAAUAACCCAAAGUAAAGAAAUGUGUCGAAAUGCCUAAAUUACCAUUUUUUGCCUUACAGAUGAAACAAAAGCCUAUGAAUCACAAACCAAAAACAAUAGUAUACCAAUAGUGACUGACCCUAUUAAAUAUUAUGACAUACUAAUUUAUUUUCAAGCUUUUAAUUAAGGUAAUGAGAGAAAAAUUACAAUAGAUAUGCUUGGUAUUGUGACAUGGAGAAUGGGUUCACUAUAUAAUAGUUUUACUAGGAGCCAAACAAGUGAGCGAGCUAAGCAUAGCUUGGCUAGUAAGGGUACUUGUGGUGGAAUCUACCCAUCAGGGUUCCAAUGUUGACUUGUCAACCUCAAGAAUCUAUAGGUUAUGCGAGUGUCUGCAUAUAUACUUAUUUAAAAAAUUAAAGGGAGUGGAACAAAAGUGAAGGUCAUUUAUUGGUUAUAGUUUUUUAAAAAGGGGGAAAGGAGUGGAACAAGAGUGAAGGUGAUUUGUUCUUUAUAGUUUACUUUAUUUUAUAAAAGAAAUUAAAAAGGGAGUGGAACAAGAGUGAAUGUGAUUUAUUGUUUAUAGUUUUUAAGGGGAAUGGAGUGGAACAAGAUCGAAGGUGAUUUGAUGUUUAUAAUUUUUUAAAGAUGAUUUGAUGUUUAUAGUUUUUUUAUAAGGAAAUAAGUAGAGAAUUGAUGAUGACUACAUGCUUUUGCUUUUGCUUUUCUUUUCUUUUAUGAGAGGAGGACAUGUCAUUCGUUUGUUUUGAACUUUUGCAUGAGAGGAAAAGAUCUAGGACCUACUUAUAGCAAUUGUGUACACGCGUUAGUCUUUGAACUAGCUGGCUAGAAGGAACAAAAAUAGGCCAGCCAACGAUGUCCAUGGCGUGCCAUACGUCAAUGUCUGGCUCCUUGCCUCCAUCGUCUAUAAAUACAUGCACAUCUGCAACAUCGAUCUCCACACACAAACAUCCAUCAAAGAAACAAGCGCCCACGAACAACUACCUCGCCACCAACAAUGGCCUCCAGGUCCUCCAUUGUACUCGCCACGGUGAUGUUGGCUGCGCUGUUCGCGGUUGGUUUCUGCACCACCCCGCUCACCUUCCAGGUCGGCAAGGGAUCCAAGCCUGGCCACCUGAUCCUCACCCCCAACGUUGCCACCAUAUCCGAUGUGGAGAUCAAAGAGCACGGUGGUGAUGACUUCUCCUUUACGCUCAAGGAGGGCCCGACUGGCACGUGGACGCUCGACACCAAGGCCCCACUCAAGUACCCCCUUUGCAUCCGCUUUGCUGUCAAGUCUGGCGGCUACCGCAUCGCCGACGACGUCAUCCCCGCCGAUUUCAAGGCUGGCACCACCUAUAAGACCACACUCAGCAUCUAAUCAACCUCUCAUGAUGAAUUAUAUUUCAAAAGAGCUCACCUAGCGCAUGUGUUACAAGACAAUAUUAUUUUUUCAAUGGCUUUUUUUGGCACCAGACCACCCAAGAAAUAAGUUAUGCUACAUGUCUCUUCUGACGCCUUGUUGUGUUGGGUUGAUAUUAUUACAUAAACUAAAUACAUUAUUUAUUUAAGAUUUUAGGAGAAAUAUGUUGAUCUGAUCCACCUUCAUUAUCGAGAUGGUUGUACAUUUGAUUUUCCAAUGUUUUAAUACUUAUGAAAUUCUUUGUUUUUGUUGUUUCUAUGCCUGGAUUAAUAAAGUUUGUUUUAUCAUUUUUAACAUAUUGUUCAUGCUCAUUUUUUUGUCAAAAAUAUCAGUUAUAUAACCAUGGAUCUUUAGUGAGAAGCUCCUAUUACUUACCCUAUACAUCUUUCCUUGUUAGAGAUUAGUUUCUUGGAUUUUUGGUGGACAAUAUUUUUCCAUGAAAAAUCCAACGGUCGUUCAUGUUCAUUUUGGCCAAAAAUAUUAGUCAUAUACACAUGAAUCUUUGGUGAGGGCCUCUAGCCUAGUGGUUAAAGGCUCUCGAGUAGCACCUCCAAGUCCCGGGUUCGAUCUCCCUCGUGGGCAAAUUUUUCGGAUUAGUGAAAAAAAUCUCCUAGCUAUGUCUCAUCUGUUCUCAAGUUAUGAUAUCAUGUGUGCCCCCUACAUUUGGGCCAUUGCAAAGUGGACAGUUGACACCAAGCCCGUUAGUGAUGGGAAGCCAGGGUUCAGGGAUUUUCUUGGCUGGGACCAGUGUUUCGGUCUCUUCUGUAACACCCUGAAUUUGGUGGUAUAAAAUUUAUUCUCUAAUGCCUACCAAAUUCAGGUGUUACCUCUUGUUUCUCUCUCUCUAGUUUUCUUCUCUCUUCCUUUUUAUUAGAAUUAUGUAUACUAUGUGGGAGAUUAAGUAUUUCUUUACUAUAUCAAAACCUAUGCGAGUCAUGGGAUGUUACAUCAUGCUGAGCCUAAAUUAUACUUUUGCUUGAUGCACAUGUUUGAAUUAUUUGAAUUUGAAUUUGGAGCAUGUUUCAAUUUGGAUUCAAAGGAGAAAAUAAAAGGAAAAAGGAUUAGAAAUUCCGGAAUAAAAGAAAUGGGAAAAGAGCCCAGUCGCCCUCCCUCCUCUGCCUUUCGGCCCAAACCGGCCCAGCUAGCUGCGUCCCGCUCGCUCGCUCGCCUCCUCUCUCUCUCUGCCCGGUGGGACCGCCCCGUCAGCGCUGUUGCGCUCUCGUGCGCACCCGAUCUCGUUGGCUCAUGGGCCCUGCCCAUUAGACUUGUCCCCUCCCCCGCAACCACCACGCCCAUGACGUGCGCCCCAUGCACGGUCAAACUGCGCCCACGCCCCCACGAUCCGCCCAUGUUGCUCGAGCGCCUAGGUGAAUACCCCGCGCCCCCCUCAGCUCGCCCCUCCCUCAUUCACUCUCUUCUAGCCCUCGCGCUCACUCAGCCCGCAGCGCCGCCCCCUCUAUUGCUCCAUUGUUCCGCCGUCCUCGCUGGGCCUCUACCGUCGUCUCGGCCACGGUGAGCUUCGCUGGAGCCUUAUGCACUGGGAACACGCAGUGGUUUCCCAUCUCAUCGAUCCCUUUGCCCGGUCCGUGCUCAACCUCUCCCCUGCACAGGUCGGAGUUCGCCACCGCCAUGGUUUCUUGUCGUCCGGCCAUCCAGAGUCCCCUCACGCCGUGCCAAGCCGCCCCGAGUGCGGUAUCUGGGUAUGUGACCUUCCCCCGAUCUUCUUAUACACAUAUUCCAUCUCACCGUGGGUAAUUUCGGCUUGCUAGAGUGGCCUAUGGUCCGCCCAAGGUCCCCCCCUCCGCUGUCCGCCUGUCUCAGCCCCGUUUCAGUGACCCUGACUUCGCCAUAGUGUUCGUCGAGUCCUCCCAAACCUCUUUGGCUACCAGACCACCCUAGCGCCCCUAGAAACCCUGGUCUGUCUCGCCUUCGACGACAGCACCGCCACGACCGUGAACAGCGCCGCCCUAGGCCGACCAGAGCUGAUAAACUCCCCGUGGCGCCCGAUCCUGACCGUUCAUCCUUGAUCCGUUGGCCUAGGUGCUCGGAUAACGGUUCACUCGGUUCAUUGGACCAGGAACGUUGAUUCGAGAUCCGGUGGCCAGAGUGCCUCACGCCCCCACGCAUCAGCGUCUCGCUCUGCCUCGAGCCCCACAUGUCAGGCGUCCACGCCGAGCCCUCGCCCGAGCCGCCAACCACGUUUGCGCCUCGCCCGAGCCCGCUGACCCGCUAGCCCCAUGUGUCAGUGUCUCGUCCCGCCCUGAGACCCGCCUGUCAGGCGCUCACGUCUGCGUGCACGCAUGCACGCGCGCUCGCCAGAUCUAGUUAUGGCCAUUGAUCUGAGAUCUAACGGCUGGCAGGACCCGACACCUCUUUGGUUUGCAGCUUUAUAAAAAGAACCCUCGGUUUCCAAUAAAUAGAACCCGCUGUCCCUGGAAUUUGCAACCGGGCUUCUGGGAUCUUGCAGAAAGAACCCUAGACUUUAUUUUAAUCACAGAAAUAGGUCUAAUUUUGUAUUUUGAAUUCCAAAACUUGUUUAAUUCAUAUCUUUUGCAUAUGAACUCCAAAUUGGGUGGUUCAAAUUGCAAAGUGUUAAUAAAAUUAUUCUCUAUCUGUUUAAAUUAUCAUCUUUCACUGUCUGCAUGUAUUAAUUUUAUGUCUAUGCUAUAGGUGCUUUUAAAGUAAUGGUUCAUUAUUUAAAAGGAAAUAAAAAGGAAAACACUAAUGAUAAUUAAGUGAUUAACUUUGUGAAGUUAAUAUCAUGUAAUGUAUGAACCCAUCUCUGGUAUAGAUUUAAUAAUCCAUUAAGAUGACUAUAGUAAGUUAUGUAAUCCACUGAUAUAAGCAGUACUAAGAGAACCACAAACCCCUAAGUGUAUUUGUAUAUCCUAGGAUCUAAAUUUCACACUGGUGUCUGUACUUUUCUAUUGGAUUUGUGUUCACAUGAUUGCAAAUGUUUGGUGUAUUAUUCCUUUAUCAUUUCCCAAAUGUGUUGAAUGCAUGAUUGCGUUGCGUAGACAACGAGAAGUUUGUGGUUCCUGAGUGUGUUGCUAGAGACCUCCCUCAGCAGCAACCUAGUGAAGGCAAGUGUCCUCUUACCCAUUAUGUCCUACCUACUUUAAAAUUCACUAUCCCGCAUUACUUAAUUGAAACCUAAGGAUUGACUAGCUUUGUAUUUACCUUGUCCUUGAUUACCUUUUGGGUUAUUAUGGUUAGCUUCAUGCUAUUGCUUUACUUUAAUCAACGAACAUGAUGAGAAUAUUUAUGAUACGAUGAUGCUAUCUUGAUGAUGAUGAUGAUUUGUGAUACUUAAGGGGACUCGGGCUGUUUCCUGAGUACCUCUUCGUAAGGACCUGUUCAUUGAGAGACCACCCGAGAUAACAUUACAACCAUGGGGGUGGAAUGGGAUGCCCUUAGCUGGAUAAUUAGAGGAACUUGAGGUGUAGUCGGCUUUGUCGUAGGGCCGUCAAUGGGGUCCGAGCAUAGUACUUGCUCUGCCGAGGCUGGAUACCGAGGUUCUUUCAAUUUGGUUUUGUUAGUCACCCUUCCUAUGGGGAGAAGUACUGUGUUUAUCAAAAUGAAGAAACCUAACGAGAUGCUAUGACCUCUGGGGAAUCUUUGUAAAGGCUACAUAGUGAAACCUUGUCUACUCACCUUGGUAGUGUUUGAGGGUUUGAUCGACCCGAGGCAAAAAGGGAUCAUGACUCGUGGGUAAAGUGUGCAACUUCUAAAGAGUGUUAGAAACCAGUAUAUCAGUCGUGCUCACGGUUAAGAUUAGCAUUGGGAUCCUUCUUUAUUAGAAUAAUUCUAGAUACUUUUAUGAUGAUGAUUAAUGGUGAUGAUUACAACUGUGGUCUCUGGUAUUUCCUCUGGGAGGUAGUACUUUUGGGUAAUAACUAGGUUUAUUACUAAGGGCAUGUUUGGUUUGUGCCUAAAUGUGCCACACUUUGCCUAAGGUUAGUCGUUCGAAUUGAAUAACUAACCUUAGGCAGAAAAGUUAGGCAAAAUGUGGCAAUUGAGGUAACAAACCAAACAUGCCCUAAAACUUGGCUUACUACUAGUAAUAAAUACCUAACCAACAAAAAGCAACUGCUUUAACCUUAACCCCACAUACAGCUAGUCCACUUUAGCCAAUGGGACAUUUGCUGAGUAUGUUGAUCUGUACUCACCCUAGCUUUAAAACCCCCCAACCCAGGUUGUCCCUAUUGCAAUCAGUGCUCAGGAGGAGAUGAAGGCAACAUGGAGGAAUUUCAGGAGUUUCAGGACUUCGAUGAGUUCUAGUUGUGUUUAGUGGCAAACCCCCAGCCAGCUGCCUGUGAAGGCCUUAUCUUCUACAUUUUGUAUCCACACUUUGAUUAUGUUGAUGACUAUGUUAAGUUAAUGACUCUGUGGAUGUCUUGGACAUCUUGAUGUAAUAAAGUACUAUUCCCGCUAUUUACUUUGAGCAAUGUCUGAUGAUGUCCAACUAUGUAAUCGCUGUGUACGUGAGUUUCUGAUCUUGGCACGUACAUGGUUCACAUUCAGUUUGCCUUCCAAAACCGAGUGUGACAUAAGUGGUAUCAAAGCCUUACUGAUUGUAGGAACACUAACCUAGACUAGAAUGGUCGCCCUAAGGACUAUAGACCCUUGUUCUCACCUUGACCUUUGGUGUCACUUCAAAAGUUGGUCAUCUUGACCAAUUCUAUGUUAUAUUAUUAUCUAUAUACUCAUCUUACAAAUUUUUUAUCUCACUUUGCUUUUGGUUUACUUGCUGGUCACAUAGUUCUAUUCUCACUCUUGUGCUUACGAUAUCUUUUGUAGAUGGUCCGUCUUAGAUGCACUGCACGUAAGUCAGUGAUCCCUUUCUUGCACUCUCGCCUUGCGGAAUGUCCACUGCGCCGCACGAUGACAGGACAAUUGAGUCACCUGGAGAGACUGCACCGACACCUGCACGAGAAGUAGGAGCAUCGGCGCCAGGAGCAGCAGGACUCUUCCCCCUCGCCCCAGCAGGAGGUGGAGUCUGGAGGCGGCCCUCCACUGUGUCUCAGCUAGAGGUGCCCCUGCACCACCAUAGGGCACCCUAGCUGCUAGAGGAGACCCUUACGAAGAUGACGAUGACGGUGAUAGUUCGAGCCACAACAUGGAGCUUUCGGAGGAGCAGGAGUCGUAAGGAUGGAUCGCCCAACCCAUCACUUGUGACACCGCCCGCGGUUGUCAUUUCCACGAUGCUCUCGACACCUUGCUGCAUCAGGCCUUCGACCGACACACUUGGUCUAUUGAGUACCGUUGUGUAGUCUACCAGCACCGUCAUGAGUUAUACUUGGACCAAUGGGAGGCUACUUGCUUGGUGUGUCGUCCGGACGAUGAUCUCCGGGGUGCAGAGGCCUACUUAGAGCAUUAUUCUAUCACUAAGCGAGACACUGUCGAGGCAACCAUGUAGGAUGCUGCAUGGCGUGCGCUUUUGCAGUACUUUUCGUUGUUCAGCAGGGUAGCUGACGGCCUUGACCUGAAGUAUUACCCCUGCCGUUCGACCGGCAGUACCGGAGGUGUGAUUGUCUCACCAUAUGGCGAGGGAAAACCCAAACUAGGCAGUAUGGUGUCACACCCCAGUUCUGGGGGCAAAACCGAAUGCAUAGCAUAUGUGGGCCAGGAUCCAUUUCCCACACAUAUAUUGACAUCACAAGUGUAAUAUAUCAAAAUACAAUGCAAUAAAGGCGUAAAGAGAGUAGAGUACUUUAUUACAUCAUCUGAAUCAAUGUAUCUUUAACAAGUAUCAAAAUCAAAGUAGGGCGGAAUUAAAUAUGGGCACUCUUCCACAAGAAGAUGACAGGCGCAUCGUUAGACUUAAAACUCAUCAUCGUCAUCAGCAAAGUCUUCAGCAUCACCCUCUGAUCAAAAUAUUAGUAAGGGUGAGCUCACUUAUGGUCGGGGCUCAGCAAGUGGGGGAAAUUAAUGCAAGUCAAAAAGGUAGGCUAUGGAUAAGCGGUAAGCAUUUUAGUUGGUCAAUAUUUUAUUAGCAACACCUGUACUACUAAUUGUAGCAUCCCAAAAAUUCAAAUUCUAAAAUAUUCUCAAACUCGCUCUAAAUUCAAAAUGAAUUUCAAAUUUUGUUUCAAAAUGUUUGUUUGCAAGUUGAUAUCAACAAGUAAAGUACAGUGGUCUAUAUUCUCUCUAAAAUCCUCCUCAAAGUAUCCUACAAAUAUUUCCCUAGUGAUCCCCCUCAAAUUCUUCCAGAAAUACCGCCCAGAUAUUUCCCGAGUGAUCCCCUUCAAGUUCUUUCAGAAAUACUACCCAAAUAUUCCACCGAUAUAUCUCCAAGUAUUUUCUUCCUAAGAAAUACCUUCAGAAUCAUUUUUCAAGCCCCCACAAAUAUUUUCUUCAUAACUUUCUUCAUGCUCAUACGUAUACGUAUGCCUCCGGUGUCAUACGUUGAGCUCUACAAGCUAAUUACACUCAUAUAAGACAAAUCCAUGCUAAUCUCCCACUAAUCCUCUAAUCCCUCCCCCUAAUCCCCCCACCAUGGCUAUAAAUAGAGGGGCAAGGGCCUCCUCUCAUCCCACCCCAAGCCAUUUCAUGGCAACUCCCUCUCUCCCCCCCACACACCCACUCCAUGUUCCACACAAGCACACACUAGCACAAGGAUCGUUCGGUCGUUCUUCGAUCGUUCGUCCCCCUGUUCUUAGUUGUUCGUUCAUUCGUCCGAUCGUUUGAUCGUUCGUCCGAUCGUUCAUGGUUCGUUCGUCCGUUCGUCCGAUCGUUCGAUCGUUCGUCCGUUCGUUCGUCCAAAUAAUCUUUUUCCUGCCGUUAUGCUACCGAAAUUCCGUUCGUCCGUUCGUUCGAUCAUUCAAUCGUUCAUCGUUUGUUCAUAGUUCCUAUUCAUCGUUCAUCGUUCGUUCAUCGUCACUAUUUACCGUCACUAUUUUACCGUUACUAUUUACCGUUACUAUUUACCGACACUAUUUUACCGUUACUAUUUACCGUUACUAUUUACCGUCACUAUUUCUCGUCACUAUUUUACCGUCACUAUUUACCGUUACUAUUUUACCGUCACUAUUUACCAUUACUAUUUACCGUCACUAUUUACCGUCACUAUUUUACCGUUACUAUUUACCGUUACUAUUCACCGUUACUAUUUAUCGAUCAUCCGAUCACCCCAAAUUUCAACUACUCAUCCAUCAUGCUGUCCAGUCCACCUAAGACCAGCCAGACCCAUAUUCCAGUUAUACAAACUCCGGUGACUGUGAUUUUCCUUCCAGUGGGAACUUCCCAUCUGGUCACCCAUCCUAGGUUUCUCCAAGUUGAGCACGCUUAACUUGAGAUUCCUUCGAACCAGGCUUCCAAACUCAGAUUCCAAUAAUUCUCGUUUCUAAAUUCUUAUCAAAUUAUUCCCUAUCCAACCAUGUCAUCCCUUAAGCAUGGUUCAUAUUCCAGAAAACUCCCAAAAUACUCUCAUAUUCUGCCUAUAACUCUCCUGUUCAUACUAAGUCAGACGAUUCAUUCGUCACUAUUCUCACCAACAGUGAACUUCACUGUGCUACACCACAUACACCCAGCUAUAAAUACACCCAGCUACCCUCUCCCUCUCCACACACACUCAACACCCUCAGCCAAGGAAAACACCCCACCCACUCAGUUACUCCGCUCUGCCGGCUACACGCAUAGUGUCGCUUCGCCUCUAGUCCACCCUCUUGUUAUCGGAGCGUUCGUGUCGUCUCGUGGAGGCCAGAUCUGCAAGUCUACACCAGGCGGUGGAGCCAGAAGCCAGUUCCGCGAGCUCUUCUCCCCCCUUCGCCGAAUAAGCACGACAAGCUCACUGGAUCCCUUUGAUGCAUAAAUUACCUAUGCUUUUACAACCACAACCCUCAGCCUGUUAUUUUAUGCAUGAUAUGAUUUUGAGACAAGUUAUUAUGGCCACCCAGCCGCUUGCCACAAUCAAUACUUGAUAUAUUUGUUACAAAUGAUUUGAGAAAAGGUGUGAGUUUUCAAAAGAAAAUGCUUUUCAAAAUGUGUAUGAUGAAGGGUUUUCACCCUUAUCACCUUGUGAGUGGGAUAAUCAGGGACUCCCUGGUUUAGGGGAGGGCCUAAGGUGAAGGCUCAGCUGGUUUAGGCGUGAGCAAAAGGAUUGUCCCCUCAUAUAAGGACCGAUUUGUCAUCUUUCACUACCUGUACUCAUGAUAAGUACAACCACUCGAGACUGUGUGGGCAGUCACUCAAUCUGAACUCAUACGGUCCAACCCCAGGGUUAUGAAGGCUGGGGAGCACCGGGAGGAUAAGGAGGGGGAAUGUUUUGUCCGGUUUGGACAUGGUGGUGGCCUGACUCCUUCCGGUAUAACCGUUAAGGUUAGGAUGUGCGAGGAAAGAAAGAGAUUCAGCAUUUGGGUCUCACGACGGUGAGAUCGCAGAAACCGGACUAGUGGGUAAAGUGUACACCUCUGCGCAGAGUUUGAAAACCUAUUCGAAUAGUCCGUGUCCACAGGAAUGGACGAGUCUGGUAUGGUAUGGCAAUUAAUGUUUUGUUUUCAUAAAAGGCUACGUUUGAGAAAAUGUUUUUUUAAAAAGGUUCGGCGGUUGAGCCGUGAGCUAUGGUGGAUGGGAAGUCUAGUAGCUGUUUUUGAAAAUGAAAACCAGUGGGAAACUACUGAGAUACCUGGAUGGUUUAGUCCAGGGGAUUUUGUUCUAAUAUUGAAAAACUUCUCGCUCCUUUGGGAGAGGAUGCGCUUUGGAAAAUACAAAAUGUUUUACAAAACAACCCUGCAUAAAAUAUUGUUGUUUCUGCAAAAUAUCCUGAGCUCCAGAUAUUCCAUGCAUUAUAUCUGAUUUCCCCAUUCCGCGAGUGAAGGUGGGCUGCUGAGUACGUUUGUACUCACCCUUGCUUAUUUAUUUUUUUUCAGAAAAAGGAGAUCGGGUAAGAGUUACGACUGUUCCCAACCUUGCUUGUGGCUGCUGGACCGCUGAUUUGCUUCGCUGUGUAUAUCGGACUGCUUCAGCCCCACUCUGAUGAUAUGUCCCGAGUUGUGGACCAACUCUUAAAGUUGAUCGCCACCUUUAUAGGUUUGUCUCGUUUAAGCAGAUCUGUAAUCAUCUGAUGUAUAAAUGUGUUUACUAGCCUCCUGGGACUAGUAAUUGUAUCACAUUUGAGUCCAAGAGGAUUGGGGCGCUUCAGGUGGUAUCAGAGCUAUUAGGUUGGCCGCAGGACGUAACCCUUAGCCUGAUCAAAAGUUUUUGAGUUAAAACUAUUUUCUUAAAAAAAUUCUUGCUCUCAUCCCUUCAUUUCAAAAAUGUUUUCCCCCUUUCCUUCUCUCAGAAGUCAGAUGAAGGUUCAGUGCCAAACCAGCUUUUGCCAGAAUGAAGAUGGUUUCCCCAUGUUGCUGAGAGCAUGCAUAGUCCGCCUCGGAAUCAGGAGCCAACCAGAGUAUGACGGUCGUGAAUUCAUCGAGCAUGGCACAGAGAAGUGUGUCGUGACUGUGUACAUUGGAUCCAGUCCGCACCAUGUGGAAUGGAGUGUCACUGCUGCUGGGCACAGAUUCAAAGACACCUGCCAAGUCGUCGCUCGCAAGGCAUUGAGGACCCUAUGUCAGAUCUAUGAAGAAGAAGUGGCCGACACCCCGCUCAGAUUCUUUCCACCCUUUCAGAGAGACCGUCCCGUUUGGAUGGCUAGGAUGCGUGCAUUGGAAGAGCAGCAGCUGCUUGAAGAUGACCCCACAGUCGUGUACCUCACUACAUACCUGCUCACCCUGGAUGCGCAGUAUGAUUUCUUGGCUCGGCACCACCGUCAGAUGAUUGCCCGAGCAGAAGAUGCAGAGAAGCUCAACCGUAAGCUCCAUGUGGAUCUCACCUCAGCUCAAGCCCGUGUAGCUGCCUUGGAAAGUCGUGAAGCCAUUGCUGUUGAAACCCUGAAGCAAGCCAAGGAUGAGCACGUCCAGAAGUUGAUGGAGGCCUACUUGGUAACCCAUAACCAACGUAGAGCCCUGCGGAUCCAAGAGCCUGCUUCAUCCAACCCAGUUCAACCCAUGAGAGCUGAAGAUCCCCCGAUUCUUGAAGGUUACCCGGUCUCUACCAGAGGAGAAAAGAAGGUUUGGAAACUCCCGAAAGGAUCCAUAGUCUUGGAAGGAAUUCCAAUCUUCCCUCAGGCUAUGAAUAAGCAAGAGCACCCCGAGUCCUCCCAAGAUCCCCGCCGGAGUUGUUUGAGCCCCUUACCAUGAAGAAGAUUCCAGCACCAUCCCUUGAAGUCAAGGAAGAAGCUGCAAGCACCCCGCCAACACCGCUGCCCUCUGAGGAACUACAAGAGUCAGUCCAGCUUGAAGAAGAGUUCGACCCCGUGCUGCCAUCUCAGUUGCCGACAGAAGAAGUAAUGAACAUCAGCUCCCUCUUGACCCAUCCAGGAGAUGUCUCAGAUUGAAGUUGUGCGCCAGCCUUGCCAGAAGAGAAGUUGUCUGGUCUGAAGUUAGUUAUGCCCAGUCCUCUACAUGCAUUGGGUAGUGAAGUUUUUCUUCACUUUGGCUAGAGCCCUACAUGUAUGAGAGGUAAUCGCGUAGACUCGUGUUUUGCAAAACUCUAAUUGUGUGGCCCCCUAGGGCAUUUCAAAAUGAAUUUCGCUUGAUGUUUUCUCCCCUUUUGAGUGCAUAUGUGAUGCUUUAACGUUAGUGCUCAUAAGUCGCAUUUUAGCAUAGUUCUCAGUUCAGGAGCCGAGCAAUAGUAGUUAUGCUUAGCCCCCGAAUCCAAGUAGUUCGUGAUUUGGAAAAACUCUAUUCUUCCCUUAUUCAAAACAUUUGAUUUGUUUGUGCUUAUCAUUGCUGAACUUAUGUGUUUUCUUUCUUUUUAAGAAAGGUUUUCUCUAAAAACAUAAAUCACAAAUUAGAUCUAAUCCUCACCUUAUGCUUCCAUUCUCAUCUUAACCAAUCUCAAGAGAAAAGUGCCUUACCCAAGAAGAUACCGGGAAGCUUACCCUUGAAGCCUGGAAUAAGCUAUAGAAGAAACCAGUCCAGCCGCUCAGUCAAAAGGACCGACCAUGAGAAUCAAAGCACUGCCCCUGAGUCAAAGUAAACAGAAAAAGAGGACAGAAGGAGUUAUUACCAUAUAGAGAGGCAAAGAUUCUUGGAACCAGAGACCACAAACAUCAGGGUCAUCGACCCCACCACUCACCCGUGCCCCCGCACGCAUGCCCGCCUCCAUGCGCACUACCACGCCCCCCUUUGCAGCGCACCCACCGCCAUCGUCGCCGGCAACAGGCCCCCCUUCCCCUUGUCACACCUGCUGCCUCGUGUCACCUGCUCCAUCACUACCACUCCACACCCCCCAAGCACCCCCGCUCGCCUAUAAAACCCCCCACCAGCACCCUCAACUCCCAUCUCGCUCAAAGCAAAGCACACUCCAGAUAAAACCCCCUCUGCUAAAUCGCAAGCAACCCCAUUUCCCACUCCCUCGCCCCUAAGAUCACAAUGCUUGGUGAUUCUUGGGUUGAAGACUGUUGCACAUGGUUCAUAGUCUUUGGUUUCCUCCAGUGUAUGAUGGUAAUACUCUUUGAUAGAAUCCUCCAGUGGGAAGAGCAAAGAGAAAGAAAGAGACAGUGAAAAGUGAAAAGAGAAAAGAAGAUAGCAAAGAGAAGAUGAGAAGAAGGUUGUCCCAGAAUCAACCCUGUGUCAGUCAUUUCUCCGCAGCCUGCUCAAGCAACAACAGCACAAGAAGGCCCCAUAACACCCUUGUUAUGAGGUACUUCAAAGAGUUCAAAUCCCCAAGAUUCAAUAGUUCCACCCUCAUUCUUUUUAAGUGGGGUAGUGUUCCAGUAAGGUUCCUGCUAUGGAGAAAAAGAAGAAGGCCUGUAGCAAGCUUGUGGAGGACCAGAUCAUCGAAGCAUAUAAGUUCCUGGAUGAGAAGUGGUCACCCAAGUUUUGUUGAUGAAGCACCAGAAGACCAAUCAAGGAAGGAAUCCAUGUGGGAGUUCGCGAGAGAAAGGUUGCAUGUUGGCAUCGUUGCUUCUUCAAUAAGCUAGCUGCCAAGCGAAAGCUAGAAGCCUGAAGAUGAUCUUUGAUUAGCCAGAAUCAGCGUUUGCAAUCAGCAACCGGAUGCCCCUCAAAGGCCAGAUUUUGUUGAAGCUCUAUCUUCUCGAAAAGUUUGCAAAGUGAAGAUAUGUAGCUGAAGUAAAGAUAUACACAUAACCCUUCUAAGCCGAAUCUUGAGGACAAGAUUCCUUUUAAGUGGGGUAGAUUUGUAGCAUCCCAAAAAUUCAAAUUCUAAAUAUUCUCAAACUCGCUCUAAAUUCAAAAUGAAUUUCAAAUUUUGUUUCAAAAUGUUUGUUUGCAAGUUGAUAUCAACAAGUAAAGUACAGUGGUCUAUAUUCUCUCCAAAAUCCUCCUACAAAUAUUUCCCCAGUGAUCCCCCUCAAAUUCUUCCAGAAAUACCGCCCAGAUAUUUCCCGAGUGAUCCCCUUCAAGUUCUUUCAGAAAUACUACCCAAAUAUUCCACCGAUAUAUCUCCAAGUAUUUUCUUCCUAAGAAAUACCUUCAGAAUCAUUUUUCAAGCCCCCACAAAUAUUUUCUUCAUAACUUUCUUCAUGCUCAUACGUAUACGUAUGCCUCCGGUGUCAUACGUUGAGCUCUACAAGCUAAUUACACUCAUAUAAGACAAAUCCAUGCUAAUCUCCCACUAAUCCUCUCAUCCUGCCACUAAUCCUCUCAUCCCUCCCCCUAAUCCCCCCACCAUGGCUAUAAAUAGAGGGGCAAGGGCCUCCUCUCAUCCCACCCAAAGCCAUUUCAUGGCAACUCCCUCUCUCCCCCCCACACACCCACUCCAUGUUCCACACAAGCACACACUAGCACAAGGAUCGUUCGGUCGUUCUUCGAUCGUUCGUCCCCCUGUUCUUAGUUGUUCGUUCGUUCGUCCGAUCGUUUGAUCGUUCGUCCGAUCGUUCAUGGUUCGUUCGUCCGUUCGUCCGAUCGUUCGUCCGUUCGUUCGUCCAAAUAAUCUUUUUCCUGCCGUUAUGCUGCCGAAAUUCCGUUCGUCCGUUCGUUCGAUCAUUCGAUCGUUCAUCGUUCGUUCAUAGUUCCUAUUCAUCGUUCAUCGUUUAUUCAUCGUCACUAUUUUACCGUCACUAUUUACCGUUACUAUUUACCGUCACUAUUUUACCGUGACUAUUUUACCGUUACUAUUUACCGUUACUAUUUACCGUUACUAUUUCCCGUUACUAUUUCCCGUCACUAUUUUACCGUCACUAUUUUACCGUUACUAUUUACCGUCACUAUUUACCGUUACUAUUUACCGUCACUAUUUUACCGUUACUAUUUACCGUUACUAUUUACCGUUACUAUUCAUCGAUCAUCCGAUCAACCCAAAUUUCAACUACUCAUCCAUCAUGCUGUCCAGUCCACCUAAGACCAGCCAGACCCAUAUUCCAGUUAUACAAACUCCGGUGACUGUGAUUUUCCUUCCAGUGGGAACUUCCCAUCUGGUUACCCAUCCUAGGUUUCUCCAAGUUGAGCACGCUUAACUUGAGAUUCCUUCGAACCAGGCUUCCAAACUCAGAUUCCAAUAAUUCUCGUUUCUAAAUUCUUAUCAAAUUAUUCCCUAUCCAACCAUGUCAUCCCUUAAGCAUGGUUCAUAUUCCAGAAAACUCCCAAAAUACUCUCAUAUUCUGCCUAUAACUCUCCUAUUCAUACUAAGUCAGACGAUUCAUUCGUCACUAUUCUCACCAACAGUGAACUUCACUGUGCUACACCACAUACACCCAGCUACCCUCUCCCUCUCCACACACACUCAACACCCUCAGCCAAGGAAAACACCCCACCCACUUAGUUACUCCGCUCUGCCGGCUACACGCAUAGUGUCGCUUCGCCUCUAGUCCACCCUCUUGUUAUCGGAGCGUUCGUGUCGUCUCGUGGAGGCCAGAUCUGCAAGUCUACGCCAGACGGUGGAGCCAGAAGCCAGUUCCGCGAGCUCUUCUUCCCCCUUCGCCGAAUAAGCACGGCAAGCUCACUGGAUCCCUUUGAUGCAUAAAUUACCUAUGCUUUUACAACCACAACCCUCAGCCUGUUAUUUUAUGCAUGAUAUGAUUUUGAGACAAGUUAUUAUGGCCACCCAACCGCUUGCCGCAAUCAAUACUUGAUAUAUUUGUUACAAAUGAUUUGAGAAAAGGUGUGAGUUUUCAAAAGAAAAUGCUUUUCAAAAUGUGUAUGAUGAAGUGUUUUCACCCUUAUCACCUUGUGAGUGGGAUAAUCAGGGACUCCCUGGUUUAGGGGAGGGCCUAAGGUGAAGGCUCAGCUGGUUUAGGCGUGAGCAGAAGGAUUGUCCCCUCAUAUAAGGACCGGUUUGUCAUCUUUCACUACCUGUACUCAUGAUAAGUACAACCACUCGAGACUGUGUGGGUAGUCACUCAAUCUGAACUCGUACGGUCCAACCCCAGGGUUAUGAAGGCUGGGGAGCACCGGGAGGAUAAGGAGGGGGAAUGUUUUGUCCGGUUUGGACAUGGUGGUGGCCUGACUCCUUCCGGUAUAACCGUUAAGGUUAGGAUGUGCGAGGAAAGAAAGAGAUUCGGCAUUCGGGUCUCACGACGGUGAGAUCGCAGAAACCGGACUAGUGGGUAAAGUGUACACCUCUGCGCAGAGUUUGAAAACCUAUUCGAAUAGUCCGUGUCCACAGGAAUGGACGAGUCUGGUAUGGUAUGGCAAUUAAUGUUUUGUUUUCAUAAAAGGCUACGUUUGAGAAAAUGUUUUUUAAAAAAGGUUCGGCGGUUGAGCCGUGAGCUAUGGUGGACGGGAAGUCCAGUAGCUGUUUUUGAAAAUGAAAACCAGUGGGAAACUACUGAGAUACCUGGAUGGUUUAGUCCAGGGGAUUUUGUUCUAAUAUUGAAAAACUUCUCGCUCCUUUGGGAGAGGAUGCGCUUUGGAAAAUACAAAAUGUUUUACAAAACAACCCUGCAAAAAAUAUUGCUGUUUCUGCAAAAUAUCCUGAGCUCCAGAUAUUCCAUGCAUUAUAUCUGAUUUCCCCAUUCCGCGGGUGAAGGUGGGCUGCUGAGUACGUUUGUACUCACCCUUACUUAUUUAUUUUUUUUCAGAAGAAGGAGAUCGGGUAAGAGUUACGACUGUUCCCAACCUUGCUUGUGGCUGCUGGGCCGCUGAUUUGCUUCGCUGCGUAUAUCGGGCUGCUUCAGCCCCACUCUGAUGAUAUGUCCCGAGUUGUGGACCAACUCUUAAAGUUGAUCGCCACCUUUAUAGGUUUGUCUCGUUUAAGCAGAUCUGUAAUCAUCUGAUGUAUAAAUGUGUUUACUAGCCUCCUGGGACUAGUAAUUGUAUCACAUUUGAGUCCCAGAGGAUUGGGGCGCUUCACUAAUAAGUGUGCAUCCCCAGUAUCCCAAUUGAUCAAAGAUAUAAGAAUAUAUCAAAAGCACUUAAGUGAAACCACUUAAGCAAACCAUUGGUAGAUCAUCAGAUCUUGAUUUAUUGUCCAUCUUUAAGUUCAAUUAUCAUGUGAGGGUCAACGUUGCUCUUAACCGUGAGCAUGGCUGACAUAUCAGUUUUACACUCUACAGAGGUGGUACAACUUUACCCAUAAGCCAUGUAUACCAUCUAGCCUGGGUUGAUUGGACCCGUAAACACUGCCGAGGUGAAUGCCUAGGGAUCCAUUAUGAGGCUUUCACAAAUAUCCUUAGUACAAAGCCACCCGCUAAGGUUUCCACGUCAGUAUUAAUGGCCCUGUAGUGAGGUAACUUAGCCAAGACUACCACCCCAUGUUAACAUGAGCUGCCACCAAACCACUGCCGCCCCCUCUUGCCCAUCUUUCAGGUAGGGUUGCUAAGCACUAAGUCUAUAGAGCUAAUUAUCAAAGCUAGAGCCAUGAUAGCACUCGUGGUUGCACUGUUAUCUUGGAUGGUCACUCCAUGCUCCAUUUAACACAAAAUGUUCUUGUUUAACCAUCGGGUUAACAUCAUAAUAAAACUUCAUUUCCGGAACAUAGUAUCAUUAAAAGAGUGACAUCAUAUUCAUCAUGUUGAGCAAUAGCAAAAAUUGAUAAGCAAAGCAUUUAUCCCAGGGUAAUUCACGGAAUAGGGUUGGUAAUUCUAGGAAAUCCUUAUUUAGGCAAAUCCCAUCAAAUUAUGCAAUAUAUCCAAAAAGUAAACAUUAUUAUAUGCAUUAAUUGGGUACAAAUAGAAUAUGUAGAGGGAGAAUCCACUUGUCUUGCUCGAAAGUGUCCUGUGGGUCAUCCUCGAACGAGUUUGGUUCGUCUACCUCACAGUCAACUUCUAGCAUCGAUUUGCGUAUCGUACAUACAAAAAGAAUACGUUCGCCAAAUAAAUAAACACACGCCAUUACAGGGGUAAUCAUUCACCAUUACAUUCACAUUCAUGCAUCACACAUUUAUACUCAUAAAUACGUUUUAAAGCGUAAAUACUUAUUAAUCCAUUAUGACUACUACUGUGAGUUAUUAUUGGUGAAAAUAUGAGUAAGUGACUAUGACACUAGUUUUAUCUAGUAAAAUAUAGAUAAACAUAUAUUAACAAUUUUUAUGGAAAAUAAUUGCUAAUCAUUUUCUUUCUUACUAAUAAUAGACUUUUGAGUUUUAUCCCUUUUAUUUCUAAAUAGAAAUGAUAUGUGUAGCUAAAAAUCAUUUAUUUAUAAUUCUUCUAACAUUAAUAUUCUAAGAAUUAAUGUAAAUUACUAAUUGGAAUUUUAAUAACAUAAUCAUGGUUAUUAUGACAUCAACAAGUAUUUUACUAAUUCUAAGUAAUCAAGUGCUAUACUUAUGAAUACAUUUAUCAUGACUAGCAAAAUUUAUAUUUUCCAUCUGACCGAGAAUACGUGGCCUAGUAUUUCUUCUACUUUCUUUUAUCAAUAAAAUUAUACUUAAAACACUACUAACAAUUAUCAUUCAUGUGCUAAAGCGAGAUCAAUCAUAAUCGUCUCUAGUAUAAAAAUAACCAAGUUAGUGACUAGUGACGUAAUUUAUUUUUGAAAUAUAAAUUCAUACACCUGUCAAAAUAUUUUUGCAAGGCUUGUUUAUGAUUACACGUAUACGUCGGAGCCUCUUUUCGGUAAUUUCUAAACUAAAAAUCUCGAAAUUAAUUUAAUUUACAAAACUAGGAACUAAAAUGUAAAAUGUGCUUCUUCUACCUUGAGCUAGAGCUCACGAGCGGGGAUGGAGAUCGACGGGGGAGGGAGUUCGGCCGGGCAGAGGAGAAGGGACUCAGUCGUGGGGCGCGGACGGGGGAACGGGCGCGGACGGCGAGGUUCGACGACAAAGCUCCGGCGAGGCGCGGACGGUGGGGCAGACGGUCCGACGGACGGGCGAGCGCGGGCAAAUUCGAGAGCGAGGAGAGCGAGAGAGAGAGAGAAAGCUCAGGGAGGGAGAGAGGAAGGGAGUCCGGCUGCUUUUAUAGAGCGAGAGGGGAGAGGAGAGGGCGAGCCGGGAAGAGAAACGACCGGUCUUCAACUCCAUCAAUGGUGGCGGCCAUUAACGACGCCAUUAGGGAGAGAACGUGGGGGAGGGAGAGAUAGGGUCGGGCGGCGGUUUCCGGCUCAGUGUGGCGCGGAUGUCGAGGGCGCGAGGCGUGCGGGCGCGACGCGGUGGCGGCGACGCGGGAGGGAGAAGAGAGAGGGGGCCGCGGUGGGGCCCAUCCGUAAGAGAGAGGGAGGGGAUAGGGCGCGGCCGGUUGGGCCCUGGUGGGCCGAAAUGGCCGGUCGGCUAGGGUUUCUUUCUUUCUUUCUUUUCUUUUCUAUUUAAAAAUAUAAAUAUAUUUAAAAAUCAUAAUUAUUAUACCAAAAUUAUUUAUAACUAAAAUAAUUAUUUUUGGACCAAUAUUUUUAUAUUAAUUAAUUGGAUUUAUAAUAUAGAAGAAAUUCUAUUCAACGUCCAAAAAUCAAAUAUGAGCAAACAAAAUUAUUCUAAAUGUAAAUAAACAUCGAACACUUGAAUGAAAAUUCAUUACCAUAUUUACCAUUAAUAAACUAAAUGCAUUAUUUUUAGUUGAUGGUUUUUAUAGUGUUACAAACCUACCCCCUUAAAAGAAUCUCGUCCUCUAGAUUAAGGAACUUCUGAGAAUAACUGGGGAAAUUCUGCUCUGAGUUUAUCUUCUCUUUCCCAAGUGGCCUCAUCUUCCAAAUGAUGACUCCACUAAACUUUGCACAUGUUGACAACUUUACUCCGUGUAAUUCUGCGAGAUGUUUCCAAAAUUCUAAUAGGGUACUCCGAAUAAGUCAAAUCCUCCUUAACAUUGAGUUCUUCCAUAGGAAAUUGUUCCUCCGGUACUCUUAAGCAUUUAUUAAGUUGUGACACAUGAAAUACGUCAUGCACAUCCAUCAAACUAUCGGGUAGCUCUAACUGGUACGCUACUUCACCUUUUCUUUCCAAAAUCUUGAACGGGCCAAUGUAGCGAGGACAUAGUUUACCCUUAACCUUAAAUCUUUUCAUGCCUCUCAUCGGUGAAAGUUUAAGGUAUACGAAGUCUCCUACUUCAAAUAUCAAUUCUCUUCUUCUAUUGUUAGCAUAGCUUUUCUAUCUCGACUGUGCUGUUUUCAGAUUCUCUCUGAUAAUAUGUACUUGCUUUUCUGCUUCUUGGAGAAUUUCUAGACCAAAUACUUGACUUUCUCCGGUCUGGUUCCAAUAAAGCGGUGUUUCUACACUUUCGUCCAUAAAGUGCUUCAAACGGUGCUAUUUUUAAACUUGCCCAGUAACUAUUGUUAUACGAGAAUUCUGCAUAAGGCAAACUUUUAUUCCAGCUUCUACCAAGCUUUAGAGCGCAAGCUUUUAGCAUAUCUUCCAACACUUGGUUUGUUCUUUCCGUUUGCCCAUCCGUUUGCGAAUGAUAAGCUAAACUAAAGUUUAGCUUGGUAUCCAUGGACUCAUGUAGUAUUUUUCCAAAAGUGUGAGGUAAAUUGGGUUCCUCGAUCCGAUAAGAUCUUCUUUGGUACUCCGUGCAGACAAACAAUUCUUGACAUGUAUAACUCUGCUAACUGGGCUCCUAAGUAAGUUGUUUUUACAGGUAUAAAGUGUGCCACUUUAGUCAACCUGUCCACUAUAACCCAUAUUGAAUCAUAGCCAUCCCGAGUACGGGGUAGUCCAACUAUGAAAUCCAUAGUGAUUCCUUCCCAUUUCCAUUCCGGUACUUUGAGAAGUUGUAGCAAUCCUGCUGGUCUUUGAUGUUCGACAUUUAACUUGUUGACACACGUCACAUAGUGCAACAUGAGUAGCCACAUCUCUUUUCAAACUGUACCUCCAAUACUUUUCCUUAAGAUCCUGGUACAUCUUAGUACUUCUAGGGUGAAUAGAAUAAGUUGAAUCAUGGGCUUCUCUUAAGAUAAGUUGGCGUAGGUGCUAGAUUUCUGGUACACAAAUUCUCUUUUUAAACCAUACUGUGCCUUGAUCAUCUUCUGUGAAAUAUGGGGCUUUUCCCAAACUAAUUUGUGUCUUAAUUUCCUUGAUUUUCUCAUUAGUCUCCUGUCCUUUACGAAUCUCUUCUUCUAAAGUAGAUUCAACUUCCAUAACUGUUGCUUCCAUAUUAUUGAGCAUACCAAGGUUGAGUUGUUCCAUCUCCCAGCACAAUUCUUGUGACAUCAAAUGAGUAGUGAUGUUGUUCACUUGACCUUUACGACUCAAAGCGUCAGCCACUACAUUUGCUUUACCUGGGUGAUAUUGUAUUUCCAAAUCAUAGUCCUUGAUUAACUCAAGCCAUCUUCUUUAUCUUAAGUUGAGUUCUUUCUGCGUGAAGAUGUAUUUCAAGCUUUUGUGAUCCGUGAAGAUUUUACACUUGUUUCCAAUCAUGUAGUGCCUCCAAAUCUUCAAAGCGUGCACUACGACAGCCAAUUCCAAGUCAUGUGUAGGGUAAUUCUUUUCAUGUUUUAGUAACUGCCUUGAAGCAUAGGCAAUCACUUUUCCUUCUUGCAUUAACACACAUCCAAGUCCUAGAUGUGAUGCAUCGCAAUACACAUCAAAUCCUUUAUGAAUAUCAGGCAUGAUUAACACUGGUGCAGUGGUUAGCCUUUCCUUUAAUUCCUCGAAACAUUUCUGACAUGCUUCAUCCCACUUGAACUCUUUACCUUUCUCCAAUAGUGAAGUAAGAGUUUCACUAUUUUUGAGAAGCCUUCAAUAAAUCUUCUGUAGUAUCGUGCUAAUCCAAGAAAACUUCUGAUCUUGGACACAUCUGUGGGUUCUUUCCAAUUUAGUAUCUCACUUAUUUUACCAUGGUCUACUUUGAUUCCUCCAUUGGUGAUAAUAUGACCUAGGAAAGCAACUUUAGCAAAAAAAUCACACUUCAAAAAUUUCGCAUACAACUAAUUGUCGUGAAGCUUCUGUAGAACUAAUCUCAGAUGAUCUUCAUGUGCUUCUUCAUUCUGAGAGUAUACUAGUAUGUCGUCAAUGAAUACCACUACAAACCGGUCAAGGUAUUCCAUGAAUACUUUAUUCAUCAAGUUCAUAAAGUAUGUUGGUGCAUUAGUCAGUCCAAAAGACAUGACUAAAAACUCAUAUAGUCCAUAUCUUAUGGUGAAAGCUGUUUUAGGUAUAUCUUCAGUCCGUAUCUUCAACUGAUGAUAGCUUGAUCUUAGAUCUAUCUUUGAAAUAUUGUAGCUCCUCUCUUCUAAUCAAACAGAUCUUCAAUCCAAGGUAACGGGUACUUAUUCUUAAUCGUUACUUCGUUCAAACUUCUAUAGUCCACACACAUUCUCCUUGAACCAUCUUUCUAGUUCACGAAUAGAACUGGGGCUCCCCAUGGUGAUGAACUGGGGCGAAUAAAACCUUUUUCUAGUAAUUCUUCUAUUUGUUUCUUCAGUUCAAUUAAAUCUUUGACAUCCAUUCGGUAAGCUCUUUUUGAAAUUGGUGCAGUUCCGGAUAAUAGUUCAAUAGAAAACUCUAUAUCAUGAUCAGGUGGCAUACCUGGUAAUUCCUCUGGAAAUACGUCUGGGUAUUCACACACUAUCCUGAUGUGCUCCAAAGAUUUGUCUUCCAACUGAUUUAUCAUUGUCUCUGCUGUUGCUGGCAUACUGACAUUGACUUCAAUUCUUUCUCCUUGUGGACUAGUUAAUGUAACCAUCCUCUUGGCACAAGAUAUCACUCCAUCAUACUUGGUCAAGUAGUCUAUUCCGAGUAUCACCUUGAUUCCACUUGAUCCCAAAAUUAUUAGCUCUACUAGAAAACUUAGGCCUCUAAUUUCAAUCUUAGUCUGAGGGCAUGAGUGAGUAGCUCUAAGUUCACCUCCUAGUGAUCGAAUUAAUAGUUUCUUCUUCAAGGGAUAGUUUGGUAUAUUAUGUUUUCCACAAAUGACUGUUACGAAGGAGUGAGAUGUUCCAGAAUCAAAUAAAACUGAUGCAGGUAUGAAGUUAAUAAGAAAUAUACUAUACACCACGUCAGCAUCCUUAGGAACUAAUUCUGCUGUCAAAUGGUUGACUCUUCCUCUACUCUGGUUCUGCGGAGUCCUGUUCUGUGCAGAUCCACGAGCAGGUGUGUUCUGGUUAGUCCUUUGGUUGUUCUUCUUCUGGGGUGUCUGUGGGUUAUGCCUAGGGGCAGUUGUUGGCAUAAUGGCCAAGUUCGCCACACUUAAAACAACCAUUGGGUUGAACAGGAGUAGUUGCAUUGUUGUUCAUGGCCGGUGUGUUCACGAUGCUUCCCUGACGAUUCUACUGUUGCCCACUAGACCUUUGGUCGGUCUAGGUGUUGCUUCUCUGCUAGUUCUGGUAUUGAUUGUUCCUCUGACUUUGUUGUCCAGAGCGUUGUGCUUGAUAGUUGUUGUUCCCACUCUGGUUUCCGGAGCGGAACUGAGAACCUUAGGAGUUGUUUUGUCGGGUAUUUCUGCCGGUCUGCCCUUGGUACUUCCUCUUGUGGUCGGACAGUUCUUUCCUUUUGUUCUCAAGGCCAAUUGCCUUUUUCAGUGAAGUCUAGAAAUUAGGGAAACUGUGGCUCUGUAGCUGGUAGUUGAAUGGUCCAAUCAAGCCUUCCAAGAAACAUUCUCGUCGGUGUCCACUUCCUCUGGGGCGUAACGUGAAAGAUGGGUGAAGCGAUCACGAUACUCACUAACAGACAUGUUCCCUUGAGUGAGGGAAAGGAAAUCCUUCUUAAGCUUCAUAAUUCUUGAGGGAAUGUGAUGAGCGUGGAAGUUCACUUGGAACUCCUGCCAGGUUAUGGCAUCACCAUUGGCGUGUGCCGCAGUGAAGGCAUCCCACCAAUCGGACGUGGUUCCUUCGAGUCUUCUCGAGGCAUACAAGAACUUUUCUCGGUCAUUGCACUGGGUGAUGUCUAACUUCUUUCCAAUGAGCUUAAGCCAGUCAUCAGCAUCCAAAGGGUCUACUGCGUGAGAGAAAGCAUGCGGGUGAUGACUCAUGAAGUCCCGAUGCUUGUCUAUAGCUUGGGGUGCGUGCUGCUAUUGUUGUUGGUACAAUUGGUUUUGCUGAUUCUGUUGAAUUUGCUGUACCGAAGCUGUAAGUCCUUGCAGAAGUUGCAUCUACGCUGCGACGAACUGAUCCAUCGUGGGAUUGGGUGGUGUUGGCGGUAAUUGCUGACCACGCUGAUGGUUAUUGGGACCUGAUCGAGUGUUCACCAUCUGUUUGGUUAGAAAGUGCACUCCCAGGGUAAGUAAGGAGUAGAGAAGAUUCUAAGGGAAAUAGCUUAUUAUUAAGGUUAAGUUCAUUGUUAUAUUAUUUUUAUGCUCUUAUGACCAUCAUUCCAUAAGACCAUUGCACUCAAGCAAAAAUCCAAAUCAAACAUUUCAAGCAACACCAUCACAUGGUUGUUAUUAUUAAUAGUGUAAUAAUAUAAAGAUGUUUUUCGUCUAUCGUGGAAACUAACUUAUUACAACAUAAAUGAAAAAUCUAAAGCAGCCUGGUGAUGGAUCCUGGUUCUCCAUAGCGGAUCCUCAUGUGGGGAGGGGAUAACGCCAUGGCAGGGACUUGAACUUCAGGGGGAUUCCUUCCAUCGAGCUGAGCUUCCAGUGCUGCGAUCCUUCAUGUGCAUCCUCCAGCUCCAAGUGUACCCUAGAGAGGUCCAGAGUAGCACUAUCUAGGUCGGCGUUAAGACCUGCCACCACACCAGCUAAGGUGUUGAGGCAAUCUUCAUUUGCUCCACCUGGAACAAUGCUAGUCUGGUUCUCUCCACGAAUACGUAGAGGAAGAUGCCUGUACUUCGUAUUGUGCAGCUGCUAUCGGUAGGUGUGGCUGAGAGACCACAGAGUUUGCCUAGCAGCAUCGCUGACCGAAGCAACGUAGGUGGAUAGCGACGUCAGAGACUCAUGUGCUGACAGAGUCCUGAAUCCUCUAUCACUUGCAUCCAUUACCCUGACAUGAAUAUGAGUGAUGUAGUAGCAUGCCCGAGGAGGCUCGUACACUCACCUGGUCUCAUAUAGGGGUCAGACAUAGGUUCCCAACUCGUGCAGAACAUCCUGCAGUAGGUUAGGGAAGUGCCCUGUCUCGAACAUUGAGGUGUAAUGUUCAGUGACAGGCCAUAACCCCAUGUAGUGGUCCUACUGUUCUUCGUUGGCUUCAUCGUUGAGGUUUUCCUCAUCUUCAUCUUCUUCUUCUUCCUCGUCGUCUUCAUCAUCGUCACAAGAGUCGUCUAGGUCGUCGCCUCCAGGAGCAGGGGCUUGGACUGCUGGUGCUGGCGGUGCUGAAGCUGACAAUCCAGCUGCGAAGGCUAGUUAUUUUGCCAACGGGGUGGACGUAGGCAGAAACUCUUCCGAGCUGUCCUCCAGAAUGACUCCGUUCUCCACCCGAAUGCGAGGGAGAUCCACAGGAAUUUACUCGACUACCACUGGGUAGACAGGAACUUGCCGUGGCGGAGGGAUGAAGUUGGUGUUGAUCCGAGUGUUUGAAUGGUACAGACCAUCUAUAAGAGAAAAUGUCAACUUAGUUGAUGUUUAAAGAGGUAAGGUUAAUAAAAUAAUUUUGUAAGAACAAAAUUAGCAUGUUUUGAACAGACUAGGCUUUCCAUUUCUAACUAAUCUAAUGACCUAGAGUCAGCAUAGCUUUGAAACCACUUUUGUCACACCCGGUUUUGGGGGCAAAACCGAAUGCAUAGCAUAUGUGGGCCAGGAUCCAUUUCCCACACAAAUGUUGACAUCACAAGUGUAAUAUAUCAAAAGACAAUGCAAUAAAGGCAUAAAGAGAGUAGAGUACAUAAUUACAUCAUCUGAAUCAUUGUAUCUUUAACAAGUAUCAAAAUCAAAGUAGGGCGGAAUUAAAUAUGGUCACUAUUUCACAGGAAGGUGACUGGCGCAUCGUUAAACUUAAAACUCAUCAUCGUCAUCAGCGAAGUCUUCAGCAUCACCCUCUGAUAAAAAUAUUAGCAAGGGUGAGCUCACUUAUGGUCGGGGCUUAGCAAGUGGGGGAAAUUAAUGCAAUUUAACAAGGUAGGCUAUGGAUAAGCGGUAAGCAUUUUAGUUGGUCAAUAUUUUAUUAGCAACACCUGUAUUACUAAUAAGUGUGUAUCCCAAGUAUCCCAACUAAUCAAUGAUAUAAGAAUAUAUCAAAAGCACUUAAGUGAAACCACUUAAGCAACCAUUGGUAGAUCAUCAGAUCUUGAUUUAUUGUCCAUCUUUAAGUUCAAUUGUCAUGUGAGGGUCCAGGUUGAUCUUAACCGUGAGCACGACUGACAUAUCAGUUUUACACUCUUCAGAGGUGGUACAACUUUACCCACAAGCCAUGUAUCCCAUCUAGCCUGGGUUGAUCGGACCCGUAAGCACUGCCGAGGUGAAUGGCUAGGGAUCCAUUAUGAGGCUUCCACAAAAUAUCCUUAGUACAAAGCCACCCGCUAAGGUUUCCACGUCAGUAUUGAUGGCCCUCUGGGUGAGGUAACUUAGCCAAGACUACCACCCCAUGUUAACACAAGCUGCCACCAAGCCACUGCCGCUCCCUCUUGCCCAUCUUUCAGGUAGGGUUGCUAAGCACUAAGUCUAUAGAGCUAAUUACCAAAGCCAGAGCCAUGAUAGCACUCGUGGUUGCACUGUUAUCUUGGAUGGUCACUCCAUGUUCCAUUUAACACAAAAUGUUCUUGUUUAACCAUCGGGUUAACAUCAUAAUAAAACUUCAUUUCCAGAACAUAGUAUCAUUAAAAGAAUGACAUCAUAUUCAUCAUGUUGAGCAAUAGCAAAAAUUGCUAAGCAAAGCAUUUAUCCCAAGGUAAUUAAAGGAAUAGGGUUGGUAAUUCUAUAAAAUCCUUAUUUAGGCAAAUCCCAUCAAAUUAUGCAAUAUACCCAAAAAGUAAAAAAUAUUAUAUGCAUUAAUUGGGUACAAAUAGAAUAUGCAGAGGGAGAAUCCACUUGCCUUGCUCGAAAGUGUCCUGUGGGUCGUCCUCGAACGAGUUUGGUUCAUCUGCCUCACAGUCAACUUCUAGCAUCAAUUUGCGUAUCGUACAUAUAAAAAGAAUACGUACGCCAAAUAAAUAAACACACACCAUUACAGGGGUAAUCAUUCACCAUUACAUUCACAUUCAUACAUCACACAUUUAUACUCAUAAAUACAUCUUUAAGCGUAAAUACUUGUUAAUCCAUUAUGACUACUAGUGUGAGUUAUUCUUGGUGAAAAUAUGAGUAAGUGACUAUGACACUAGUUUUAUCUAGUAAAAUAUAGAUAAACAUAUAUUAACAAUUUUUAUGGAAAAUAAUUGGUAAUCAUUUUCUGUAUUACUAAUAAUAGACUUUUUAGUUUUAUCCCUUCUAUUUCUAAAUAGAAAUUAUACAUAUAGCUACAAAUCAUUUAUUUAUAAUUCUUCUAACAAUAAUAUUCUAAGAAUUAAUGUAAAUUACUAAUUGGACUUUUAAUAACAUAAUCAUGGUUAUUAUGACAUCAACAAAUAUUUUACUAAUUCUAAGUAAUUAAGUGCUAUACUUAUGAAUACAUUUAUCAUGACUAGCAAAAUUUAUAUUUUCCAUCUGAUCGAGAAUAUGUGGGCUAGUAUUUCUUCUACUUUCUUUUAUCAAUAAAAUUAUACUUAAAACACUACUAACAAUUAUCGUUCAUGUGCUCAAGCGAGAUCAAUCGUAAUCGUCUCUAGUAUAAAAAUCCCCAAGUUCGUGACUGGUGACGUAAUUUAUUUUUGAAAUAUAAAUUCAUACACCUGUCAAAAUAUUGUUGCAAGGCUUGUUUACGAUUACACGUAUACGUUGGAGUCUCUUCUCGGUAAUUUCUAAACUGAAAAUCUCAGAAUUAAUUUAAUUUACAAAACUAGGGACUAAAAUGUAAAAUGUGCUUCUUCUACCUUGAGCUAGAUCUCACGAGUGGAGAUGGAGAUCGACGGGGGAGGGAGUUCGGCCGGGCAGGGGAGCAGGGGCUCGGUCGUGGGGCGCAGAUGGGGGAACGGGCACGGACGACGAGGUUCGACGGUGAAGCUCCAGCGAGGCAUGGGCGGCGGGGCGGACGGUCCGGCGGACGGGCGAGUGCGGGUGAAUUCGAGAGCGAGGAGAGCGAGAGAGAGAGAGAAAGCUCGGGGAGGAAGAGAGGAAGGGAGUCCGACCACUUUUAUAGAGCGAGAGGGGACAGAAGAGGGCGAGCCGGGGAGAGAAACAGUCGGCCUUCAACGCCAUCAAUGGCGGCGGCCAUUAAUGGCGCCAUUAGGGAGAGAAUGUGGGGGAGGGAGAGGGUCGGGCGACGGUUUCCGGCUCGGCGUGGAGCGGACGUCGAGGGUGCGGGGCGCGUGGGCGCGACGCGGUGGCGGCGGCGCAGGAGGGAGAAGGGAGGGAGAAGAGAGAGGGGGCCGCGGUGGGGCCCACCUGUAAGAGAGAGGGAGGGGAGGAGGGUUAGGGCGCGCGGCCGGUUGGGCCCUGGUGGGCCGAAAUGGCCGGUCGGCUAGGGUUUCUUUCUUUAUUUUUUUCUUUUCUUUUCUAUUUAAAAAUAUAAAUAAAUAUAUUUAAAAAUCAUAAUAAUUAUACCAAAAUUAUUUAUAACUAAAAUAUUUAUUUUUGGACCAAUAUUUCUAUAUUAAUUAAUUGGAUUUUCAAUAUAGAAGAAAUUCUAUUCAACGUCCAAAAAUCAAAUAUGAGCAAACAAAAUUAUUCUAAAUGUAAAUAAAAAUCAAACACUUGAAUGAAAAUUCAUUGCCAUAUUUACCAUUAAUAAACUAAAUGCAUUAUUUUUAGUUGAUGGUUUUUCUAGUGUUACACAUGGUCAACCUGGUCGUCAUGCUCAACACUGAGAUGGACCACGCCCUUGACGAGUUUGGCAAGGCUUGGAAGGAGAUUGUGGAACUGCAUGCUGAUCGUGCGGAGCGCCGCCAUCAGGAGGAUGGUUCCCCCUGUUGGGACUCAACACUCUUACCGUUCGCCGCCCCUUGGUCAUCAUGCUUAUGGCACCCUAACUACAGGACCAAGAUAGACUUGGAGUUCUAGAUCGAUAGAGUCGGAGUUUGUAAUAAAUGUUUAAAUCAGUGUCUUAGUCUUAGUCUUAGUCUUAGUCAGUCUUAGUUAGUUUUAGUUUGCUUAUCAUGUGUUUCCAUGUUUGUCAUGAUGAACUUAUGAUGAAAUUGGAUCUUUGUAAUGAUUGACACCAAGGGGUGGGCAUCCCCUUCAACUUGGUGUAGUUAUUAAUAAAGUUAGUUAUUUAGUUGGGCAACCCUUUAUUUCCACUUUCCUCUUAAUCUAAGAAGCUAUGUUUUGCUGUGUUGAGAGUCAGUGAAGAUGCUCAUUUGUUCAGUGUUGCGAAGACUUCUAUAUAUCUUUUCUUAUGCUGGAAUACUGUAGGGUCAGGUCUAAUGUGUGAAUGAUUUCUACAAAUGUCUAACAACAAACAUCGAGAUGGAAGGCGUGCCCAACAAGAGCAGCAGGCACCCCAGGAUGAGGCACCCCAGCAGUAGUUGCCACCACCACCCCCAAUGACAAUGGAGUAAAUGUUUCUGAUGCAAACUCAGGCAGUUCAAGCAAUUGGUUGGACCUUGGCAACCAUGCAACAGGUGUAGCAACAACAACCUCCACCUCAACUUCAAGUGCAGAUGCGCAGAUGUCAAGAGACAAGCGUGCGGAGUUCAUGAGGGGUCAUCCCUCUAUGUCUGCCCAUUCUGUAGACCCCAUGGAUGCCUAAGACUGGUUGCACAUAGUGGAGCGGGAGCUGCAUACCGCUCAGUGCAAUGACCGUGAGAAAAUUUUGUAUGGUCCCCGUCUACUAAGGGGAGUAGCACAAUCCUGGUGCGAGUCCUACCUCGCCACCCAUGCCGACCCUGAAGCCAUUACUUGGGAGGAGUUCAGAAACAACUUCCACCGGUACCAUGUGCCUGAAGGUUUGAUGAUAGUGAGGAAUGAAGAAUUUCUGGCAUUAAAGCAAGGGCCCCUGUCUGUUAGUGAGUACAGGGACAAGUUUUUGCAACUAUCUCGCUACGCACCUGAGUAUGUCAACACUGAUGCCGAGAGGCAAUACAUGUUCUUGAGAGGUUUGGUUAACCCCUUCACUACCAGCUGAUGAACCAUACAUUCCCUACCUUUCAGCAUCUGAUUGAUAGAGCUAUCAUGACUGAAAGGAAGCACCGGGAGAUGGAAGACCAGAAGCGCAAGAUCGGUGGACCGCAGGUGGGAGUAGCAGCCAUCCCCGUUUCUCAGGCAAUCCACCCCAACAGUUUAAGUAGAGUCACCCUCAAGGACAUCAAAACCAGCACCAACAUCAACGUUGGCUUUAGCAGCAGUUCCAUAGGCAGUUUCCUUAGCAGCAGCAGCAGCAGUACCGCCAGCACAACCAAUAGGGAGGAAACCAGUAUCAGUGGUAGAGCAGCCAGGCACCUCGCCUUCCUUCCCUAGCCACCAAUCAGCGCAACUAGAUAGCCCCAUCACAAGGAGGAGGUCGUGGAUGUUUCCACUAUGGGGAACAAGGCCACUAGGCGACACAUUGCCUAAGAAAGUGGCUCAGCAACAGCUAGCUUCCAACACCCUAGCAAGACAAGGAGCACCACGACAAGCAUCAGGAGGUGUGGCCAGGCCUACAACCGUGGAAAGGUGAACCAUUUGGAGGCUAAAGCGAUCUAGGAUGCACUAGAUGUGGUAGUAGGUAUGAUUCCAGUUGAAUCCCAUCUAGCAAAAGUACUAUUUGAUACUGGUGUCACACAUUCUUUUGUUUCUACAUCAUAGGUAGAAGCACAUAACAUCCUCAUAGAACCAAUGAUUCCACCUCUAAGAGUUAAUUCAGUUGGGGGAAAAGUUCAGUCCAAUAAGAUGUGCUCGAAUCUAAGGAUUGAAAUAAGGGGAUAGAUUUCCCCGCUAACCUAGUGGUCAUGAGUACUCAAGGGUUAGAUGUCGUCCUAGGGAUGAAUUGGCUGCACAGAAACUAAGCAACUGUCAGUUGUGACAAGAGGAUAGUAAAGUUAGUGUCCCCAUUCGGGAAAGAAGCAGUAACUAAACUGUUCAUGCCUGAUUUAGAAGGAGCCUGUCACUAUAUGUCUGUAGAUGGUAAGGAGGCCAACUUGCUUGAGGCUAUCAGAGUUGUGUCAAAGGUCCCUGAUGUGUUUCCUGAGAAUUUACCAAGCAUGCCACCCGAGCGUAAAGUUGAGUUUGCCAUAGAGCUUGAACCUAGAACUGCCCCUAUUUCCAAGAGAGCCUAUAGAGUGUCUAGACCAGAAUUGGUGGAACUCAAGAAGCAAAUCGAUGAGUAGUUAUAGAAAGGCUACAUUCAACCAAGUACUUCGCCUUGGGCCACACUAGUUCUGUUUGUGGAUAAGAAAGAUGGGAUCAAGAGGAUGUGCAUUGACUACAGAGCUUUAAAUGAAGUCACCAUCAAGAACAUGUACCCUCUGCCAAGAAUAGAAGAUAUAUUUGAUCAGUUGAGAGAAGCCGGAGUGUUCUCAAAGAUAGAUCUGAGGUCAGGUUACCAUCAGCUCAGGAUCCAACCUUCGGAUGUACCGAAGACAUCAUUUAUCACCAAGUAUGGGCUAUAUGAGUACACAGUCAUGUCAUUUGGAUUGACAAAUGCACCAACUUUCUUUAUGUACUUGAUGAAUAGUGUGUUCAUGGACUGCCUCGACAAGUUUGUAUUGGUGUUCAUCGAUGAUAUUCUCGUAUACUCUCAGAAUGAGGAAGAACACUAGGAGCAUUUGAAUGGCCAGAGUGUUCUCAAAGAUAGAUCUGAGGACAGGAAGGCACCAAGAGAUGUCUGAGGAAUCAAGAGUUUCAUUGGAAUGGCCAAAUACUAUCAACAUUUCAUUGAAGGUUUCUCCAAGAUUGCUAGACCAAUGACAACCCUGCUAGCAAAGAAAGUUGAGUUUAAGUGGACCCCAGAAUGUCAAGAGUCCUUUGAAACAUUGAAGAAGAAGUUGACUACAUCACCUGUGUUGAUCCUACCAGAUGUUCAUAAGCCAUUCUCGGUGUAUUGUGAUGCUUCGUACACUGGUCUGGGAUGUGUGCUAAUGCAAGAAGGAAGAGUAGUGGCGUACUCGUCCCGACAACUGAAGAUUCAUGAGAGAAAUUACCCCACACAUGGCUUGGAGUUGGCAGCAGUGGUUCAUGCACUGAAGACCUGGAGGCAUUAUCUAUAUGGGCAGAAGUGUGAUGUUUACACAGACCACAAGAGUCUUAAGUGCAUAUUCACCCAGUCUGAAUUGAACAUGAGGUAGCGAAGAUGGCUGGAGUUAAUGAAAGACUAUGAGCUAGAGAUACACUAUCACCCAAGCAAAGCUAAUGUGAUUGCAGAUGUUUUGAGCAGAAAAAAUCAAGUCAACAUGAUGGUCGCUCAUACGAUGCCAUAUGAACUAGCAAAGGAAUUCGUCAGGCCGAGUCUCGGAUUUCUAAACAACACCCAAGGAGUGACAAUUGAGCUGGAACCCACUCUAGAGCGAGAAAUCAAGGAUGUGCAGAAAGAUGAUGUGAAGAUCAAUGAAAUUUGGCAGCUGGUCUUAGAUGGGAAAGGCAAGGAUUUCCAGGAAGAUGUGGAAGGUGUGGUAUGGUUCAAAGAUAGGUUGUAUGUUCCCCACAUAAAAUUGAUUCGAGAGCUGAUUUUCAAGAAGCUCAUGAGACAGCGUAUUCCAUACACCCUGGCAGCAAGAAGAUGUACCAAGACAUGAAGAAAAGAUUCUGGUGGUAUUGUAUAAAAAGGGAGAUCACAGAGUAUGUUGCCAUAUGUGACAGUUGUCAGAGAAUUAAGGCAGAGCAUCAGAGGCCCACAGUUUGUUGGAGCUGUUGCAGACUCCUUAGUGGAAAUGGGAUGAGAUUGGGAUGGACUUUAUAGUCAGUUUGCCUCGCAUUCGAGCCGGUUAUGAUUCCAUCUAGGUAGUAGUGGACCACAUGAAAAAACCGGCUCAUUUCGUACCAGUCAAGACUACCUAUAGUAGUGCAGUGUUGGCAGAGUUAUAGAUGUCCCAGAUUGUAUGCUUGCAUGGAGUACCAAAGAAGAUAGUAUCGAACCGAGGAACCGAGUUUACUUCUCAUUUUUUGCGGUAGUUGCAUGAAACUUUGGGCACGCACUUGAAGUUCAGUUCAGCUUACCACCCGCAAACAGAUGAUCAGUCUGAGAACCAACCAGAUCCUUGAAGACAUGCUGAGGGAUUGUGCAUUGCAAGACAAGUCAGGUUGGGACAGAAGGCUACCUUAUGCAGAAUUCUCCUACAAUAACACCUAUGAGGCUAGUCUGAAGAUGUCACUGUUCCAAGCACUCUAUGGGAGGAAUUGUCAAACUUCAUUGCAUUAGGACCAACCCGGCAAAAGGCAGGUGUUCGGUCUAGACAUUUUGCUUGAAGCCGAAGAUAAUAUCGGAAUGGUUUGAGAGAAUCUGAAGAUAGCGCAGUCCAGGUAGCGAAGUUAUGCUGACACAAGGAGAAGAGAGCUGAGUUUUGAAGUGGGAGAUUAUGUUUAUCAGAAGGUGUCACCCAUUAGAGGAAUCAAAAGGUUCGGAGUCAAGGGCAAGCUAGCACCUCGAUACAUCGGACCCUACAAGAUUUAGGCAAGACAUGGAGAAGUGGCAUACCAACUUAGCCUACCAGAAAGUCUGUCAGCAGUGCAUGAUGUGUUCUAUGUGGGUCAGCUGAAGAAAUGUUUGCGAGUACCAGAAGAGCAAUUGCCUACCGAGGAUCUCGAAGUUUAAGAAGACUUAACAUAUAUUGAGAAGCCAACUCAAAUUCUAGAGACAGCAAAUAGAGUCACUCGAAGGAGCACCAUCGAGAUGUGCAAAGUCAAGUGGGGUCAUCAUUCAGAGGAAGAAGCAACUUAGCAAAGAGAAGAUGAUCUAAAAGCUAAAUAUCUCGAGCUCUUUGCUAGCCAACCCUGAAUCUCGAGGGCAAGAUUCUUUUUAAGGGGGAUAGGUUUGUAACACCCUGGAUUUGGGGGUAUAAAAUUUCUUCUCUAAUUUGUACCAAAUUCAGGUGUUACAUCUUGUUUCUCUCUCUCUAGUUUUCUUCUCUCUUCCUUUUUAUUAGAAUUAUGUCUACUAGGUGGGAGAUUAAGUUUUUCUUUACUAUAUCAAAACCUAUGGGAGUCAUGGGAUGUUGCAUCAUGCUGAGCCUAAAUUAUUAUUUUGUUUGAUGCACAUGUCUGAAUUAUUUGAAUUUGGAGCAUGUUUGAUAUUGAAUUCAAAGGAGAAAAAUAAAAGGAAAAAGGAUUAGAAAUUUAGGAAUAAAUGAAAAAGGGAAAAGAGCCCAGCCGCCCUCCCUACUCGGCCUUUCGGCCUAGCUAGCCGUGUCUCGCUCGCUCCCUUGCCUUCUCUCUCUCUGCUCGGUGGGACCACCCCGUCAGCAUCGUUGCACGCUCACGUGCACCCACUCUCACUGGCUCACAGGCCCUGCCCGUCAGACCCGUCCCCUCCCCUGCAACCACCACGCCCAUGGCGUGCGCUCAUGCCCCCACGACCCACCCACGUCGCCUAAGCGCCGAGGUGAAGACCCCGUGCCCCCCUUAGCUCGCCCCUGCCUCUCAUUCACUCUCUCCCAGCCCUCACACUCACUCAGCCCACAGCGCCGCCCCCUCUGUUGGUCCGUCGUUCCGCCAUCCUCGCUGGGCCUCUACCAUCGUCUCGGCCACGGUGAGCUUCGCCGGAGCCUUGUGCACCGGGAAUCCACAGUGGUUUCCCUCUCAUUGAUCCCUCUGCCAGGUCCGCACUCAACCUCUCCCCUACACAAGUCGGAGUUCGCCGCCGCCACGAUUUCUCCUUGUCCGGCCAACCGGAGUCCCCUCGCGCCGUGCCAAGCCACUCCGAGCGUCGUCUCUAGGUAAGUGACCUUCCCCUAACCUUAUUCUGCACCGAUUCCAUCUCACCAUGGGUAAUUUUGGCUCGCCGGAGUGGCCUCUGGUCAGCCGAGGCCCCCUCCGCCUGUCUCAGCCCCGUUCCAGUGACCCUGACUUCGCCAUAGUGUUCGUCAAGUCCACCCCAACCUCUCUAUCUACCUAGACUACCCCAGCGCCCCUAGAAACCCCGGUCUGCCUCGCCUACGGUGGCUGCACCACCGCGACCAUGAACAACGCCGCCCUCGGCCGACCGGAGCUGAGAACCCACUUGGCGCCCGAUCCUGACCGUUCAUCCUUGAUCCAUUGGCCCAGGUGCUCGGAUAACGGUUCGCUCGGUUCGUUGGACCAGGAACGUUGAUCCGAGAUCCAGUGGCUAGAGCGCCUCGCGCCCCGUGCAUCUCGCCUCGCCCCACCUGUCAGGCAUCCGCGCCGAGCCCUCGCCCGAGCUGCCGACCUUGUUUGCGCCUCGCCCGAGCCCACUGACCCACUGGCCCCGCACGUAAGUGUCUUGCCCCACCAUGAGAACUGCUUGUCAGCGCUCGCGUCCGCCCGCUAGAUCUAAUCCUGGUCGUUGAUCUAAGAUCUAACGGCUGGCAGAAGCCGACACCCCUUUGGUUUGCAGCUUUAUAAAAAGAACCCUCGACUUCUGAUAAAUAGAACCCACAGUCCCUAGAGUUUGCAGCCGAGCCCCUGGGAUCUUGCAGAAAGAACCCCAGACUUUAUUUUAAUUACAGAAAUAGGUCUAAUUUUGUAUUUUGAAUUCCAAAACUUAUUUAUUUCAUAUAUUUUGCAUAUGAACUCCAAAUUGGGUGGUUCAAAUUGCAAAAUUUUCAUAAAAUUAUUCUCUGUGUGGUUAAAUUAUCAUCUUUCACUAUCUUCAUGUAUUAAUUUCAUGUGUAGGCUAUAGGUGCAUUUAAAGUAAUGGUUCAUUAUUUAAAAGGAAAUAAAAAGUAAAACACUAAUGAUAAUUAAGUGAUUAACUUUGUGAAGUUAAUAUCAUGUAAUGUAUGAACCCAUCCCUGGUAUAAUUUUAAUAAUCCAUUAAGAUGACUAUAGUAAGUUAUGUAAUCCACUGAGAUAAGUAGUACUUAGAGAACCACAAACCCCUAAGUGUAUUUGUAUAUCCUUGGAUCUAGAUUCCAAGCUAGUGUCUGUACUUUUUAUUGGAUUUGUGUUCACUUGAUUGCAUAUGUUUGGUGUAUUGUUCCUUUUAUCAUUUCCCAAAUGUGUUGAAUGCAUGAUUGCUUUGCGUAGACAAUGAGAAGUCCGUGGUUCCUGAGUAUGUUGCUGGAGACCUCCCUGAGCAGCAACCUGGUGAAGGCAAGUGUCCUCUUACCCAUUAUGUCCUACUUACUUUAUAAUUCACUGUCCCGCAUUACUUAAUUGAAAUAUAAGGACUGACUAGCUUUGUAUUUACUUUGUCCUUGAUUACCUUUUGGGUUAUUAUCGUUAGCUUCAUGUUAUUGCUUUACUUUAAUCAACGAACAUGUUAUGAUACGAUGAUGAUGAUCUGUGAUACUUUAGGGGACUUAGGUUGUUUCCUGAGUACCUCUCUGUAAGGACCUUUUCAUUGAGAGACCACCUGGGAUAACAUUACAACCAUGAGGGUGGAAUGGGACGCCCUUAGCUGAAUAAUUAGAGGAACUUGAGGUGUAGUCGGCUUUGUCGUAGGACCGUCAAUGGAGUCCGGGCACAGUAUUUGCUCUACCGAGGGUCGUUGCCGAGGUUCUUUCAAUUUGGUUUUGUUAGUCAUCCUUCCUAUGGGGAGAAGUACUGUGUUUAUCAAACUGGAGAAACCUAGCGGGCGACUAUGACCUCUGGGGAAUAUUUGUAAAGGCUACAUAGUGAAACCUUGCCUGCUCACCUUGGUAGUGUUUGAGGGUUUGAUCGACCCGAGGCAAAAGGAAUCACGACUCGUGGGUAAAGUGUGCAACCUCUAUAGAGUGUUAGAAACUAGUAUAAUAGUCAUGCUUAUGGUUAAGAGCAGCCUUGAGAUCCUCUUUGAUUAGAAUAAUUCUGGAUACUUUUAUGAUGAUAAUUAAUGGUGAUGAUUACAACAAUGGUCUCUGGUAUUUCCUCUUGGAGGGAGUACUUUUGAAUAAUAACUGGGUUUAUUACUAAAACUUGGCUUACUUCUAGUAAUAAAUACCUGACCAACUAAAAGCAACUACUUUAACCUUAACCCCACGUAAAGCUACUCCACUUUAGCCAAACUGGACAUUUGCUAAGUACGUUGAUGCGUACUCACCCUUGAUUAAAAAACCCCCAACCCUAGGUGCUCCCCAUUGCAAUCAGUGCUCAAGAGGAGAUGAAGGCAACAUGGAGGACUUUCCGGAGUUUCAGGUCUUUGAUGAGUUCUAUUUGUGUUUUGUGGCAAACCCCCAGUCAGCUGCCUGUGAAGGCCUUAUCUUCUACGUUUUGUAUCCGCACUUUGAUUAUGUUGAUGACUAUGUUAAGUUAAUGACUCUCUGGAUGUCUUGGACAUUUUGAUGUAAUAAAGUACUAUUUCCGCUAUUUAUUUUGAGCAAUGUGUGAUGAUGUCCAACUAUGUAAUCGUUGUGUACAUGAGUUUUUGAUCCUGCCAUAUACAUGGUUCGCAUUCGGUUUGCCUUUCAAAACCGGGUGUGAAAUCUUCUUAGCCAUUAGUGGGUUGUCUGCAUCCUUGACUGUCGGCCCCAAGCAUUAUACUGGGAGGGUGGUCAUUCCCUCCUAGAAGAAGUUUUUUUUUAAAUAGUUUCCUCAUUUUUUGGUGGAGGCCAUUGCUUUAUGAAAAAUCUACAGCUUUUAGCCUUCGGUAUUGCCAAAAAUAGUUGUUCAUGCCCGUUUUCUGGCAAAAAAAGGUAGUAUAACCAUGGAUCUUUGGUGAUUGGCUUAUAUUACGAUAUUACUUACCCCAUUCAUAUUUUAAUGCUAGAAAUCAGUUUCUUGGAUUUUUGGUGGAUAUCAUUUCUUAAUAAAAAAUACAUAGGAAUUAGCCUUUGUGAAAGGGAAAUGUACCCUUGGGCCAUUUCUAAGUGUUUUGGUGAUUAAGUGCCUAACGCCUCACUUUGAACUAACAUGCUACUGUGAGUAUGAGCUCAGAGUCAAAGAGAAGGAAAUUGAGAGUCUUGGAAGAAAGUUGAACAUCCUAUACUAUUGGAGAAAUUUAGGUAUGAUUGUAGCACUUAGUAAAUUGUUUUGGUACUAACUAUGUUCUACUAAGUGCCAGGGAACUUCUCAAAACUAGAUAAAUUCAAUUGGAGAAGUUUGGCUAAGGGUAGUCAAACUUGGACCAGCCUACGGUGCACCGGACUGUCCGGUGUGCAUCAUACAAUGUCCGGUGCUCAGGCUACAUACCCGGCGAAUAGCCGCUCUUGGGAAAAAGCCAGGGCGCCGCGACUAUAAUUCAUCAAACUAUCCGGUGUGUACAGGACUAUCCGGUGUGUCAACCGCAUGCCUAGCCAAUGGUGUGCCAUGGGACCAGAGGGUGGCAAUGGUCAGAUUUGCCAAAUAAGGAAGGGUAUCGUGCACUGUUUACUGUCCGGUGGUGCACCGGACUGUCCGGUGCGCCCACGGACAUAAGGCAAUCAUAGCCUGCCUAAUGGAGGUCCAAUGGCUCCUAGGUCCCUUGGGGCUAUAAAAGGGACCCUUAGGCGCAUGGAGCACUACACCAAGCAUCCUUUGAACAUCACAAGACACCGAGACACUGCGAUCGCGCUAGAGCUUUGAUAGUUUGAGAUUUGAGCAAGAGUUGGAGUUGUAAUUCCGUGUGUUGUUUCUUGUGCUGCUCUCUCAACUUGUGAGCAUGUGUUGCUGUGAUUUUUGUCUCUUGUGUGUGUUUCUACUCCCCCUUACUCUUGUGUUCAUUUGAGAUCAAAUUGUUUAAGGUGUGAGAGACUCCAAAUUGUGGAGAUUCCUCACAAUGGGAAAAAGUUGAGAAGAAAGAGAACCAUGGUACUCAAGUUGAUUAGUGGAUCGCUUGAGAGGGGUUGAGUGCAACCCUCGUCCAUUGGGACACCACAAUGUGGAUUAGGCAAGUAUUUUACGCUUGACCGAACCAUGGGAUAAAAUCAUCGUGUCACAUGUCUUUAUACCUUAUUCUACUCUUUCUUAUAGUUCACGUCACUUCAUAAUUGCUCUAAGUUUAAUACUCACCUUGUGAGAGCAAUUAUGUGAAGAAAUUCACUCCUCUCAUUCUCUUCAUUCAAACUUGGCUCUUGCUUUCACUAAUCCAAAAUUUGUCCAAGUUUGUGAGAGCACCUAGAGGGGGGUGAAUAGGUGAUCCUAUAAAAAUCAACUCUAAACAACACAAACUUGGUUUAUAAUUGUUAGUGAAAUGAAAACCAAGUUGCUGUGAAUAGAGAAAGAGAGAACUCUUCACUUGAUUGUUCCUUUAUGAUAUGUAUUGAACUUAGGAACAAUAGCGUAAGUGAAUAUGUGAGAACUCUAUGGAAGAAAACAAUCACAGAGAAAGAUGCGCAAGUGACAGGGUGAUUUUAUCCCGUGGUUCAGCCAAUGCCUACUCCACAUUGUGGUGACCUCUUCGGUCAAGGAUUGUACUCAAUCCCUCUCAAGUGAUCCGAUGAUCAAACUUGAGUACCACAGUUUUCUUCCUUUUCACAAGUGUUCCCUUUGUGAGGAAUCCCCACAAGUUGGAGCCUCUCACCCUUACAAGAUUGAUCACAAGAACCACAAGAGUAAUGGAGGGAAUACAAACUCACACAAGAACUAGAGUCACAACAACAACACGAACACAAGUCAAGAACUGAGCACUCAAAACAACGCAACGGAGUCAAAGCUCAAAGAAGUGCUCAAAUCUCAAACACAAUGAACCGAAUGCGUGCUUGUGGAGUCUAGGCGUCUUAGGAUGUUUAAUGGAGGCUUGGUGUAGUGCUCCAUGCGCCUAGGGGUCCCUUUAUAGCCCCAAGGCAGCUAGGAGCCGUUAGAGUUCCAUUUGGAAGGCUUUGGUUGCCUUCUGUCCGUGGGCGCACCGGACAGUCCGAUGCACCACCGGACAGUGAACAGUGCAUGAUCUCCUUCCUUUUCUGGCGAAGCCAACCGUUGCCACCCACGGUCCAUGUGGCACAACGCUGAUCGUGUGGUCACCAUUGGCCGGGUGUGAGGCUGGCACACCGGACAGUCUGGUGCACACUGGACAGUCUAGUGAAUUAUAGCCACGGCACACUCAGCACUUUCCCGAUUGUGGCCUAUUCGCCAGGGCACCAGCCUAGGCACCAGACACUGUCCGGUGCACCGUAGGCUGGUGCAAGUUUGGUUGGACUCAGCCAAACUUCUUUAAUCCGAUUUCUCUCGAUUUGACAAGAUUCCUAGCACUUAGUAGAAUAAUGUUAGUACCAAAAACAAUAUGUGUUGAGCAUCUAAUCACUAACACAUUUAUAGAAAUGGCACAAAGGCACAUUUCCCUUUCAAUCUCCCCAUUUUUGGUGAUUUAUGCCAACACAUCAAAAGCAACUCAAAAUGCAACAACAUUUUCAAAGAUGAGCUAAAGAGUGCAAAUUGAAGACCAAUUAAUCUCACAUAGAAUUUGUUAUAUUUGGAUCUCUUUUUUGCUGUUUAUUUUCACAAAACAAAUUCGUUUUACUAUCUCUAUGUCAAAGACACUUUUUUGGCAAAUCAAAAGAUCUUUCAAGAAUAGUUUUGAUCAAAUACCAAAAACUCCCCCCUUUUCCCAUAAUAGAAAUUCUCCCCCACAAGAGAACUAUUUUUGCAAUAAGAGGGUUUUGAUCAAACACCAAGAUUUCUAACACUAAAGUUUUGAAAUUCACAAGUGGUUGGUUGAUCUAGUUGAUUUGGUCUAAUCUGAUCCAGUUGCUUUGGCCUUAAUUUCUCCCCCUUUGGCAUUAAGCACUAAAAUUGAAGAACUAUUUGGCCCCUUUAACCCCAUUGUCUCACAAAAAUUCCAAAUAAGAUCAAAGGCAAUAAGAAAACACAGAUAAGAACUUGGGACAAGAUACAUUGAUACAGGGAUGCAGUGGAAGCCCCUUCUUUGUUCAAGUUCACAUUUUCCCUUUCAAUGCCAUCUUUGAGACUAGAUUAUUAUUACUCAAGGAAACACAUUAGUCUCAAAGGAUCAAGUUGUAGUACAUCCUCCCCCUAAACAUGUGCAUCAUGUGCAUAAGGACUUGUGAGGUCCAGGGAUAACUUGUACAACUUGAGCACCAAAAAAUAAGCAUGUAAAGACAGUAAUGCUUAAAGUAACAUGAUCAAAGGCAUGAAACACAUGUCUGCUAUAGAUCAAUCCAAGUUCUGCGAAUCUAAGACAUUUAGCUCACUACGUAACCUACAAAACUUUUUCUUGUCUAAAGGCUUGGUGAAGAUAUCGGCUAGCUGGUUCUCGGUGCUAAUAUGAUAAUUAUCGAAUCUUCCCUUUGCUGGUGGUCUCUCAUAAAGUGAUGCCGGAUGUCUAUGUGCUUAGUGCGGCUGUGUUCAAUAGAAUUGUCCGCCAAGCGGAUUGCACCCUCAUUAUCACACAGGAGUGGGACUUACUCAGAUUGUAUCUAAAGUCCCGGAGGGUUUUCCUCAUCCAAAGUAGUUGCGCGCAACACUAUCCUACGACAACAUACUCGACCUCAACGGUGGAUAGGGCAACAAAUGUUUGUUUCUUAGAGCUCCAGGACACCGAGGACCUUCCUAGAAACUGACAAGUCCUGAAUGUGCUCUUUCUAUCAACCUUGCACCCGGCAUAGUCGGAAUCUGAAUACCCGAUUAAGUCAAAGGUAGACCCCUUUGGAUACCAGAUCCCGAAGCAAGGUGUAGAAACUAAAUAUCUAAGAAUCUGCUUCACGGCCACAAGAUGACAUUCCUUGGGGUCAGAUUGAAAUCUAGCACACAUGCAUAUGGUAAGCAUAAUAUCCGGUCUACUAGCACAAAUAUAAAGUAAAGAACCUGUUGGUCCUUGUUCUCGAAUGCUAUACAUCAAGAACAAAACAACACAAUUGUUAACGAUUAAGGACCUUCGUCCUUCGAAGCAUUAUCUCCCCUAGGAUAUAAUGAUCUUCAGACGAAGGUCAAGAAGGGCAUACCUUCAUCAUUUCAGUGAACGAAAUAUAAAUAGAGACAUAUGAAAUACAAAGGAAUAUAAACAAUCAUUACAAAUCAUUAGAUUAUUUACAUUAUCGUUUUAUAAACAUGGAUAAACAUCAAUUAUAUUUAUAUUACAUUUAUACCUUCGGUUUAACAGAAGAAGGAAAAGCGAGAGUGAAGCGAGAGUGAUUACAAUUCAGCGUGAAUAGUACGAGGGUACUAUUCAUCUAUUUAUAAGCACGGGACGCAGCCCGGACAAAAUUACAUCCGUGUCCCUAAUAAUUAAUUAUAAUCAUAAUACAAAUUAUCAGGGGCUAUACAGUCUUUUCCUCUUUAAGUCGGUAUCGUCCUUCGUCUUUAGCAUGUCACCAUGCCGAAGCUCCUUCAAUCGUAGCUUCGGCUUAUAUCUUCAUGUCACACCUGCUUAUGUAUUGUCCUGCUGAAGGUGUUUUUUCUUAGAGGACCUUCGGCGGAGAAGAAUGCCCCCAACAGUAGCCCCUUCACGGUGCUAGAUCGUUUUUUUCUUAACAAGCUCGAUCCGCGAAAAACACGAAGGCUUCGGAAUGCCGAAGGUUCGAAAAACACCUUCCCUGAGCUCGUUGCCGAGAAACGAUUAUAAUAUUCCAGGCGCCGGAUGGUCCACCGUUCAGCGAGUGCGAGCGGUCUGGUGGUUCACCUUCCCCCCUGUAGCACUAUAUAAACAGAUGGGUUGGUGAGGAGUUACCACAACAUUCAUUGCCAUUGCACUGUCGUGCUGUUAAAAAAUUUAACCAUAGCCAAAGCUUUCUGUAUUGCGCUUUCGAGCGAAUGCUUCAUCAUUGGAGAUUAGCUUCGUCAAAAAGUGAAUACAUUUGAAAUGGCCAGAGUGCGAUCAACUGCUAGAGUGUCUCGUGAGGGAGGCGAGGCCGAAGUAACUGAGACGACACCAAUAACAAAGGUGAUGAGGCAAUCAGGUCUUGUUGUGACAGAAAAGCCUGUUGCCGAAGGUACUUUGACUGCUGAAGCUGAGCAAAUCACAGUUGGAGAGGGAAGUAGUAACGAAGAUGAAGAUGAUUAUACCAUCCUGAGCCCAGAAAACCUAGCCACCUUGAAUUUGGCAGAUCCACUGUGACGGCAGAUGAUAUGGUUAUAAUGAAAAAAUUGGGCUACUUUGGUGAAACUAAGAGUAAACUUGUUCGUUUUGCUGGCGAGGAAGCGGUUCCAGAGCUGAAGGACGAUGAAGUUGUUGUGUUUAAAAGCUUCUUCAGAGCGGGGCUUCGGUUCCCUGUUUAUGAUAUAAUAGGAGAGGUUUUGAAAAACUUUGAAAUAUACCUUCAUCAAUUGACACCUAAUGCAAUUGUUAGACUUAGCAUUUACAUCUGGGCCUCUGAAGCCAGAGGAUGAGUCCUAAUGUCGAAGCUUUCUGCCGGGUGCACGAGCUACAUUAACAGACAAAGGCCAGGGCAAAUGGCCUUCAUGAGAAUUUUGGUUGCUACAAUUUUGCGUAUCGAAAGGAUAUGAAGGCACCGGUUCUUAGCUACCGUACCAAGUGGCCAACUGGUUGGAAGAGUGAAUGGUUUUAUAUGAAAGCAGACGAGAAAAAGAGAGAAGCUAAUGACCAUGGUUAAGAGUCCACUGAAUUUGAGCUUCAGAAUGACAAGGCCCUUGUGCCAUAUGCAGCUUGGCUCCCCAUGCCAACUGGCCGAAGUGGAGUUUAGAGUGGUAGUGGCUGAAGUCAGCACUAGAGAUCUAGUGCAAGAGUUCUUGGCAAAUAGAGUAUUUCCGACCUCUAGUGGCUGGGGAAUGCCCAAGAAAAAGGAUGGGAGCAAAAAACACGAACUUGUUCGGCUCCCAUACUGGUUCAAGUUUGAGAAAGAGUUCAAGAAACCAUGCCAAGUGUGGCUGGAAAUGAUUGAAACUAUGCAAUGAAAUCCUUGGCAACUACACCAAGAAGGAGGACCAACUAAUGACUGCUGCCUUCAGCACCUGGCCAAAAUGAAGGCUAAAUCAUGUGAUGGACGCGCUAAAUUUUGAAUAUCCAGACUAUGAAAGAUUUGAUAAGGGAAAAGAUUUGAAGAGGAAAAGGAUUGUUAGUAUUUUAAAGAGACAGGCUGAUAGACUGGUAAAAGAGGAUGAGAAGAUUUCGAAGAAGGCAAAAACUGCUCGUGAGCCGAAGGCAGCAGUCUCCAAAAAGAGGAAGCCUGAAGUAGUUGAGCCGAAGGUAGCUGAGGCGAGAGAAGAAGUUCCUUCAACGCCCCCUGCUGCUGAAAUAGCAGAAAUUCUAAAGGUAAUGACUGAAUCGUUGCCCAUCAAGCUGCUAAGUUCUUUGGGGGCCAGAACUGACGAAACUUUUACAGAAGAAGGAUCAACCUUCGAUCAUAAAGGAGAAGACUGAAGGUUAGAAGAGACGAAGAAUUGUCAAUGUUAUCCAAGCUAUUGAGCGGACACCACCUCUAGCCUCGGUGUCCAGAAUGGUGCCUGUUGCAAAUGCCAAGGUUGAGGAUGCUGCCGAAGCUGAAACUGUUGCCGAAGCUGCAGCUACUGCCAAAGCUGCUAAUCUUGUGAGCACAAUGUCAGGAAUUGACAAGCUGAUAUCAGAUAUGGUCACAGAGGAGGCAGUUGCGACCGCAGAGGAAAACGUGGCCGCGGUGCCUGGCAAGGGAAAAGAAGUUGUUGAUACUUCGUCAAAAGAAAAAGACUUUGACCUUCGGCACCUGGGAGGUCAAGAAUUGUCUGAGAUGGAGAAAGAGGAGCUAGAAGAAUAUGGAAAAUCUUGUGGCUACCAGCCGGGAUCCAUGCUCUUCGGUGGAGUUGAUGAGGAAAUCAUGGGAUGUAUCCACGACCGAGCUGGGGCAAAAAUAAUCGGCACUCUAUCAAAGAGUGUUGGUUUCCCGAAGCUAGAGUCUGAUAUUAGUGGGUACCGAUGACAACAUAUCGUCAGCAGCCUAUUUUAUUCCAAUUUCAAGGUAAAAUCUUUUUGCCUAGAUUCUUGUUUUCUUUGUGAUGGAUUAAAAUAUUAUAAAGUCAACUUUAUUUUCGCAGAGUAUGCUGCUAAGCAAAGCAUUAAGAAUGCAACAAGACCUCGAAGAUAAGAAAAAUGAGAUAGUAAUUGAAGGCUUGGAAAGCAAGAUCAAAGAUUGCAAAGCUUCUCUUGAAAAGAAUGACUUCUUGCUUCAAGCAACCAAAGGUUCCCUUGUGGAAUUUCAAGCUGAAAAUACUAGAUUAAACGAGGAGCUUCUCAAAGCUCAAACAAUCUUAAAGGAAAAAUCAGAGUGCUUUGAACAAGAGAAAAAGGAACUGCAAGCGAAAUAUAAAGUCGAAGCUGAUAAAAACACGAAGCUGCCGGAAUCACUGAGGGACCUUCGGAACAAAUGAUCGGAGUUUGCUACUCGCUGCAUGCAACGGUUAAAAGGAGUCUUCAGCUCGGUUGGGCCAGCUCUGAAGAAAUUGCCCCUUUGGCUGAAGAUAUAUCAGAUACCUUCAAGCAUAUUGAAAAUGAAGUUGAUGCACUCGACAAAGUAAUAACUGGGCAUGGUGAUUUCUGUGCUCUGUUAGCUUCUCGUGGCACGACUGCUGCAUUCUUGAAGGCCGGAUGCACGCAUGCUAAAACAGUAAACAAGCCAAACAUCAGCCUAUCACCAUCAGACUUGAUUAAUAUUCCUGGUGAGGCCCGAAGUAUCGGAAAUAGAUUUAUUACUCAAAUUUGGGCUAAAGGCAGGCGAGAGUUGGCUGGAGACGAGGCUCAGAAUCUGCUUAAAUCAGUACAAAAUUUAUACCUGUGUUUUCCUUGAUUUUUCUUCAUUACCAUUGCUUUUAACUUAUACCGUUGUUUGUCUGCAGGAUGGCGGCGCCGAAGGUUAGUAAUCCGAAGCGCAUUCCGAAGGUUGCUGGGCUGAGGCUUCCCUUUAUGACUUCCUGCAUAGAGCUUAGGAUCUAUUUGCGUUAUUUUUUCAAAAAAUUGUAAUCGAGAGUUGAACUCAAUACUGUAUAUAUUGAUCCAUACCUUGUAAUAUAAUUUUACCUUUCAGUCCACGUGCGAAUUGCUUUGUUGUGGACGAAACCCAUGUGUAACUUUUGAGCCAAAGGCGAAAAACACCUUCCCUUCUUUUCAUACACAUCGAAGCAUUUCCUUGCAUAAAACGCCUAUGUUCAUGUUUGAAACGAAGCUUCUUCGUAUUCAUCGAAGCACUUUGUUGCCGAAGCCGGACAAUUUCUGCUCAUAUUAUCGUUCGUGCUUCAUGUCAUGAUAAUGAUGAUCCUACGAAUGUCUAAUGAAUGUCUGUAUGAAUGCAAAGAAUGAUGCAAUGUAAUAUGCAAAUGUAUGAACCAAACACACACGAAGCCAUACCUAGACACUGCAUCCCCUUAGGAACGACUUUGGAGUCUCUUCACCUUUUAUUUCGGUGGUAUUUAAGCUCUGCAUUCCCUUAGGAACGACUUUGGAGCUUCUUCACCUUCUAUUUCGGUGGCAUUUAAGCUCUGCAUCCCCUUAGGAAUGACUUUGGAGCUUCUUCACCUUCUAUUUCGGUGGUAUUUGGCUCUGCAUUCCCUUAGGAACGACUUUUGAGCUUCGGGACUUACUCUGCUCCCCCUUAGGAACGACUUUUGUAGCUUCGGAACUUACUCUGCGCUCCCUUAGGAAUGACUUUUGUAGCUUCGUCACUCUCGGAGUGAUUAUAGCUCUGCAUCCCUUAGGGACGUCUUUUGAGCUUUUCCCUGUUCUUUUUGCACUCGAUGGUGUGGAUUUUGAUAUUACAUGUUACAUUUCUGGGGAAUUUUGGCCUUUGUAUUGCUUAGGGCUAGACAAAAAUGAAAAUUACAAACUAUGGCCCCAUUAAAAACCUUUCUCCCCUCCUGAAAGGAAAAGGGUGUCAUAGGAAAAAUAAAAAGAUUACAUCAAUUACACAAAAUAGCGUCGAAGCUCAUUCGCAUUCAAAGAUUUGGGUAUGUCGUUGCCGUCCACAUCCUUCAAUUUGUAAGAACCGGGUCUUGACGAAGAUACUACCAGAAAAGGACCUUCCCAUUUAAGUUGUAGCUUCCCCACUAUAUCGGGGUUGGUUAUCCUCUGAAGCACCAAAUGGCCUGGCUUGAUAUUUUUCAAUCGAACUUUCCUAUCACACCAUUUUAUUGUUUUGGCCUGAUACUUAUUGAUGUGCUCUAUGGCCUGAAGUUUGGUCCCUUCUAAUGUGUCUUUUGUUAUUUGAGAAUCAGUUUUGUCCUCCGCUGAAGCUGCGGUUCUUAUUGAUCCUGUUCUUGGUUCUUCUGGUGUUAUUGCUUCGUCACCGAAUAGGAGCUUGAAGGGAGUAAAACCUGUUGACCUUGAGACAGCAGUGUUGUGGCUCCACACCACUUUGAUCAACUCAUCUGGCCACUUUCCUCUAGGCUAAUUGAAGAUUAACUUCAUUAUUCCUGUCAUUAUAAUUCCAUUUGCUCUCUCUACUAACCCAUUUGACUCUGGAUGCCUUACUGAAGCAAAAUGUAUUCUUGUACCGAUUUGGUCACAAAAAACUUUGGACGUUUCAGCAUCGAAUUGAGUUCCAUUGUCGACUGUAAUAGCCUUUGGUACACCGAAAUGACAUACAAUAUUUUACCAGAAGCACUUCUGGACUGUGGCUGAAGUUAUGGUAGCUAGAGGUUUAGCUUCGAUCCACUUCGAGAAAUAUUCCACCGCUACCAUAACAUAUUUUAAAUUUCCUUGUGCGGGUGGAAGCGGUCCUAACAAAUCUAGGCCCCAUCUUUGUAAUGGCCAAGUAGGUUGGAUCAAUUGUGUUGAAGACGAAGGUUGUUUCUCGUCUCUGGCACACUUCUGAUAAUUUUCACAUUUCUGGACCAAGUCCAUUGCAUCCGAAGCUGCCUUCGACCAAUAAAAACCUUGUCUAAAGGCCUUUCCCAGUUGAGGCCUGGAUCCGAUGUGGGCUCCACAUAGUCCUACAUGUAUUCCUUCAUUAAUUCCUGUCCUUCAUUCCUGGAAAGGCAUUUAAGCAAUGGGGAACAAACUCCAUACUUGUAUAACUCCCCCUCAAUUAUUACAUACGGUUUUGUUCUUGCCUCCAUUCUAUUAUUGUAAGCUUCAUCGUCUGAGAGGCGGUUGCCUUGGAGAAGGAUAUUAUUUCGGUCCUCCAGUCUUCACUAUGUACAGGUGAGAUUCUGAGCACUGCUCUCUCCAUGAGCUCGACUGAGGGUGCUUUUAUUGUUUCAAAAAAUACUUCCGAAGGCAAAGGAAGCCCCUGUGCCGCUGAUUUAGCUAGCAAAUCUGCAUGCUCAUUUUCUCCCCUUGGGAUAUUUUUUUACAGAAAAUCCCUCAAAAGAAGCUUCCAAUCUUCGGACUGCAUCCAAAUACUUCUCAAGCUUUGGGUCUCUUGCCUUGCUACUCUUAUCCACGUGGCCAGAAAUAAUUUGUGAAUCAGUUUUGACGAUUGCCCUUCUUAUUCCCAUUGCCUUUAAUUUCCAAAGCCCUAAAAGAAGAGCUUCAUACUCGGCAAUGUUAUUUGUACAACUGAAGUCUAACUUUAUUGCAUAACAUGUUCUGACUUUAGAGGGUGCCACUAGAACAGCAGCUGCUCCUGCACCGAAGGUUCCCCAAGAUCCAUCACAGAAUACCGUCCAAGCUUUGGCAUCUUUUGUUGUUCUUCACCCUGAGCCCCUGGUGUCUAAUCAGCAAUGAUGUCUGCUAACGCCUGGGACUGAAUUGAGGAUCUAUGUACAUGAUCAAUGAUGAAUUCAUUAAGUUCUGUGGCCCAUUUUCCGAUCCUUCCUAUAGCUUCUCUGUUCCUCAUUAUGUCUUUUAGGGGUUGUGAUGAAGGUACUAUUAUAUGAUAUGCUUGAAAGUAGUGCCGAAGCUUCCUGGAGGCCAUCAAUACGGCAUAUAGUACCUUCUCCAAUUCUGUGUAAUUUUUCUUUGAUAGGCUGAGUACUUCAGAGACGAAGUAUUCCGGUGCUUGUAUUUUUACUUGGCCAUCUUGCUUCUCAUAUACGAGUGUCGCAGUAACCACAACAUGGGAAGCAGCCACAUACAGAAGUAGUGGAGUUCCUGAUGAAGGUGGAGUUAGAGUUGUCAAAUCUAUCAGAUAUUGUUUUAACUCUUCGAAGGCUUUAUAUUGAGCCGGACCCCACUGAAAGACUUCGGCUGACUUCAGUAUUUCAAAGAAUGGUAAAUUCCUCUCUGCUGAUCUUGAUAUAAAUCUAUUCAACGAUGCCAGCCUUCAUGCCAACCGUUGAGCCCCCUUCUUUGAAUUUGGUGCUGCAUCCGAAGGAUAGCUUCGAUUGUGCUUGGAUUAGCUUCGAUGCCCUUUGUUGAUACCAGGCAACCAAGAAACUUGCCCUUCUUCACUCCGAAAACACAUUUUUCUGGGUUCAACUUGAGACCAGCUUGUCUGAAAUUGGCAAACGUCUCUUGCAAAUCAGCAACAUGAUCUUCUUGUUUUGUGCUUUUCACUAUGAUGUCAUCGACAUAAGUCAGCACAUUUCUGCCUAUUUGAGAGUGAAGAACCUUGGCAGUCAUUCUGCUGAAGCUUCCUCCAGCAUUUUUGAGCCCCUCAGGCAUCCGAAGGUAGCAAUAGGUAGCAUCUAAUAGGCUCAUAAGUUAUGAAGCUUGUCUUUGGCUCAUCCUCUUUCUUCAUCCAAAUAUGGUGAUAGCCCGAGUAGCAGUCUAAUAGGCUCAUAAGUUCUGAAGAAGCUGCUGCAUCUACAAGGGAAUCUAUUCUUGGUAAAGGGAACUCAUCCUUCGGACAUGCCUUGUUGAGGUCUGUGAAAUCAAUGCACAUUAUUGAAAGGGAAAUGUGCCCUUGGGCCAUUUCUAAGUAUUUUGGUGAUUUAGUGUCCAACACAAGUGCUUAAAUGAUAAAUUAUGCCAAAUGGUGGAUAAGGUGCAAAUCAAUACAAAGGUAUGAUUCUAGACUUAGUACAUUGGUUUUUGUGUACUAACAUGUUUGUCUAAGUGCUAGAAUCAGAGAAAAUACAAUUGAAAAAGCUUGGAUCGAAGCAGCCAAGAGUCUGCUCAGUCUGGGUGCACUGGACUGUCCGGUGGUGCACCGGACAGUGUCCGGUGCGUCAGGCUGGCGUCUGUCAACUGGCUGCUCUCGGGACUUCGACGGCGGCGUACGACUAUAAAUCACUGGACUGUCCGGUGAGCCAACAGUCGGCCCGGCCAACGGUCGGCCGCGUAAUCCGCUCGCGACGCGUGGCAGAGCCAAUGGUCAGAAGGGGGCACCGGACUGUCCAGUGUGCACCGGACACUGUCCGGUGCGCCAACGGCUCCAAAGCGCCAACGGUCGGCUUCGCCAAAGAAGGAAAGAAAUCCGCACCGGACAGUGUCCGGUGGUGCACCGGACUGUCCGGUGCGCCAGGCGACAGAAGGCAAGAAUUGCCUUCUUGAAAUGCUCUCAACGGCUCCUAGCUGCCUUAGGGCUAUAAAAGGGACCCCUAGGCGCAUGGAGGAGUACACCAAGCAUCCUUUGAGCAUUGUUGAUCACUCACACUUCAUUCUUGCGCACUUGUUCGACAUUCUUAGUGAUUUGAGCUCCGUUCUAGUGAGAACCUUGAGAUAUUGUGUUGAGCUCAAGUCUUGAUAUUGUGUGUGCGUAUUUGCUGUGGUUUUGAGUGUGUCGCUUUCCUCCCUUACUCUAGUGCUUCAUUUUGAUUCUUAUUGUAAGGGCGAGAGACUCCAAGUUGUGGAGAUUCCUCGCAAACGGGAAAGAGUAAAGUAAAGAAGAUCACUGUGGUAUUUAAGUUGAUCAUUGGAUCACUUGAGAGGAGUUGAGUGCAACUCUCGUCCGUUGGGACGCCACAACAUGGAGUAGGCAAGUUUUGUACUUGGCCGAACCACGGGAUAAAUCCUCAUGUCUCUUGUGCUUGUCUUUACUGUGUCUGUUGUGUUUCACAAGAGAACUCCUCUCUAACCACUUGGCCUUAUUGUGCUAACUCCUAAUCAAGUUUUGUUGGAUUAAGUUUCAUGUUUUUACAGGAUCACCUAUUCACCCCCCUCUAGGUGCUCUCAAUUGGUAUUGGAGCCGUUCUCUUCAAGAAAGGGACUAAUCGCCCGAAGAGAUGGAUCCUAAGGGCAAGGGGAUGGUGGUCAAUGAUAAGGAGAAGGAGUCCUUUGUCAAUGAUCCAAAGGAUGACAAGCCUACUGACUCGGGCGCGAGUCACAAAAGAAAAGACAGGAGGAAGAAGAAAACGAGGCGCAUCAAGGAGAUCGUCUACUACGACGACAGCGACGAGUCCUCUUCUUCCCAAAAGGAUAACGACGACAACGACUGCGAGAAAAAGAAGACGGUUAACUCUAAUUUUUCUUUCGAUUACUCUCGUAUUCCUUAAAGUACCAAUGCCCAUUUACUCUCCAUUCCACUUGGCAAACCUCCUCACUUUGAUGGAGAGGACUACGGAUUUUGGAGUCACAAAAUGCGUAGUCACUUGUUCUCUCUCCAUCCAAGCAUAUGGGAGAUAGUAGAAAGUGGAAUGAAAUUUGAUAGUACUGAUAGUCCCAUGUUCAUCAAUGAACAAAUUCAUAAAAAUGCACAAGCUACUACUGUGUUGUUAGCCUCAUUGUGCAGGGAUGAAUACCAUAAGGUGAGCGGCUUGGAUAACGCCAAGCAGAUUUGGGACACCCUCAAGAUCUCUCAUGAGGGAAAUGACGUCAUCAUGCUCACCAAGAUGGAGUUGGUGGAGGGCGAACUUGGGAGAUUCGCAAUGAUCAGGGGCGAGGAGCCAACCCAAACGUACAAUCGGCUAAAGACCCUCGUCAACAAAAUAAGGAGAUAUGGAAGCACGCGAUGGACGGACCACGACGUCGUCCGCCUAAUGCUAAGGUCCUUUACUGUUCUUGAUCCACAUCUUGUGAACAAUAUUCGUGAGAAUCCUAGGUACACCAAGAUGACGCCCGAGGAGAUACUUGGAAAGUUCGUAAGCGGGCGGAUGAUGAUCAAGGAGGCUAGAUACGUUGAUGAUGCAUUGAAUGGCCCAAUCCAAGAGCCUCAAACUAUUGCUCUCAAGGCAACAAGGAGCAAGGAGGCGCUACCUAGCAAGGUGGCGCAAGUUGAGGCGGCCGGACUUAAUGAUGAAGAAAUGGCCCUCAUCAUCAAGCGUUUCAAGACGGCGCUAAGGGGUCGCAAGGAGCAUCCCAACAAGACCAAGACGAAGGGGAAGCACUCAUGCUUCAAAUGUGGUAAGAUUGGUCAUUUUAUCGCUAAUUGUCCCAAUAAUAAUAGUGACCAGGAACAAGGGAACAAGAGGGAAAAGAAGAAGUCUUACAAGAAGGCUAAGGGCGAGGCACACCUUGGAAAGGAGUGGGACUUGGAUUGUUCGUCGUCUGACUCCGACAACGAAGGACUCACCGCCACCGCCUUCAACAAGUCGGCCCUCUUCCCCAACGAGCAUCACACCUGCCUCAUGGCAAGGGAAAAGAAGGUAAGCACUCAUAAUGCUAGUACUUACGCUUCCUCAAGUGAUGAAGAAUCUAGCGAUGAUGAAAUAGACUACUCAUGUUUAUUCAAGGGCCUAGAUAGAACUAAGGUUGAUAAAAUUAAUGAAUUAAUUGAUGCUUUAAAUGAUAAGAAUAGGUUAUUAGAAAAGCAAGAGGAUCUCUUGUAUGAAGAACAUGAUAAGUUUGUAGAAGCACAAAAAUCCCUUGCUUUAGAAAUUAAAAGAAAUGAAAUGCUUUCUUGUGAAUUGUCUACAUGCCAUGACUCUAUCUCUAGCUUAAAGAGCAUAAAUGAUGAUUUGAGUGCUAAGUUAGAAAUAGCUAAUAAAUCAACAUCUUGUGUAGAACAUGUUGUAGUUUGCAAUAGGUGUAAAGACUUUGAUGUUGAUGCUUGUAGUGAACACCUAGUUUCAAUUUCUCAAUUGAAUGAUGAAGUGGCUAGUCUUAAUGCCCAACUUAAGACUAGCAAGAGUGAAUUUGACAAACUUAAAUUUGCAAGGGAUGCCUACAUGAUUGGUAGACACCCCUCAAUUAAGGAUGGUCUUGGCUUCAAGAGGGAAGUCAAGAGCUUAACAAGUCAUAAGGUUUCCAUCUCCGCCAAGGAGAAACGGAAGGCCCCUAUGGCUAGUAGUGCUCAAAAGAACCAUGCUUUCAUGUAUCAUGAUAGGAUACAUUCUAGGAAUGUUUAUAGAAGUUAUGAUGCUUUUGAUUCUCAUGCCAUGAUUGCUUCUAGUUCUUCUAUUAUGCAUGAUAGAAAUUUGGCUAGGAAAAAUGUUGUUCAUCAUAUGCCUAGAAGAAAUAUUGUUCAUGUUCCUAGGAAAGUAAUGGAUGAACAUUCUACAAUUUAUUAUGCUUGCAAUGCUUCCUUUGCUAUUUGUAGAAAGAAUAAGAAGGUAAUUGCUAGGAAAUUAGGGGCCAAAUGUAAGGGAGACAAGACUUGCAUUUGGGUCCCUAAGACUAUUUUAACUAACCUUGUAGGACCCAACAUGAGUUCGGUACCUAAGACCCAAGCCUAAAUUUGCCUUGCAGGUUUAUGCAUCCGAGGGCUCAAGCUGGAUUAUCGACAGCGGAUGCACAAACCACAUGACGGGGGAAAAGAGGAUGUUCUCUUCCUACGUCAAGAACAAGGAUCCCCAAGAUUCAAUCAUAUUCGGUGAUGGGAACCAAGACAAGGUGAAAGGGUUAGGAAAAAUUGCUAUUUCAUCCAAGCACUCUAUUUCAAAAGUGUUCUUAGUUGAGUCGCUUGGAUAUAACUUGUUGUCUGUUAGUCAACUUUGUAAUAUGGGAUAUAAUUGUUUAUUCACAAAUGUAGAUGUGUCUGCCUUUAGAAGAAGUGAUGGUUCACUAGCUUUUAAGGGUGUACUAGACGGCAAACUAUAUUUAGUUGAUUUUGCAAAAGAGGAGGUCGGUCUAGAUGCAUGCUUAAUUGCUAAGACUAGCAUGGGCUGGCUGUGGCAUCGCCGUUUAGCACAUGUGGGGAUGAAGAACCUUCACAAGCUUCUAAAGGGAGAACAUGGGAUAGGACUAACUAAUGUAACUUUCGAAAAAGAUAGACCUUGUGCAGCUUGUCAAGCAGGAAAACAAGUGGGAAGCUCUCAUCAUGCCAAAAAUGUGAUGACAACAUCAAGACCCCUAGAGUUACUUCAUAUAGACCUCUUCGGACCCGUCGCCUAUCUAAGCAUAGGAGGAAGUAAGUAUGGUCUUGUUAUAGUUGAUGAUUUUUCCCUGUAACACCCCGGGGUCCACAAACACCCUGGAAUGCUACUAAACAACACUUCUGACAUCUAUAUAUAAAAUUUCGGCAGCAUCCCCUUUGCAAAAUUGCAUAAAUGAGGGGGCAACAGUGUAUAAACAUACAUCAUGACAAAAAUAUACUAAGUAUUAUUAAUCGGCUAGCAAAGAGAAGUUAAACAUACGACAUGAACUGAAUUAACUAGUGCGCACGACUAGUUAAAAAAACUUCCUUUGACAAUAAAUUUCUAAUUAAAUCAUGGCUGCGCCUGGGCAGCGCUAUUGUGAGAGUGAAAGUGGACGUGCUGCUACUCCCCUCAUUCCCAACAUGUAUCAAGUACCUGCAUUGAGUAAUGCAAGAGUGAGAUGACACAUCUCAGCAAGUAAAAUAAUAUCAAACUGUUUAACCACAUAAGAACAUUGUUUUACCACCACUUGAUUCCACAACCUUCUUAUUACAAAGGUGCAGCACGUAUACAACGUACAACACACCUAGUCACCACACCUCAUAGGUAGAAACCACAAUAGUAACAUAGUAAUGUCACACUUCAUAUAUACCUCAUGAGUGCAAAUGUCUGCAAAUGCAAGGAUGACUUCUAUCUUCAUACCUCUAAGGAUAUGAAGUCGCAUCGUACCCCUCCUCGGGCAACGUACGAUGCUAAAAAUGUACCGGUAUGGUCGGACCAUAAGAUCACGACAUAACUUCAAAAUGCAAGAUGGAUGAUGCGAUGUGCAUGUCAUGCCUACAACACUUCAUAUAACGUGAUUCAAAAAGACACUUCAACUUCAUCAAGAUGGGAAUCAACCACAUAUAUCAUUACCAAAUUAUGAUCAUCCACAAUAUUAGACAAUUGAGAAUUAAUACUUCCAAACAAAUAACUUCAUCAUAGAAUUCAAUGAUUAACAUAAUUAAAACUUAUGCAUACUCAAUGACAGGGAAUAGGAUGCAAACCAAACGGUAGCAACCACCACUGUAUUUACUUGCCUUUACCGGAAGUUUGGGCAAAAACCUAAGUACGAUCCGGAAGUCCACCACCUAUUUUUGACACACAACUUAGUGCACCAAUUUCACAUAAUCAGGCUCAUAAGCGACGCCGCACCUACGCACAAACUCAAACCCCGCCGCGGGUUACAUCUCUCCCCACACCCACCAAACUGCAGCGGCGCUGCCUAAUAAUUUCAUAACUUUAAAUUUAUUACAGCAGUGGUAACAAACAAAAACUCCAGAGGCAUCUACAUAAAAUUCCCUACAAGUUUUGUAUACAAUUUAUAAUUAAAUUCCAACAUCUAAUUAGCCCAAAACAGUCCACAAGAUGAACCCUGUAAUCUGUUUUUUUUUGUCUUUUGGACAGCGACAUACCCGGAUUCAAACAGCGAUAUCUUUUAAAAUAUAAUUCCAAAUCAAGCGCAUAAGUACCCAUUGGAAAGAUAAGACAAAGCCCUACAUGAUUAUUAUACUGGUUAACACUAAUUACCCACGAAAAAUUCCCAGAAACUGCUAAUACUACUUCUGUUCACCCACCUGAAAAAUCUGUUUUUUUGGACAGCAACAUACCGGAUUCAAACAACGAUAUCUCCUAAAUUAUAACUCCGAAUCGAGCGCAUAAGUACUCGUUGGAAAGGUAUGACAAAGCUCUACAUGAUUCUCCCACUGAUCCCUACUAAUUGCCCACGAAAAAUUCCCAGAAAUCCCUAGAACUACUGUUGUUCGUCCACCCACUAAAUUUCUGGACAGCACCUCUACCAAAUCGCAUAGAUAAACAUGUAACCAAUUGGAUUGCAGCACAAAUACAACAAAAUGAUCAUGAAAAUCACCUUGGGUUCCUCCUUUCCUCCUUCUUUUCUUCCUUCUUCCUCCCUCCAAACUCCCAUGGAAGACUCGCACCCACACGACGGACACCAAGCGGGGAGGCUCCACCUUGGAGAGGAAGAGGUGGGGGGGGGCGGCUAGGGUUUAGGGGUGGCGCUGCAAUCACUUGGGGAAGAAGGAGAGAGAUUGGGGCGGCUGCAAGAGUGGAAGAGAGGAAGAGAGAGGGGGGCGGCCAAAGGGGUGGGGGAGUGAGAGGGAGGGGGCGGCUAGGGUUAAGGGGGGAAACUAAUGGGCUCCCCACCACCGGAUCGAGAUCCACGGCCCAAACUCGCUCUCACGUCUGCUCCCGACCCCAGCGCACAAAUCCAACAAGUAUUCUACUGUUUUACUGGUGAAUGCUUCCUAAAAAACUCCAACCCCAAGGGAAAAAUAAAUUUAACUUCUUUUCGGAAAAUUGGGUAUCACACUCUACCCCCCUGAAAAAGAAUUCGACCUCGAAUUCCGACGCUUCUAUCGGAACGACAAGGAAAGAUCAAUGAAUCAACAAAACUCACACAUAAAGAAAGGUUCGGGUACUUCUGCCGCAUCAGCUCCUCAAGCACCUAGGAUUCUAAGAUACGCAGCAGACGACACUCAAGAGUCUGGUCUUGCUACACAGGAAUCGGCUCUAGCUCGAUUUGAUGGUCUGGAUUCCGCAAAUACUUUCUCAACAUAAAGACAUGGAAUACAUGGUGUACUCUGAUCAUAGACUCCGACAAUUGUAGGUGCUAAGCCAAGCUGCCAACUCGGGCUAAGAUAGUAGACGGUCCUAUAUAACUCGGACAAAGCUUUCCUAACACCAAAUCAACAUUGACACAUGCAAGUACUUCAAUGAAUAUAUAUAUAUGAAUGCAAUACAUACUGUGCUCAAAUAGCCUAAACCAAACCUAUCCAAACAAGAGUAACUUCAAAAGAUCAAUUUAAUGCUUGCAUAUUUCUAGACAGCAACACAACGAUUAUUUGUUUUCCUCAUAACUCACAAAAUAUGCAUCCAAUAGAAGUAAACUAGGACUUUAUGGAAAGCUUACAAAGUCCACUAUACCCUUGGUAUUAUCAUCACCACAAGAUUUGACACUUAGAAAGGCCAAACAAUGCGAAACGUAAUUUUUGUCCAGACUUGGACAGAAUUCAACUACUCACUUCAAAAAUCCAUAAUUGGAGUCUCAGUCAUCCAAUUCAGGCGCUCAUAGACUUUUUAGAAAGCCAGUAAAAUUGUCUAUAUUUCAUUUAUAAACCUAUCAGGUUAAUUCAAUGCAUAUCAAGAUCAAAAGACAUAAGAAAGGCUUUGCUGUCCAAAUUUGGACAGAUUCAAAGAUUCCAAUUAAAACAGUUGUAGCUUAACUUAUAGGUCACCAAAAAGGGUGAUCCAAAAUUUGUUGGAAGGCUUAAGAAAAGUACUACCACUUCUUUAUAAUUUAUAAGAACUGAUUCGAAGUUUAACUUGGGCAAACAAGGUCAGUUUCGAAAUCUGUACAGAAUCUGGACAAUUUCCAAGACUAGACUUGAGAAAAUCAUAACUCCCAAACUACUGGACCUAUGGUCAUGAAAUUUUACACAAGUAAGAUGAAGAAAUUGGCUACAACUUUUAUAUACAACACCUCUACCGAAAACAUGGUGUAAUUCAUUGAACUAGUGGCAUAACCAAAAUUGGUCAUGUAGCCCCGAACAUCAAGCAAUAGAUUUAUUCAGGUUCUAUACUCUUCUAAGAUUAAGCGUUCAUCGAAGGACUAAUAACUUUAGGUUCUUCAUUACGAGACACUUAGAGCCAACAUAAGGGUAGAAGCAAUAUGCUUACUUUUUAAAUCAUUUUACAUGCAAGCAAGAAUCGAUUUAAGCAUACUACGCCUGCCCAUAUAUCCAUCCAAGCACAUUCUAUACAUUAUAUCAUCCCAUCGAAGAACUCUCUCUUUUUUUUUUAAUUAUACUAUGCAUAUAUAUAUCCAUCCAAUAACUCACACAAUCUGCAUCUCCACCUAGACUUCACACGACGUAACUAUUUUAUACUUACGCAAACACGCCAAGACCAGCAAACAUGGCUUCACAACAAUACGUACUGGCCUAUUCAAAUAUCCCUCGCUAUCUCUCUGUUUCAGCCCACGCUCCGCAUAUACAAUAACAACAUAACUAUCACAACCACUACAUCUAUUCCCUCCCACCAUACAACAUAAUUAACAUGGAUUGCGAAAGAGCUCACCAUAACUAAACCAAACUCCCAAAGAAAUAUCCUUAAAUAGAAAAUUGACUAUCAACAACACAAAUGCUCAUUCUGUCUCUACCUCUUUCACUAUAAAAUCAAUGAUAACAAAGAAAUAUUGUAAAAUCAUCUAAACUUCAUGACCUACAACUUUUGUAUUCAAAGGAUAAACAAAGUUUUAUUUUAUCUCCAUUUUUUUUAAUUUGGCUUGUAAGGCGACAUACAUGAUCUGCCACCAGAACCUGACGAAACAUGACCCAUAAAUUCAAAACCUCAUAACUCUCUACAUCUAACAAAAUUUUACAAAUAUAAACUCAUUGAAAAUAUUAUAACAUUCCCUAAAAAUUUUAUUGUAAUGAGUGUCUCAGAAUUGGUUUCCAAACCGAAAAAACAAUGCAACUGCUUUGUUGCAAAACUGAUAGGUUAGAAACAAUGGACAACUAAAAUUCAAAAUACUAUAACUCCUGCUAUACUCAACUUAAAACUACAACGAACACGCGUUGGAAAAGUUUGGAAAUUGUCCACGACUUUUGCAAUAAAGUUGCACCCAAAUUUAUCUUUAUAGCCCUCAACUCUGUAUGACCUACAGCUAAACUCAGCCUGAGAUACUGCACAUCAGAGAUUCGACUUAUAUCCGGACAACCACCUCUCCCAAUCUAUUUAACAGACAAUUACAAGUAAAUACCCAUUAAAAGGUACUAAGAAAAACUAAAAGUUUUUCUUAAAGAGAAUUCCCAAAUUUGAGCUUUGAAACUAUCAAAACGCGGUCGAUUUAUUAGUGGUUUUUAACGACACCUAAAGUUCAGACACAACGGUGCAACAACUUCAGAGUAGCCUAACUCCAAUUAUAUGGAAUGAAAAUUACAAACCAAUACUCUUUGGGAAGAUCAUGAAAUUACUAAAACUUUCAUAAUCCAACAAAACCCAAAAUUUACCGUAUUCAAUGUCUAUACUUCCGUACAAAAUUAAGGCUGCUAUAGGAAACCCAUAACUCUCAAAUGUUUAGACCAAACUGGGUGAUUGAGCAUCCUAUGCAAAGAUGAAGAAACCUACUACAAAACAUUCUAGAUAAGUGAAGCCUGAUUCAGCCUCCAACUAAUUUAAAAUGACUCCCAAAACAAAACAACACCUUACCCAUAAUAAAAAACAAUAUAAAAUAAAACCCAAGGCAUUGGCAGGUGCGAUCAACACUAGGAUUUUGCACUACCAAAUGGGGAUGCAACUCCCCAAAGCCUUUAAGCAACACUUUACCUAAUAGGUUAGAACACUAAGCACAUCAAUCAACGAAUUCAACAACCUCAUUUGUUAAUGCCACUAAGGUCAAACAUCCAUGUAUCGACAAUGUAUGAAACACCUGACAUACCCGUCUCUAGCACUAUAAAACAUGGUUGUUAUUACACUAGAAUCCAACUAUUAGAGCUCUCCACAACUAUUCUGUUGACGUGAAGCAAAUGGUGCUCAUGUCAUGUAACGUCUUUUCCUCCUCUCAAAAGAGAUAAAAUUUGCAAUACUCAUAAAGCAAUGGAGGGAUAACAACAAGAAAAACUAAUGUACUUCUUGACACAGACUCAUGCAAAAGCUUCAUAAAUAUUACUUUCAAUACUAAAAUAAUAACACGAUACUAUGCUCAACAGGAGUAAUUGGACGUCAAUAAGACAAUCCACAUAACCAAACUACCUUCAUUAACCUCACAUACAACAAAACCUACUAUUACCGCACUUGAACAAUUUGUACCUCGUGAUAUCACAGGAUGCAUUCAAAGUAGUAGACAUACAUGAUCUAUCAGACCAUCAUUCAUAAAAGAAAAAUCUCAAUCCGAUGCAACAACCCCAUCAUUAAAGAGAUAGAUGACUAACAAACAUAAGCAACUCCCAGUUAAGCAUUGACUUCGUUUAAGAUAAAGCGGUCCAAAUAAUGAUUCAAUAAGCAUGCAUAGAGAAACUGCUCAUAAAAAAAAUCAAACUGCCAUACAAUGUUGGCAAAUAAAAAAAUAUAAAACAGGUUGUCAAUAUCGCCCACAUGACUAGCCUGCAACAACUAAAAAUUAUGCAUAGCCUUUAUGGCUAUUGAAACAAGCCAUAGAAGGAAAACAUGCACGACAUAAAAUCCACUUGAAACCACCCUAUUUAUUGUUAAAAAUAAGGUUGCACAUAAUAAGAAAAUCUAUCAGGUAGACAUGGUUGGACUUAUCAAUCUACGUCAUCUCACAAAUUCACUCGAGUUCUACCAGUCUAAAGAUUUCAUAGACAUUACAAUGUUGCCUCUGCUCUAUAGAGACAAACCAAUUUUAUACUAAGAUCAAGUUAGCAAGUAGCCACACUAGCCUAAAAAAAGUGAGGCGCAAAGCAUUGCACCCAUGGAAAUAUUACAUUGAUAAGUUGGGUUGUAACCCAACAGUCAAUCAAACUCAACAACACCAUAAAACUACAUUAUAUAGUGUUUUCACACUACACCAAGUCGGAUUAGACCCACUAUACACAAGCUCAAUAAACAAUCGGUCCUAUAAGUACAAGAACCCAAGAAUCCUUUUGGAAAAAAAACAUCCACAAUCAAGCAUAUAGAAAUAUAUGAUGGUAAUAGCUCAGAGAAUUCAAAACAUUGCAUUCCAAAAAACAUCAUGACGAUAUGUAUAUAAAACAAGUACAUUAGUAUCUUCACUUGCAUAAUAUCUUCAAUAACAACCACAUCAAGAAACCAAUAUUAAAUAGAAGUAACAUAUCAUAUCAAGCAUUACGUCGUUAACGACAUACCCCAUCAAACCAUAAAGGGAUUUGGAGUAAGGAAGUUCUAGUCAUCUAUACAAUAAAAUACUAAUAUGAAAGAUAUACGAACCCAUACCCUUCCUAUAUGUGCAAGUGUGUCAAAUUUAUCUUCAAAUUGCGUAGAAUCUGAAGCCUAUCCUCUGAAACCAACUGUAACACCCCAGGGUCCACAAACACCCUGGAAUGCUACUAAACAACACUUCUGACAUCUAUAUACAAAAUUUCGGCAGCAUCCCCUUUGCAAAAUUGCAUAAAUGAGGGGGCAACAGUGUAUAAACAUACAUCAUGACAAAAAUAUACUAAGUAUUAUUAAUCGGCUAGCAAAGAGAAGUUAAACAUACGACAUGAACUGAAUUAACUAGUGCGCACGACUAGUUAAAAAAACUUCCUUUGACAAUAAAUUUCUAAUUAAAUCAUGGCUGCGCCUGGGCAGCGCUAUUGUGAGAGUGAAAGUGGACGUGCUGCUACUCCCCUCAUUCCCAACAUGUAUCAAGUACCUGCAUUAAGUAAUGCAUGAGUGAGAUGACACAUCUCAGCAAGUAAAAUAAUAUCAAACUGUUUAACCACAUAAGAACAUUGUUUUACCACCACUUGAUUCCACAACCUUCUUAUUACAAAGGUGCAGCACGUAUACAAUGUACAACACACCUAGUCACCACACCUCAUAGGUAGAAACCACAAUAGUAACAUAGUAAUGUCACACUUCAUAUAUACCUCAUGAGUGCAAAUGUCUGCAAAUGCAAGGAUGACUUCUGCCUUCAUACCUCUAAGGAUAUGAAGCCGCAUCGUACCCCUCCUCGGGCAACAUACGAUGCUAAAAAUGUAUCGGUACGGUCGGACCAUAAGAUCACGACAUAACUUCAAAAUGCAAGAUGGAUGAUGCGAUGUGCAUGUCAUGCCUACAACACUUCAUAUAACGUGAUUCAAAAAGAUACUUCAACUUCAUCAAGAUGGGAAUCAACCACAUAUAUCAUUACCAAAUUAUGAUCAUCCACAAUAUUAGACAAUUGAGAAUUAAUACUUCCAAACAAAUAACUUCAUCAUAGAAUUCAAUGAUUAACAUAAUUAAAACUUAUGCAUACUCAAUGACAGGGAAUAGGAUGCAAACCAAACGGUAGCAACCACCACUGUAUUUACUUGCCUUUACCGGAAGUUUGGGCAAAUCCCUAAGUACGAUCCGGAAGUCCACCACCUGUUUUUGACACACAACUUAGUGCACCAAUUUCACAUAAUCAGGCUCAUAAGCGACGCCGCACCUACGCACAAACUCAAACCCCGCCGCGGGUUACAUCUCUCCCCACACCCACCAAACUACAGCGGCGCUGCCUAAUAAUUUCAUAACUUUAAAUUUAUUACAGCAGUGGUAACAAACAAAAACUCCAGAGGCAUCUACAUAAAAUUCCCUACAAGUUUUGUAUACAAUUUAUAAUUAAAUUCCAACAUCUAAUUAGCCCAAAACAGUCCACAAGAUGAACCCUGUAAUCUGUUUUUUUUGUCUUUUGGACAGCGACAUACCCGGAUUCAAACAGCGAUAUCUUUUAAAAUAUAAUUCCAAAUCAAGCGCAUAAGUACUCAUUGGAAAGAUAAGACAAAGCCCUACAUGAUUAUUAUACUGGUUAACACUAAUUACCCACGAAAAAUUCCCAGAAACUGCUAAUACUACUGCUGUUCACCCACCUGAAAAAUCUGUUUUUUUGGACAGCAACAUAACCGGAUUCAAACAACGAUAUCUCCUAAAUUAUAACUCCGAAUCGAGCGCAUAAGUACUCGUUGGAAAGGUAUGACAAAGCUCUACAUGAUUCUCCCACUGAUCCCCACUAAUUGCCCACGAAAAAAAUCCCAGAAAUCCCUAGAACUACUGUUGUUCGUCCACCCACUAAAUUUCUGGACAGCACCUCUACCAAAUCGCAUAGAUAAACAUGUAACCAAUUGGAUUGCAGCACAAAUACAACAAAAUGAUCACGAAAAUCACCUUGGGUUCCUCCUUUCCUCCUUCUUUUCUUCCUUCUUCCUCUCUCCAAACUCCCAUGGAAGACUCGCACCCACACGACGGACACCAAGCGGGGAGGCUCCACCUUGGAGAGGAAGAGGUGGGGGGGGGCUAGGGUUGAGGGGUGGCGCUGCAAUCACUUGGGGAAGAAGGAGAGAGAUUGGGGCGGCUGCAAGAGUGGAAGAGAGGAAGAGAGAGGGGGGGCGGCCAAAGGGGUGGGGGAGUGAGAGGGAGGGGGCGGCUAGGGUUAAGGGGGGGGGGGGGAAACUAAUGGGCUCCCCACCGCCGGAUCGAGAUCCACGGCCCAAACUCGCUCUCACGUCUGCUCCCGACCCCAGCGCACAAAUCCAACAAGUAUUCUACUGUUUUACUGGUGAAUGCUUCCUAAAAAAACUCCAACCCCAAGGGAAAAAUAAAUUUAACUUCUUUUCGGAAAAUUGGGUAUCACAUUCCCGCUUCACUUGGGUAUUCUUUUUGCAGGAUAAAUCUGAAACCCAAGGGACCCUCAAGCGCUUCCUAAGGAGAGCCCAAAACGAGUUUGAGCUCAAAGUGAAGAAGAUAAGGAGCGACAAUGGGUCCGAGUUCAAGAACCUUCAAGUGGAGGAGUACCUUGAGGAGGAAGGAAUCAAGCACGAGUUCUCCGCUCCCUACACACCACAGCAAAAUGGUGUAGUAGAGAGGAAGAAUAGGACACUUAUAGACAUGGCGAGGACAAUGCUUGGAGAGUUCAAGACGCCCGAGCGGUUUUGGUCGGAAGCCGUGAACACGGCUUGCCAUGCCAUCAAUCGGGUCUACCUUCAUCGCCUCCUCAAGAAGACGUCAUACGAGCUACUAACCGGUAACAAACCCAAUGUUUCGUAUUUCCGAGUUUUUGGGAGUAAAUGCUACAUUCUAGUGAAGAAAGGUAGGAAUUCCAAAUUUGCUCCCAAAGCGGUAGAAGGGUUUUUGUUAGGGUAUGACUCAAAUACAAAGGCGUAUAGGGUCUUCAACAAAUCAUCGGGUUUGGUUGAAGUCCCUAGCGACGUCGUAUUUGAUGAGACUAAUGGCUCUCCAAGAGAGCAAGUUGUUGAUCUUGAUGAUGUAGAUGAAGAAGACGUUCCAACGGCCGCAAUACGCACCAUGGCGAUUGGAGACGUGCGGCCACAGGAACAAAAGGAGCAAGAUCAACCUUCUUCCUCAACAAUGGGGCAUCCCCCAACUCAAGACGAUGAACAGGUUCAUCAAGAGGAGGCAUGUGAUCAAGGGGGAGCACUGGAUGUCCAAGAGGAAGAGGAACAAGCACCCCAGGCCCCUCCAACUCAAGUUCGAGCAACGAUUCAAAGGAAUCAUCCCGUCGACCAGAUUUUGGGUGACAUUAGCAAGGGAGUAACUACUCGCUCUAGAUUAGUUAAUUUUUGUGAGCAUUACUCCUUUGUCUCUUCUAUUGAGCCUUUCAGGGUAGAAGAGGCCUUGCUAGAUCCGGACUGGGUGUUGGCCAUGCAGGAAGAGCUCAAUAACUUCAAAAGAAAUGAAGUUUGGACACUGGUGCCUCGUCCCAAGCAAAAUGUUGUGGGAACCAAGUGAGUGUUCUGCAACAAACAAGAUGAGCACGGAGUGGUGACAAGGAACAAGGCUCGACUUGUGGCAGAAGGUUAUGCCCAAGUCGCAGGUUUGGACUUUGAGGAGACUUUUGCUCCUGUGGCUAGGCUAGAGUCCAUUCGUAUUUUGCUAGCAUAUGCCGCUCACCAUUCUUUCAGGUUGUUCCAAAUGGAUGUGAAGAGCGCUUUCCUCAACGGGCCAAUCAAGGAGGAGGUGUACGUGGAGCAACCCCCUGGCUUCGAGGAUGAAUGGUACCCCGACCACGUGUGUAAGCUCUCUAAGGCGCUCUAUGGACUUAAGCAAGCCCCAAGAGCAUGGUAUGAAUGCCUUAGAGAAUUUUUAAUUGCUAAUGCUUUCAAGGUUGGGAAAGCCGAUCCGACUUUAUUCACUAAGACUUGUGAUGAUGAUUUAUUUGUGUGCCAAAUUUAUGUCGAUGACAUAAUAUUUGGUUCUACUAACCAAAAGUCUUGUGAAGAGUUGCGUAGUGAGCUAAAUGUCUUAGAUUCGCGGAACUUGGAUUGAUCUAUAGCAUACAUGUGUUUAUGCCUUGAUCAUGUUCCUUAAUGCAUUUUCUUGUUUAUUUAUGGUGCUCAAGUUGUACAAGUACUCCCCGGACCUCACAAGUCCGUUUGCAAGUGAUGCACAUAUUUAGGGGGAGAUGUGCUACAACUUGACCCUUUGAGACUAACUGUGUGCUUGAGUUUGCUCAAUUUAGUCACAAAGGAGGUUUGAAAGGGAAAAGGUGGACUUGGACCAUGCAAGACUUCCACUGCACUCCGAUGAAAGAGUAAAUGAUUCCAAGUUCAUCUUUGUACUCUUAUUGCCUUUGUACUCUUAUUUGAAGAUUUUGGUGAGGCAAUGGGGUUUAAGGGCCAAGAUUGAUCCUGUUUUGGUGCUUGAUGCCAAAGGGGGAGAAAAUAAGGCCAAAGCAACAAAUGGAUCAGCUACCACUUGAGAAUUUUGAAAAUAGUAGAAUAGAGCUUUUGGUUAGUCAAAAAUCUCUUAUUGUCUCUUUUGUCAAAAGUUGGCCUCUUGUGGGGAGAAUGGUUAAUUAUGGGAAAAAGGGGGAGUUUUUGAAAUCUUUGAUCAAUUUCUCUUGGAACAACUCACUUUAUGUCUCAACAAGUGUGUUUGACUUAGAGAUAGGAAAUUGAGGUCGAUUUGCAAAAACAAACCAAGUGGUGGCAAAGAAUGAUCCAAAUAUGCCAAAUUUGAUUCAAAGCAAAUUUGUGUUCUCAUUUGAAUUGAUGUUGCACUUCUUUUAGUUGCUUUUAUGUUGUGUUGGCAUAAAUCACCAAAAAGGGGACAUUCAAAGGGAAAUGUGCCCUUGGGCCAUUUCUAAGUAUUUUGGCGAUUUAGUGUCCAACACAAGUGCUUAAAUGAUAAAUUAUGCCAAAUGGUGGAUAAGGUGCAAAUCAAUACAAAGGUAUGAUUCUAGACUUAGUACAUUGGUUUUUGUGUACUAACAUGUUUGUCUAAGUGCUAGAAUCAGAGAAAAUACAAUUGAAAAAGCUUGGAUCGAAGCAGCCAAGAGUCAGCUCAGACUGGGUGCGCCGGACUGUACGGUGGUGCACCGGACAGUGUCCGGUGCGCCAGGCUGGCGUCUGUCAACUGGCUGCUCUCGGGACUUCGACGGCGGCGUACGGCUAUAAAUCACCGGACUGUCCGGUGGUGCACCGAACUGUCCGGUGAGCCAACAGUCGGCUCGGCCAACGGUCGGCCGCGUAAUCCGCUCGCGACGCGUGGCAGAGCCAACGGUCAGAAGGGGGCACCGGAAUGUCCGGUGUGCACCGGACAGUGUCCGGUGCGCCAAUGGCUCCAAAGCGCCAACGGUCGGCUUCGCCAUAGAAGGAAAGAAAUCCGCACCGGACAGUGUCUGGUGGUUCACCGGACUGUCUGGUGCGCCAGGCGACAGAAGGCAAGAAUUGCCUUCUUGAAAUGCUCUCAACGGCUCCUAGCUGCCUUGGGGCUAUAAAAGGGACCCCUAGGCGCAUGGAGGAGUACACCAAGCAUCCUUUGAGCAUUGUUGAUCACUCACACUUCAUUCUUGCGCACUUGUUCGACAUUCUUAGUGAUUUGAGCUCCGUUCCAGUGAGAACCUUGAGAUAUUGUGUUGAGCUCAAGUCUUGAUAUUGUGUGUGCAUAUUUGUUGUGGUUUUGAGUGUGUCGCUUUCCUCCCUUACUCUAGAGCUUCAUUUUGAUUCUUAUUGUAAGGGCGAGAGACUCUAAGUUGUGGAGAUUCCUCGCAAACGGGAAAGAGUAAAGUAAAGAAGAUCACUGUGGUAUUCAAGUUGAUCAUUGGAUCACUUGAGAGGAGUUGAGUGCAACUCUCGUCCGUUGGGACGCCACAACGUGGAGUAGGCAAGUUUUGUACUUGGCCGAACCACGGGAUAAAUCCUCGUGUCUCUUGUGCUUGUCUUUACUGUGUCUGUUGUGUUUCACAAGAGAACUCCUUUCUAGCCACUUGGCGUUAUUGUGCUAACUCCUAAUCAAGUUUUGUUGGAUUAAGUUUCAAGUUUUUACAGGAUCACCUAUUCACCCCCCUCUAGGUGCUCUCAAUUAUCCAUUUCCCAUUAGCUUUCUUCACCAUAACGGUGUUAGCCGGCCACUCUGGAUAUGUUACUUCUCUGAUAACACCGGUACUGAGAAGUCUCUUUACUUCAUUUCGUGCACCUUCGGCUUUAUCAUCAGACAUUUUCGGAAGCCUCUGCUUUCUUGGUCUGAAGGAUGGGUCCACAUUGAGUGAAUGCUCAAUGACGUCUCUAUUGACACCAUAGAGAUCAUUAGCUGUCCAAGCGAAGACAUCUUCGUUGUUGAACAAGAAUCUAAGCAGAGUCUUUUCCUGUUCACCGGAUAGCUGAGAUCCCCGCAAUACCUUUUGGUUUGCUAUGUCUUCACACAAGAGCAUAGGCUUUGGCUGAUCUGCUGAAGCAGCCUUCUCUCUUUUGUGCUUAUACUACUAAUAAGCUUCGGCUUCAUCUAUAUUAUGGAUAGCCUUCGAAUCCGUCCAACUCCCUUCAGCCCUCCUAGCAGCUUCUUGACUUCCGUGAACAACAAUAGGCCCUUGUUCCAAAGGUAUCAUCAUGCAUAAAUAUGCUAGAUGAAGUAUUGCUUCGAAGGCAUUAAGCGUCCCUUGACCAAUGAUUGCAUUGUAUGGAUACUCCAUAUCAACAAUGUCAAAGACAACCUGUUCAGUUCUUGUGUUAUGGACAUAGCCGAAGGUAAGUGACAUUGUUAUCUUGCCAAGUGCCACAAUCUAUCUUCCUCCAAAGCCACAAAGAGGGUGCGUUGCAUCGUGUAUCUUAUCUUCUGGCUCUUUCAUUUGCCUGAAAGCCUUUGCAAAGAUAAUGUCCGCUGCGCUGCCUAUGUCAACUUGGACAUUGUGGACCAGAAAUCCCUUGAUGGCACAAGAUAUAACCAUUGCAUCGUUGUGGGGAUAAUCUUUGAGCUGAAGAUCUUCCUGAGAGAAGGUAAUUAGAAUGUGAGACCACAUGGAUUUGAUGAAGGGUCCUUGCACCCCAACUUGUUGUACCCUUCUUUGUGCUUCCUUCUUCUCCUUCUUGUUGGCUGGUUUAGAGCUUGAACCACUUGUGAUUGGGAGCACCAGCUUCGUGGCUGAAGGUGCUACAGCUUGAUUGUUGUGCGAAGCCAUCGUCACAACCGUGGAAGUGAGUUCACCGGAGGUGGGCGCCAAUGUUGGUCCUUGUUCUCGGAUGCUACACAUCAAGAACAAAGCAACACAAUUGUUAACGAUUAGGGACCUUCGUCCUUCGAAGCAUUAUCUCCCCUGGGAUAUAUGAUCUUCAGGCGAAGGUCAAGAAGGGCAUACCUUCAUCAUUUCAGUGAAUGAAAUAUAAAUAAAGACAUAUGAAAUACAAAGGAAUAUAAACAAUCAUUACAAAUCAUUAUAUUAUUUACAUUAUCGUUUUAUAAACAUGGAUAAACAUCAAUGAUAUUUAUAUUACAUUUAUACCUUCGGUUUGACAGAAGAUGGAAAAGCGAGAGUGACGCGAGAGUGAUUAUAAUUCAGCGUGAACAGUACGGGGGUACUGUUCAUCUAUUUAUAGGCAUGGGACGCAGCCCGGACAAAAUUACAUCCAUGUCCCUGAUAAUUAAUUAUAAUCAUAUUACAGAUUAUCAGGGGCUAUACAGUCUUUUCCUCUUUAAGUUGGUAUCGUCCUUCGUCUUUAGCAUGUCACCAUGCCGAAGCUCCUUCAAUCGUAGCUUUGGCUUAUAUCUUCAUGUCACACCUGCUUAUGUAUUGUCCUACCGAAGGUGUUUUUGCUUAGAGGACCUUCGGCGAAGAAGAAGGCCCCCAACAUAACCUAUCAUAGACAGGUAUGCCUUUUGAUCAACGGACUUACCUCCUUUGUCGAGGUCCAAGUGUCCGUCCAUUCCCAUCGGCGUCUUAGAGGGCUUUGCAUCCUUCAUCCCAAACCUCUUGAGUAAGUCUUGAGUGUACUUCGUUUGAGAGAUGAAGGUUCCUUCCUUGAUUUGCUUUACUUGGAAUCCAAGGAAGUAGUUCAACUCGCCCAUCAUAGACACCUCGAAUUUCUGCAUCAUUACCCUGCUAAACUCAUCACAAGACUUUUGAUUAGUAGAACCAAAAAAUAUGUCAUCGACAUAUAUUUGGCAUACAAACAAAUGACCAUUAAAAGUCUUAGUAAAAAGAGUAGGAUCAGCUUUCCCAACCUUGAAAGCAUUGGACAUAAGACUGAUUAUAAGAACCACAAGAGUAAGGGAGGGAACAGAAACACACACAAGAACUAGAGUCGCAACAACAACACGCACACAAGUCAAGAACUGAGCACUCAAAACAACGCAGCGGAGCCACAGCUCAAAGAAGUGCUCAAAUCUCAAAUGGAAUGAAUAGAAUGCGUGCUUGCAGAGUCUAGGCAUCUUAGGAUGUUCAAUGGAGACUUGGUGUAGUGCUCCAUGCGCCUAGGGAUCCCUUUUAUAGCCCCAAGGCAGCUAGGAGCCGUUAGAGUUCCAUUUGGAAGGCUUUGGUUGCCUUCUGUCUGUGGGCGCACCGGACAGUCCGGUGCACCACCGGCUAGUGAACAGUGCGUGAUCUCCUUCCUUUUCUAGCAAAGACGAUCGUUGCCAGCCACGGCCCAUGUGGCACACGCACUGGACUGAGCCACGUGUCACUCGCUGAUCGCUCGGUCGACCGCUGGUCGGGCGCGCGGCUGGCACACCGGACAGUCCGGUUAAUUAUAGCCACGGUGCCCUCAGCAUUUUCCCGAGAGUGACCUGUUCGCCAAGGCGCCAGCCUAGGCACCGAACACACACAUGCUGGUGCAAGUUUGGCUAGACUUAGCCAAACUUCUCCAAUCCAAUUUCUCUCGAUUUGACAAGGUUCCUAGCACUUAGUAGAAUAAUGUUAGUACCAAAAACAAUUUACUAAGUCUAGCAUCAUACCUUGCUUUUUCCAUUUGCAUAUCUUUGAUACUUAGCUUAUAUCAAACAAAACAAUAUGUGUUGAGCAUCUCAUCACUAAAACAUUUAUAGAAAUGGCCCAAAGGCACAUUUCCUUUCAGUUUUUUUGUUGAGUUGUUUUUAGAGGAUCACCUAUUCACCCCCCUCUAGGUGCUCUCAAUUGGUAUCGAAGUCGUUCUCUUCAUCAAGGGACUAACCGCCCAAAGAGAUGGAUCCCAAGGGCAAGGGGGUGGUGAUCAACGACAAAUAGAAGGAGACUCUCAACAUAAAUGAGCCAAAAGGUGACAAGCCCACCGACUCAGGCUCAAACAACAAAAGGAAGGAUGGGAGGAAGAAGAGACACAUCAAGAAAAUCAUAUACUACGAUAGUGACACCUCCUCUUCUGCACCAAGGAAUUAGCCUUUAUGAAAGGGAAAUGUACCCUUGGGCCAUUUCUAAAUGUUUUGGUGAUUAAGUGCCUAACACAUCACUUUGAACUAACAUGCUACUAUGAGUAUGAGCUCAGAGUCAAAGAAAAGGAAAUUGAAGUCUUGGAAGAAAGUUGAACAUCCUAUACAAUUGGAGAAACUAAGGUAUGAUUCUAGCACUUAGUAAAAUGUUUUGGUAUUAACUAUGUUCUACUAAGUGCCAGGGAACUUCUCAAAAUGAGAGAAAUUCAAUUGGAGAAGUUUGGCUUAGGGUAGCCAAACUUGGACCAGUCUACGGUGCACCGGACUGUCCGGUGCGUUUCCGGUGCUCAGGCUGCGUACCCAGCGAACAAGCCACUCUCGGGAAAAAGCCAGGGUGCCGCGGCUAUAAUUCACUGGACUGUCUGGUGUGUCAGCCACGCGCCUGGCCAACGUCGACCGUGCGAUCAGCGGGCACCACUUGGGCUCGGCCAACGGUUACUAGGCCGCACCGGACUAUCUAGUGUGCCACCGGACUGUCCGGUGUGCAAAGGGACCAGAGGGUGGCAAUAGCCGGCUUCGCCAAAUAAGGAAGGUAUCGUGCACUGUUCAAUGUCCGGUGGUGCUCCGGACUGUCUAGUGCGCCAACUGACAGAAGGCAAUCAGAGCCUCGCUAAUGGAGCUCCAACGGCACCUGUGUCCUUGGGGCUAUAAAAGGGACACCUAGGCGCAUGGAGCACUACACCAAGCAUCAUUUGAACAUCCUAAUACACUGAGACAUUGCGAUCAUGCUAGAGCUUUGAUAGUUUGAGAUUUGAGCAAGAGUUUGAAUUGUAAUUCAACUAUGUUGUUUCUUAUGCUCCUCUCUCAACUUGUUAGUGUGUUUUGCUAUGAUUUUUGUCUCUUGUGUGCGGUUCUACUCCCCCUUACUCUUGUGUUCAUUUGAGAUCAAAUUGUGUAAGGCGUGAGGGACUCCAAAUUGUGGAGAUUCCUCACAACAGAAAAAAGUUGAGAUAAGAAAUAGAACCGUGGUACUCAAGUUGAUCAGUGGAUCGCUUGAGAGGGGUUGAGUCCAUCCCUCGUCCAUUGGGACACCACAACAUGGAUUAGGCAAGCAUUUUACGCUUGACCAAACACGGGAUAAAAUCGCCAUGUCAUCUGUCUUUAUACCUUAUAGCGAUUCUACUCUUUCUUAUAGUUCACUUCACUUCAUAAUUGCUCUAAGUUUAAUACUCACCUUGUGAGAGCAAUUAAGUGAAGAAGUUCACUCCUCUCAUCUUCUUCAUUCAGACUUGGCUCUUGCUUUCACUAAUCCAAUAUUAGUCCAAGUUUGUUUUGUUGAGUUGUUUUUACAGGAUCACUAUUCACCCCCUCUAGGUGCUCUCAAUUUGGUACUGUCGAAAACGGUCAUUCAUGGUCGUUUUUCGGCCAAAAAUAUUGGUCGUGUACUCAUGGACCUUUGGUGAGAGGCUCCUAUUACUUACCCCAUACAUAUUACCUUGCUAAAAUUUAGUUUCUUGUGUUUUUGGCAGAGCAUUUAUUCAUGUAAAAUCUAUAGGUGUUAGCAUUUAGUAUUGCCGAAAACAGACGUUCAAGCCUGUCAUGGGUGUAGUAAAUCCAAAGGACUCAUUAUUUAUGAGUAUAAGCUAGCUAGAAAAUUAUUGUCUUAGCUCGGUGGUGGCUCAAGAAUGUGUGAUACUCAAUAGAUCUAGACAUCAAAAAAACUUGAAUUCAGUAAACUAGCUAACAAAAAAAUGUGAAACAUGAAAACUGGCCUGAUAUCAUGGGAUGUCCAAAAUUUACACAAGAAAAUGGAUUUGUUGGGGACUUGUUCUCAAAUGCUAUGAGUUAAGAACAAGGCAACACAAAUGUUAAUGGUUAAAGGCGUUCGUCCUUCGAAGCAUUAUCUCCCUUAGGAUAUAAUGAUCUUCAGACGAAGUCUUGAAGGGUAUACCUUCGUCAUCCCAAUAUAUAAUAGAAAGCAGAAGUAUAAAUUACAUAUAAAGAAUAUGAAUAGGCAUCUCAAAUCAUUAGAUCAUUUAUAUAUUUAUUGAAUAACCAUGAAUGAACAUUAAUGAUAUUGAAUUACACUUGUACCUUUGGCUUGACGGAAGGCAAAAGUCUGAGAGUGACGUGCGAGCGGUUACAAGUCAGCGUGAACAGUACAGUGUUACUAUUCAUCUAUUUAUAGGCACAGGACGCAGCCUGUGUAAAAUUACAUCCAUGCCCUUGACAUUUAUUAUUGACUAAGGGCAAACUAUCGAGGACUAGACAACCUUUUCCUCUUUAGGUCGGUUUCAUUUUCCACCGCUAAGCCAAAGCUUCUCCAUCCGUAGCUUCGGAACUGGUUGGUCCUUCUCCCAGAUCGCGCCUUUCAUUCCACGCGCACCUUCAUCUCAAGGCCGAAGGUUCCUGUGAAAGUAUAUUAUACUUGGAAAACAUGUUAGUCGUGUUUCUGAGGACCUUCGGAAGAUGAAGGCCCCCAACAGGAUUUAAGAAACAACACAUGCUUGAGUGCCAAGUUUGCCAUGUUUGACAUGUCAGAACCAACAAAAAGUCGAGAAAUCAUAAUCCAAAAAGAGCAAAAGGAGUGGAACAAGAGUGAAGGUGAUUUGUUGUUUAUAGUUUACUUUAUUUUAUAAAAGAAUUUAAAAAGGGAGUUGGAAAAGAGUGAAUGAGGUUUAUUGUCUAUAGUUUUUAAGGGGCAUGGAGUGGGACAAGAGCGACAGUGAUUUGAUGUUUAUAGUUUUUAAAGAUGAUUUGAUGUUUAUAGUUUUUAUAAGGAAAUAAGUAGAGAACUGAUGAUGACUACAUGCUUUUGCUUUUUGUUUCUUUUCUUUUGAGAGGAGUGCAUGUCAUGCGUUUGUUUUGAACUUUUGCAUGAGAGGAAAAGAGCUAGGACCUACUUAUAGCAAUUGUGUACACGUGUUAGUCUUUGAACUAGCUGGCCAGGGUUUUUUCAAGGAACAAAAAUAGGACGGCCAGCGAUGUCUGUGGCGUGCCAUACGUUAAUGUCUAGCUUCCUUGCCUCCAUUGUCCAUAAAUACAUGAGCAUCUGCAACAUCGAUCUCCACACACACACAUCCAUCAAAGAAACAAGCGCACAAGAUCAAAUACCUCGCCGCCAACAAUGGCCUCCAGGUCCUCCAUCCUGCUCGCCAUGGUGAUGCUGGCUGCGCUAUUCGUCGUUGGUUUGUGCACCACCCCCCUCACCUUCCAGGUCGGCAAGGGAUCCAAGCCUGGCCACCUGAUCCUCACCCCCAAUGUUGCCACCAUAUCCGACGUGGAGAUCAAAGAGCACGGUGGCGAUGACUUCUCCUUUACGCUCAAGGAGGGCCCGACUGGCACCUGGACGCUCGACACCAAGGCCCCGCUCAAGUACCCCCUUUGCAUCCGCUUUGCUGUCAAGUCCGGCGGCUACCGCAUCGCCGACGACGUCAUCCCUGCCGAUUUCAAGGCCGACACCACCUAUAAGACCACACUCAGCAUCUAAUCAAUCUCUGGUGAUGAAUUAGAUUUCAAAAGAGCUCAUCUAGCGCACAUGUUAGCAAGACAAUAUUAUUUUUUCUAUGGUUAUUUUGUGGAACCAAACCACCCAAGAAAUAAGUGAUGCUAGAUGUACCUUCUGACCUUGUUGUAUUGGGUUGAUAUUAUUACAUAAACUAAAUACAUUAUUUAUUUAAGAUUUUAGGAGAAAUAUGUUGAUCUGGUCCACCUUCAUUAUCGAGAUGGUUGUAAAUUACAUUUUCCAAUUUUUCAUACUUAUGAAAUGCUUUGUGACACGACCACGCCAUUAAGCAACACGUUACAACCCCCAAGUCAUACUACAUCAACUCAAGUACAACCAACAUCAUCACCAAUCCAAGUCUUUGAUGGACCAAUUACACGUAGCCGAGCUAAGAAGCUACAACAAGAGGUGCACACGCUACUUUAUAAAUUUCAAUUAAACACUAAUGAGAACUUUAUGCUACCUAAGUCGUGUAUGUUGAUAUUACAUAGGUUCACCAAAGAGGAAGGACAAAACAUAUCAAGGGCGAAUCAGCAAGAAGAGCUAUGUUCGAGUCAGUCCAGCGCAACAGAACCGUCCAGAAGAAACAGUCAUAUCUUUUGAUUCCCAAAAGCUAUGAAGGCCCAUAAGUAUUUUUUGGAAAGCUCUUGAAGUCUAGUUUCCAAUGCUUCUAAGGCCGACUUAAUCAAAUCUACCAGAAAGGCAGCCGACCUACUUUAGUGCUGACUGGUCAGAAAGUCAACAGUCUGUUUGAUGACCAAGUUUUUGUAUUAAACUGCAUCAUCUACGAAGUUUCUUUAAGCAUGCUAUACAUGGUGAGAAAGCUUAUCAAGUCAACUUUCCAACACAUCCAGCCCCACCUCAUUUGUAGAUUCCUAGGAGAAGUUAUUAUCAAAAUACUAAAGGUUGUGCAGAAGUCAAACAGCCAUACGGAAAUCAGCUCUGCAGAACUCUCGAAGAGGCUCCUUCACAUUAGCACGUGAAAAUACUUUUGUUUCGUGUUUAUACCUCUCUAAGGCUGGUUGUUACUAGUAAAAAUACCCCCUAUGUCUAUGAUGUAAGGCAACUUUUGAUAAUCUAAAAACAGAACCCUUUUGUUCAGUUGUGUGCUAACAAAUAUUGAGAGUGAUCUCUACCCAUUUGCUCUUGUGAAUUCUUUCGCGGGAUUGCAGAAGCAGCAACUUUAUCUGCUCCCAAGUGUUGCUCCUACUCCCUUUGAGGUAUCCUCGAUUGAUUGUAGGCUGUGUUGGUUGGUUCUUUGAGAGUGUGGUUGGGCGAAUCCUCGAUUCAGGUUGCCGAUUAAAGACGGUGGUUGGCUUCGAGUUUUAUUUGUUAGGUUGCACUAGUUAUCGCUGCUUGCAGCAAGUUAUCUUGGCUUCUUGGAAGCUAGUUAUCUGAAGAUUGAUCCUACGUCGUGAAGAUCGGGCAUCGUGAUGCAUCAUUUGGUAUCAAAGCCUCAGUUGCCACGGUAGAAUUCUUUACCCCUAGCUACAUCUAUUUUGUGUUCGUCCUAUCCACCAAAAAGCCAUAAAAUAUUUUUGCCAUAGCCCUUUGUUUCAAUCUAUUGUUCCAGUGAGUUUUGUUAAGUUUUAGUCCUUAGAGUCUUUGUUUAGUUGCUGGUCACUCUAUCCUUUGUGUUCCCUUUGAGC